CAAAGAACACUAGACAAUAGACUAGGACAUCAUGUUACUCCUCACCAUAUAAUCUCAUUCUCUAUUUGAGAUGAAGCAAUUAUUGGAGCGUCAUGAUAACUUCCAAGACCGAGUCCCUACAUUAAUACAUCACUCUACUUGAAACCACCAUCAAGAAUUUCACCUAAAAAACUCUUUUCAAACCAUACUUGGAAACACACAUAACUUCAUGCAUAAAACCUCAUAAUAAAAUUUCCAUUGUUAUUACUAAAAAAUCCUCACAUUAUCAUUACAUUUUCGUUCAUAAGAAACAGAAGAAAAAAACAAAAGAAACCAACCUACAUACAGGAUGUCCCAACAAAAAUUAAAUUCUAAGUUUUUUUUAUUAGAGAUAAUCAAUUAUAUUCCAGAGAAAAUUCAUGCAAAGAUGAUCUUAAGACUGCAAUAAUCGACAAUCAUAUUGUUGAGAUUGGUAUCGCGCAACAGAAUGUUUUAAAGAGGGUGUAUCAGUAAAAAACUAAGAGGGGUGAAUUGGUUCUUUUAAAAUAUUAUGAUUUUCUUUUAAGACUUUUAUCAGAUAGUUUAAAUGCUAAAGAUUUUAUUCUGGUACGAAUCAAAAGAUUCUAUGUCCAGUCGCCAAUCACUAUAAACAGUGACUAACCUUUUCCACUAAAAUGUUGUUUCAGAGUUUUAGACACAUUACAAGCUUCUCCUGUAACGCCCCGACAACUUACAAGGAAUAUUGACCGCCCCCACACAUCAACACGAGGCUUUCCAAUGUUCUUUGUCCUCACUCGCACACUUUCCAAGAAAACUUCCCAGAAGGUCACCCAUCCCUAAAUUACUCCAGGCUAAGCACGCUUAACCAUGAAGUUCUUAUGGGCAAGGCUACCGAAAAGCAAAUGCAUUUGUUGAUAUGAGUAGCCAAAUUAAUUCCUUUAAGCUAUCCUUCAACCGUAUAGUCUCAUACCUAUACAGUCUCUAGAUCCCUCUCAUUCCGGUGUGUGUACAAUUCUUCCAUGUGCCCUUUCAACUGGAGGCCUAGCAGGAGCCUCUCCUUGUCCGUGCCUCUUGCACCAAUGAUCACUCCCCGCCCUCGUCAGUGCCUGGGUGUCACAUCUCCUAUUCACAAGACUUGAUUUGAGCACUCUAAGAUUUGAGAACUUCCUCAAAACUUUUUUGUAUUCUCAAAUGACUUAGUUCCCUUUUCACACACAGAGAGUUUCCCUUAGGCACACAACUCUAAUACUCUUAAAUGAAAAGUUACCUUUCUAAGAAAUAUGGAGAACUCUAUUUAUAAGCCAAGGUUGAUGCAAGAUCAGAAACUGAAAAGUUAUCUCCCAAUUGCCAGUGAUAAUCAAUUAUCAAAGAUGAUAAUCGAUUAUUUCAUGCCGUUAUGGGUUUUGAAAAACGUGAUAAUCGAUUAUCCUUAGUGAUAAUCGAUUAUUGCCAAACCUUGGACAAUAUCAAAACUUGCACUGAUAAUCAAUUAUCCCCUAUGAUAAUCGAUUAUUGUCGCGACAAACCCUUUUUCUAUUUUUGCUUGUGAUAAUCGAUUAUCCCCCGUGAUAAUCAAUUAUUAUUGUAAUAAAUCACUAAAUUAAGAAACCUUCUAAGCACUUACAAAAGUAAAAUAAUUCCUAUACAAAUUGUUUCUACAAUGAGUGCUUUUAACAUUUACAAAAGGUUCUUCAAGUCUUCACUUGCAUCAUCAUCAAAAUUACUUCAAAGUAACAAUGCUUUCACAUUGGUAACACAUAUGUGAUAAUCGAUUAUUCCAGAGAGCUUUAAAGAAAAGAUGGCCUUCUGGCUGGAAUAAUCGGUUAUCGAGUGAGAUAAUCGAUUAUUCUUGUUAGUUUUUUACAACAACCUGAUUUUUCCUUCUUUUUUUGUGCACCUUGAACCUAUUCAAAUGACCAAUUUGGGAUAUUUAACAAUAAGAUUGAUACGAAAACUUGUUUAUAGUUGAAAAUAGAGUACCACAUUGCUCAUUUGGUUAGAAUCUAGAUACACCAAACAAAUUCAACAACUCAAAAGUACCCAAAAUCAAUUUACACAAUCAAAACUAGAAAUUUGCAAACUAAACUUCUGAACAAGUCACAAUAGAGCUAAUAACAAACCUCAAAUCCUCAUGACAAAACUUCCAAAAUGAACCCUAUACUUUAGAUUUUCGCUAGUUAGAACUUCCAAAAUGAACCAAAAACAUGACAAAACAACACAUCAAUCCAAUUACAUAUUCCACCUCAAAUUUUUUCUUAACUCAACAUCUAAACAAGUUUAAUGUAAUAAUAAAACAUACCUUAAACCUCAAUUUUUCCUAUUCAACCAUUAUUUCAAAAUUUCACUUAUCAAAACCUCUAUCUUUACCCAAAAACCACCUUAAAUUCUAUAUAUUCUCUAAUUGUGAAACAAAAUCAUUUCUCCCACUGAAUAAUACUCAAAAAUAGCAUCCUCACAUAAUCCAAACAAAUACAAUCAACUACAAGUUUGUCAUACCAACAUUCAUCAAAACAGCCAAAGAUCAAUAAACAUAUAAUCACACAAUUACAACAUGUUCAUCAAUAGAUCAUCCAAUAACCAAAACCAUUUCAUAUCAUAAAUGACUAAUCAAAUUAAACAUAAAUUUCAUUACACUUCAACAACGAAAACGAACUCAGAAUUUCUAAACCAAAUUUAAAGACAAAGUUAGUUUCCCUUACUUGUAAAAGCUACCAAGGAACGAUGAAGCACAUUACCAUUGUCUCAGCUUUGAGAACUCUAAAAAUGUCUACAAACCAUAUAAUCAUGAUCAUAAGAGGUCCUUAGGACCACUGAUUGACAAAGAACAAGGAAGAACAAUUGAACGACACGUGUUGAAUGUGACUUAAACUGAAAAUAAAAAGAGAAUGAAGUAUAAUUUAUCUUACUCUCUGGAGAAAAUUUAUCGAAUGAUGUUGUAGACAUAAUUGUAGUGAUCGUCUAGACACUUCUUGAUUGUCUAGACAUCUCCUGAUCGUCAAAUAGAUGAGUCAAGAGUCUGAAAUCUUAGAGAGAUGGAGAAAGAAACUCAUAAAAAAGUUCUAGAGAGAUGGUGAGUGUUUUAAAUAAUGAGAAAUAUUUAUAAAAUUAUAUUUAUAUUAUUAAAUUAUUUUAAUAUUUAAAAUACUCAGUCUCGUUAUUUUAAAACAUUUAUCAAUUCCAAUACUCUAUUUUUAAAAUUUUUACAUAUAUUCAUAUGUCUAUUUUAAUCUAUUUUAGUUUUUGACUUGAUAUAAUAAAAAAAAUAAAAUAAAUAAUGUAUAUAUAAAAAAUAAAAUUAACUAAAAAUAUAAAUGUAUAACAGAUUAAAAAUAUUUUUUUGAAGUAUAUAUAGAUUAAAAAGUACAUUUGGGCAACUAUGAUAUUAAGUAUGCAAACCUAUUUAUUUCUUAAAUCUAUGUAAUAUUAUUGUGUAAUUAUAUUUAGAAACCUAUUCAAAUAAAAGUUUGUUGAGAUGACUAUCUACAAUUUGUUUAUUUUUCAAUUGAAAUCUUGUCCUAUAAUUUUGUUUUCAACUCGCUAAAUGUGAAUUUUAUUUUGCGUGAUUAUUGUUUACAUGUCUUUAUAUAAAAUAAUGUUCAAUUAAGUUUUAAACUUCUUAUAAAUUAUAGAACUUAAUUAAUAAAUUAAUUUUUAUAUUUAAAUUUUUUAUUCGUUUUGGUAUUAAUCACCAGUGCAGAAAUAAUAUUUAACAUCUUGGCGUUUAACGUCUAACGAAAGAAAAUCCAACAUAGAAAAUGACCGGUGACAGUUUUGUAAAUUGAAUAAGAUUAUAGAAGUCGGUUAAAUGGCCCCGAUGUCAAAUAAGGUAUAGACGUUGGCUCUCCCAAGAUUAGACGUCAAAAGGUCAGCAUACAAGACUGAAAAGACAUUACCUUAUUGCCUUUAGACGUCAGCUACAAGCUCCUCAACAUCUAAUUACAAUUAGAUGCCAGCUUCUCCUUCCACAGACAUAAAAAAUGUCUGAAAAUAUCUCAUUUGGGCACCAAUAUUAAUUUUUUUUUGCCACUUAGACGUCGGUCUCCCUCCCCACAGACGUAAAAAAGGUUUGAAAUGACCUCAUUUUGGGUGUUAAUAUUAAUUUUUUUACCACUUAGACGUCAGCUGAGAAGGGGGGUCGACAUCUUAGAGCACUUAGACGUCGGUUGGGAAGGGGGGCCAAUGUCAAAUACUCUGCAUUUUUCCCACUCCAGAACGCGAGCACUAGUUACUGGUUCGCCAUUAACGUUCAGGUAAGUUUUCUUCCACUUUCACCGUUUAAAAUCAUUUUACACCGAUUAUAUUAUGUUUGGAACCAUCAUCCUUCAAUUGCACCUAUUAAAAUUUGUUUUCAUUGGCUUUUGGUGCAGUUCUUGGGCGCGCUCUAGGACCGUUAUUGUGUGUGUUUUUCUCCUCACCCUCAUAGCAUCAAUUGUCUACUCCUCAGCUUCACGAUUAGUUUCAUUUUUGGAUUUUUAUGUAUAUUAGUUUUGCAUUUUCAUUGAUUGUUGCACUUUUAUUUGGUUGUUACUACGUUUAAAAUUCUAAAUUUUUUUGUCGUAUAUUCUUAUGUUUGGUAUUGAUUUUUCAUGGUUUUAGUAGAAGAAAACAUUGGCGAAUUUUUUUAAAAAAAACAACCCAUAAAUUAACGUCUGUUUCGUCGAUUAUAGAUGGAAGAGACGUUAAUUGACGUCUGUUCAAAGACAACAAGCGUCAAUUUAACGUCUCCCGCUAUGACAUCGGACUUUUAACAAACGUCAAAAGGCUAAAAUAACAUACUUUAAAAGUUAUUUUUGUGUUAGUGAAUAUUUAUUUUUAACUCAUGAUUAGUUUAAUUUUGGUUUUAGUAUUUAAUCCAAUGAAACUGCAUAAUUUAUUUUACAAAAAUAAUUAAGGUUCUAAUAUUCAUUUCUUUUAUUAUCUAAGUUUGUUGUCAUGCUUGGUGUAAGAAACUAAAAGAUUGUGUUUCAUAAUUUACGGUAUUUUAAACAGUGAGAUUUAAUUAUUUUAAUAAUAAAAUUUUAAAGUAUAAAUAUAAUUUUUAUCAUUAUUUUAAAAGUACAUUAUUUCUCUAAACUUUUUCUUUUUAUAACUCUUUUUCUUUUUGUAUUUUUUAUCUAUCUAUCCAUCUAUUAGAAGAUUAAAAAUCGUUAGGAUGAUCUUUUACUUCUAUUUAAUCAAUUUUUCUAAUGAAGUAAGUUGAUUUUCUGUCUUUUUCUUAGUCUCUGUGUUUUUUUGUACAUGUGAAUCAUUUUGGUUCGCAUGUAAUGUUUGAGCUUUUUAUAAGAGUCUUUACUGAUCAAUGGUCUUAAAGUUUGUCCCAAAAUUUGUCUUAAUUGUGUUAUGUUGUUUAUAGGGAGCUUUUUGUGUGUUCAAUAGAGUUUUAAAGGUUCUCAAACUAAAUGGUUAUCUUUCAAUUAAGAAAAACUAAUGACAUUGUUUUUUAGUUAUAAAUAUAUUGAAAUCUAUAAUUUGUAUUAAUGAAUUGUAUGAUUAAGUUUGAUCUCUUAAAUUACUUGUUUUGGAUUUGUCUUAUGGUUUGAUUUGGUUCAUUUUAUGUUGAUUUGGUUUGAAGUUUGAUAUUGUUUUAUUAUUUAAGAUAUAAAAUUUAUUAUAUUUAAGUUUUAUUUUAUAAAAGAGUAAGUGUUUAAAAUGAUUAUAUUAUUAAUUAUAUUUUUUAAGAUUACAAGUAAUUAAUUUAAAUCAAAUUCAAUAAUAUUAUUAGAGUGAGUUUAAAAAUAAUUUUAAAAACAUUUAAUAAAAGAGUAAAUUUUCAAAUAAAUAUUAAUAUAAUACUUAUAAAAAUAAAAAAUUUGGAUCUAAUUUUAGAAAAGACAAAAUUAUUUUAUUUAGAAAGACUAAACCUUGAAAUUUGAGACCAUUAAUUUGAAAAUUGAAGUAAAAAAUAAAUAAAAACUAACUUACAACUUUUAAAUAAAAAUGAAAAGAGAAGAAGAAAUUAAACCACAAUUAAUUGAAAACAUAGAAUAGGAACUUAAAUUUUAAUUGUCUUAUUAAAGUUAUUUCUUUUAAAGAUAGUAUUUUUUUUAUUACAUUAUUUAUAUAUUUGCAUUGUCCUUUUGAAUUUUAUUUUAAGAAAAUGAUCCUUGAUUUGGUUCGAGUUGAUCGGGUUGGGAAGUGGAGUGAGACACUUGUCACCCUAUAUAAUGUGAUAUAGGAGAAAAGAGAUUAAAGUGCAGUUCUGAGAACCCUGUUCUCCAUUUCCGUUCCAUUAUCACCGUACAAAAAUACCCGUAUAGUUGAAAUUGUAAACUCUGCGUAUCAAAGCCAGGUUGCUUUCAUAAUACUUGAAAUGGCGUACAACCAAUCUCUCAGGCACAAUCACAGUAACACACAAGACCUGGGAGAGAAAUAUGUUAAGCUAUUAACUAUUAUUUUAUUUAGAUCAAAUUUCUUUAUUUUAAUUUAAAAUAAUUUUAUGAAAUAAUAUAAAUAUAUUAUUAUUAUAAAAAUAAUUAAAUGUUUAUUCAAUUCUAUAAAAUAAAAUACUUAUAUUAAAUUUUAAUUAUAUAUCACAAAUUUAAAUUUACAUAAUAAACAUUUUACUUUUUAAAACUUCCGUACGCAAAAAUGUUAUAAUUUUAUUUUUCCAUUGUAAUUACAGAAUUAAAAAAGUCAUAAAAUAUUUAUUCUAAUAAUAAUUUUGAUUCUAUCUUAUUUUAAAAUGUUUCAAAUUUUAAAUAAGACAAAAUGAGUUAAAAAAUAGUUAUUUUGAUGAAAACGCUAACUCAUACUACAAAAACAUAUACAUUUCGAUAAUAUGUUUAUUUAUUUACUGUAUGACCCUUUCUAAAAUAUUUCAAAUUAUCAUUAGUAAAUAUUUAAAAAUUCAAUUAUUUAUUAUAAAUAAAUAUUAAAAUACUAUUAGAAUGGUUUUUCACACAGAAUUAUUAUUUGCUUAACCUAUUCUAAAUUUAACAAGUUGUAUUAUAUGAAACCAUUCUAAAAGAUUUAAUAAAUUUUAUAAAAAUUACUUUAAUUAUAAAUAUUUAAGAUAAUUAGAGAAAUACAUUUCCGUAUUCUACAUUUCCGUUAGAACCGUACCGUACAAAAAUACCCGCAUAGUUGAGAUUAUAAACUCUGGAUAGCGUAGCAAGGUUGCUUUCGUAAUACUUGAAAUGGCGCAGAAGCAAUCUCCCAGACACAAUCACGGUAACACACACAAGAACUGAGAGAGAGAAGAGAGAAGAAAAAAAAAAAGCAUUGACCGCCAUUAAAAACCACUUCCCUUUAUAUAUCACUCCCAAACACAUUCCCUUCAUUAUCUUUCUAUUUUCUCUUCUCUUUCUCUUUCUGCUUUUUUCUUUCUCUUCUUAACAGUCCAGAAAACUCUUCAGAACUUCAAAAUCAAGAAGCCCGAUUCUAUUUCCCUGCACUUCCUGUCCGGUUCGGUCCGGUUUAAUUGGAUCAUGGAACAAACCAUGCUUGAAGCCAUUCAGUUCAACGAGGAAAUCCAAGGCAUCAUAGCUCCGGCGCCGGAAACCGCCAGUUCCUUCACUGCGCUGCUCGAACUCCCGCCGACGCAGGCCGUCGAGCUCCUCCAUUCGCCGGAGCGAGCCGGGAAACCACCGCGCCAUAAUCCAAAACCCUAUCCGUUGACCUCAUUUGCUUCCGCCUCCGCUUCGUCCGCCAACCUGACCUUCCCGUCAAACGCAGCGCUGAUUGAACGCGCUGCCAGGCUCUCUGUCUUCGCCGGAGAGAAUUCUAACUCAAACUCCAACUCGAACUCGACGGAGAUUAAGCGAGAGCUGCCGGAGACCGAUUCCAACCCGAGUUCAACUCAGGGCGGCGGCUCUGCCUCCGAUCCCACCCUGGAGAACAAGGACGAGAAGGGCCUGAAGAGGAAGGAGCGAGAGAAGAAGGUAUACCUCGCAAAUUUCAAUCGCAACCGGAGUUAGGGUUUCGGUUUUCGGUAAUUUUUGCGAAAUUCAAUGAUUCUGUGAAACGCAGGUGAAGGCAUCUUCGAAGAAGAGCAAGAGUGUAGUCCCAGACGAUAGUUCCUGCGACGGCCAGAAACUUCCGUACGUUCACGUUCGAGUUCGUCGAGGUCAAGCCACUGAUAGCCAUAGCUUAGCAGAAAGGGUAACCUAUUUAAUUAACCACUGAUUAAUUAUUUUAAUCACAGUUAUUUAUAAGAGAAAAAGUGGAGUUGAAUAAUAUUAUUAUGUCAAAAAAGUUAAGUUCAAUAUAUAUAUUAUUUUAAAUAGUACUUACUUUUUUUUGUUUAACCGUGUUGUAGGCUAGGAGAGAGAAGAUAAAUGCUCGGAUGAAGCUUUUGCAAGAGCUGGUCCCGGGUUGCAAUAAGGUUGGUCCUUUUUCUUCCUUUUUAGGGUUUAGUUUAACUCUUAAUUACAGAGUUCAUUAACCGCGAUUUGUUCAUUUUUCAUGAUUAUGCCAUGAUUAUCUGUCUGAUUUGUCUCCUAAAAGUGCAAUUAUGUCCGGGGAUUAUGGGGUUUUGGAAACUGGCUUGUGUCAUUGUCACCUUUUCACCUAAAAAAAGUGUAUGCUUUUGUAUCAAGAAAAGUGCUCACUCCCACUGGGUGUGUCAACACGGCAUUUUCGUAACCUUCUCUCUCUGGUGUUGCUUUUUGAAUUGGUUUGUAACGUACUGAACAAGAUUGUUUCAAGGUUAACUCUGUCAUUCCAGGACAAAAAAAAAAUGCUUUUGUUAUUCUAAUCUUGUUCCUCUGUUUAAGAAUUAUUUGGAUAAUUUUUUUAGUAAGUAUUUAUAAGGGAAUAAUAUACACUAGUUAAAUGAAAAAGGGCUAUUUUAUUAUAACUGUUUUUAUAGCAAGGUUUUUUAUAAUUUCAAAUUAGGUUAUGCAAAAUUUUAAAUCAACUUUGUUAAAUAAAAAAGAGAUCCUAUUAAUUGGCUCUGUAUAUAAAUUACAGAAGAAUUUUUUUUAUUGUGUAUGCUUAUGAAAAAUGUUAAUAACAAAAUUUAAUAUAUUUUAAGGCAUUAUCUUUUCUAAAUUUUGUUGAGAUUUAUUAGUAAUUUCAUAUUUUGGUGGGAGUUAUAUUUUACGUGAAUGAGCUAAUCUUGAUUUUUGUUGUUUCUUUUAAUAAACUUUAAUAAAUAGUAAAUGAUGUUCUAGAAAUUUUUUUAUCAAACUGUGUUGUUAAGCCUCCUAAGUGCAUAUUGAGAAAUCUGUGUUUGGUUUCCCAUUGAACUCCCAAAUUAUGGUUAUGGCAAGCAGUAGUUUAGAUUAUCUACUCAAAUUCAAACACAUCUGCGAGGAGUUUGAGGUAGGUUCAAGCCCUUUCUCCAUCUUUAAUCGGUUUUGUUCUUCUAACAAGUUUGACUCCGGAUUUUGGACCUCAAUGUGAAAUAAUGAACUGUACAAAUAGCGACAUCAAGAGAAGAAUGUUACAUAAAAGUAAUAUAGCGAUUCUUCGUUUUAUUUAGCCAUAAAUUAGUCGUUGUUUUUUUGAAAAGGACAAACAAAAAUAUGCGUCACGGUUUGUUCAGGACAAUUAAGGAAAACCUCCCUCGUCCCUUUCUCCAGCCAGAAGGCUUAGUGAAGAGACAGAAGGGUGGGCGUGUGGGGCGAAAAUGGGGGGCAUAUUUUAGCUGGACUCUGCUCUUAACGAUUUGAAGACACAUAGGUGGGUGUAUUGAAACUAGUGUGCAUGGGUCCCCUCGGCCAUUGAAAUAUUAAUCCUUAAGACGGUGACGGUUCCAUCUUCUCUAGGAGUUUGGUAUCCAUCAAUCAUUUAUGGGAUGGCGGAAAUAGGGUGAAAAAAGAAAGCAUUCCUUUUGCAGUGCAUCUACCAAACGGAUAAACCUAACUGGCUUUGAACACUGUACAUGAUCAAAAUUAUGGCCGCCUAACCUUAAUCUAGAUACACACCUCAAGAUUUAUCUCCUAAGUUUUCAAUUGAACUCGUCUGUUUUGAGGAUAGGUACAAGAUAAAUUUAUCCCUGAUUGAUUUGGAAAAAAUGCUGUUUUUCUGAAAACAUGAUUACAAAAAUAUAACCUUAUAAAUACUUUGUUUCCUCUUAUAAAAAAAAUUGUACAAUAACAGUGAAAACAAGAAAAGUCUUGUUUCAGAUAAAUCUUUACUUUUAUAUUUUUAAAUUAAAACAAAAUGGUAUCUUUGUAAUUAUUUAUGAAGAAAUGAAAAUCGUAAUAUAUUUUCUCAAACCAACAAACACGGUAUUAACUUGACCUUUUUCUAUUUAAUAUAAAGUGAUAUUUUGAAUAAUUUUAGCUGCGGAUGUUUCUCAACAUGGGAAAAAUUUGAUCUCACUCCUUUUCACUUAAUUAAUGGUUUACUAUACACGAUCACGAUUUUGUCGAUGCUACUGUGGACCUACUUAGGUUUAAUCUGGAGGCCUUAAUAGCUGGCCACUAUUGUGAAUUUUUAAUGCAUUUAGAUUGUGUUUAAUUUUUCUCAUAGCAGUAUAUGUAGUAAAUCAGAUAUGGCUGAAGCUGACACAAAAGUGUUUUCUAUACAGAUAUCAGGUACAGCAUUGGUUCUGGAUAAAAUCAUCAACCAUGUGCAAUCUCUACAACAUGAAGUGGAGGUCAGACUUUCGUAUCAUUGACAUUCUAGGCAGUUUUGACAAACAAUGAGAAAAAUAAAGUUAUUAGAAGUAAUCUGAUUCUUAAUAUUACUGUGGAUAGUGCGUUCAAACAUUUAAAAAAAGUGGCUGGUUUUCCUUUCUCCCCUGUCUUUAUCUGAUACUUCAAAAUUGACAUGUAGCCCAAUAAAAAGCUACCAUGAGUUUCUGGAAUAUGAUGGCAGUCAUCAGAACAAAUAAAACAUUGCUUGCCUAUAACCACUAAAGCCAUCAUGAUUCUAUUAUUUUGUACUAUAUGUCAUUAUAAGCUUCGACCUUCUUAUAUGAACAUGGAAUUGAAUUUCAUCUUAUUACGGAACUGUCGCCUAUCUGCCUAAUGUGGACUAGAGACUUGAAAAUAAAUGCUUUUGGAAGUGUGCAUUACUUGGUUUUUGUAUAUAUGGGCAGAAGUUAUAAAAAUGAUAAAAUUGUUUUCUUAGAGAUGGUAAUUAUCGAAGUUUGCUUGCAAGUGAACUACAACUAUGAAGAAUCUUUCUAUUGGAAUACAGUGCUAUAAUAUGUGUAAUUUUCAUCAAGAUGAACUUGUUCUUAUUGAUUUUCGUUAUCAAUCCAGAUAUUAUCAAUGAAACUGGCAGCAGUGAACCCAGUAAUUGAUUUCAACCUUGACAGCUUAUUGGCUACCGAAGUAAGUAUAAUUUUUUAGCUUUUAUCUUUGCUGGGGAGUCAUCUGAAGGACAUGGGCGAUCGAUCCUGAUUUACAUGAUAGAUCGUGUUAAAAUCUUGUAUCAUCUUUUUCCUAAUGAUUAUGAGAUACAUCCCACCUAUUUAUUGUCUGCCAAGGGGGGAGAUAUCACACGAGAGAAUCCACUUCCUGUGUGAAUGAAUUUUGUCUGGUUGGAUUCUAACGGAUUUGUGGAAUAACAUUUAUCAUCCAUCACCUUCUGGAGUAGUUUCAGUUAUAGUUUUAUUGGAAAACGGGCAUUUGUGCGGUAUUAAGAAGUCUGAUGUAAUUUUAGACUACUCUCUCAAACACUUACAUUUUCUCAUUGAUUAGUGAUAGAUCAAAGUUUUACUGCUGCCCUAUCAGUUGUGUUUUGCUUUGUUUCUAUAUUUCCCAAAACACUGGAGUGGUGAACUUGAAAAUUGGGACAGUGAAAGAGAUGCCUCAUAGUCAGUUACUGUCAUUCAUUCAUGCUGUAGGAUGUUCUUGCAGACCAAACAUAAAACUGUAGACGCUUAACAAGAAUUAACAAUGUGUACACAUAGAUGCUAGCAUUUGAUAGCCUAUCUUAUCAUAAUUAGUAUUUACAAAUUCUCUAGUUCGUUGGAAUUGCACGUUUUGAUUAGUUCAGUUGGAUCUGGUAUAUGCUCUGGGGUGUGUUUCUGUUGGAAGAAGCUAUAGAGCCAGUUCAGCAUUCUCCAUUGAUAUUUAGAUUUUAUCUUAAUUUCCUUCUGCUGAUAUAUAUUGUCGGUAACUUGUAGGGAGUCUCUCCAAUGGACUGUAACUUCCCUCCCACAGUUGCACCCGUCGUCUGGCCAGAAAUCCCGCAGAAUGCAAACAGACAACAAUAUCAGCAACCGUGGCAGUUCGAUGCAUUCCACCACCAGCCCAUUUGGGGCAGGGAAGAAGACAACACGAAUUUUAUGACUCCAGAAAACUCACUCUUGAGUUAUGACUCAUCGGCUAAUUCAGGUACAUCAGACUUAAGCUUCUAUCUCACCCUUUCCUACCAGAAGUCCCAUUCAACAAAAAUUUGCAUUUAAUUUCAUCAUGGCACUCGGCUUCUAAAUAAACUAGAACUAGAAAUGUACCCGCGCGUUGCGUGGAUGUUAACCCUUUUAAAAAAUUUCGGUAGACAUCUAAACAAAAUAAUGAGGACAAACUUCAACUAAUAGAAUACGACUAACUCCAUAAAAAAUAGGCUCGUCAACAAUCUUUUCUAGAAAACCUUGACCAACUUUUAUAGAGAAACAGUCUUGGUCUAUAUCAACCAAACACAUUGAUAAUAUUCUCAUAAAUGUGAAAGAGAAAAAUGUAAAAUUCUUUGAUUGUGAGUAGGCCAGUUACCCUCUUCAAUUUAUAUAAUUCAAAUUCUGUGAAAAUUUCUUAUCUAAAUAACAUCUUUUACAUACCAUUUCAAAUUCUUUCUAAAAAUAAAAUUUCACAAUAUUAUAAGAAUAGAUAUUCACAUAUUUGUUUCUGAAAGGAUAUAACUUAAGACUCAUUUUGUUGAUGGAGUAAUUGAGCUCACAACCUCUCUCACUUUUCUUUCCAAACCCAUCAAACUAAUGAUUUCUUUUUUGAAACAAAUUCACAUUUACUAUUGUGACAAAAACAAAAUCUUUAAAUUUUGUUUUGGACAAUGAUCUUCUCACUAUUACCUCCGUAAGCACCACUAUCAUCGGUACUGUAACUUUCAUCGUUUUACCACUAUCAUUAGUUUCAUCAUCCAUCACCCACACUCUGUCAUUUUAAUAAUUAUUUUGACAUAUUACCAUCGUAGACCAUUGAUGUUAUUAUUGUUACAAUUAUCAUUGACGAUACUACUAUUAUAAUCGACACCUUCACCAUUGUCAUUGUGUUGCCACUGAUAUGCUACUGUCCCCUAUAAGUAACCUUAUUUCAUUAGUCAUUAUCAUAUGGUCAUUACACCACAAGACUAACACUUUCAUCAUUUACCACAAUUGUUGUUGUUAUUCCAUACUAAUACAGUUCUAGUAUUCGACAUCUCCAACACCAUACAAACAUAAUUUUAAACAAAUAAGAAUUUUUUUACUGUUUUAAUAUGAAUCUAUAAACUAAAAAUUGAUAGUUUAAAAGGCAAAAACAAUCCUACGCUAAAAAUCUUUUUAAAAGCUGAAAACUGGUUGUAGGUUUUAAUUUUUUUUAAACUGAACUAAAAACCAUCCUAGACGAGUCUCAAUAAUUCCCUUGUGUGGUGUGUGUUUGUCUCUGUGUAGAGAGAGAAUCCUCUCAAUUAUGAUUUCACAACUUGCAUUUGGAUUUUGAAUUGCUUUUAAUAGGCGCAAAUGAGUUGGGAAACCAUACAAGGAACAAUUAAGUACUCUAUUUCAUGGUACGAGGCCUUGAUUGAGCACUCUAGUGGCAGGUAAAAUAAAUAAGAAUUUUUAAUUUUCUUUCAUUCAAUGAGCAAUUUAAAGGGUAACCAGUUUCUAACAGAAUGCACAAUAGGCUUAAAAUUCUAAUGAAUGUUGUAUUACCAUUACAAUAACUGAUAUAAUUUGAAUGUGUUUAAUAAAAACACACAGAUUAUUGAUUAGUUAAUAAUUUAGUUAAUUAUAAAACAAUAAAUGUAAAAUUAAAAUUCUAAAGUAAUAGAACAAACGGAAGUGGAAUAAUAGUCAUGACAACAUAUUGUUUUGUAACUCAUAUUAUACAUAUUAUAAUUAGAUAAAUGUUCUAUUUUCUAGGGAACAUACUGGUGCUGUAAAGCAUAAAUGAACCAUAAAUAACUCAAACCAAGUUAACUUCUCAUAAAAAUGUUAUAAAUUGCUAAAAAUAAAUUAGUUUGCAUUACAACAACAAAUCUGUUGUUACAUUUUUAGGCACUCUGCAAUUUUAUCCUGUUAAGUUACUUUUGAAUCUGAAUAGAACAAUUUAAAAUUUGUGAUACAGUAUCUCUGCAUUCAAAUCAGUUGAAGAUGGAGCUCUGAAGGGGUAUAGAGGUGGUGGCACCAGUAGCAAUUAGUGUAUAUAAAAAAUAUAGUAUUAGCAAUUAGCCGUGAUUUGAGCAGCCUCAACAUUCAGCAGGGUUUCCUUGUCUUCUAUUUUGUCAGAGUCAGUUGGAAACCUGGAAUUUAUUCAGCCAGCAAGGAAGAAGAAUUGUUAAUCUAUUUUUAUAAAAUAUAUUAGUAUCACUAUUUAUACUAACUACAGGGGUCAUUCAAUCUAUGAAGUGAUUGAUUGAUUCAGAUUGUAAAAUCAUUGACUCGACUAUUAGUGAACUAUCAUGGAAGUUUGUUGCUAUGUUCAUUGAAUGCUACUUGAUGGUUUGGUUCUUUUUCAUGAUUUUUCUGAACAAACUACUCUAAUUUUUAAUGGCAAUUUUAUUUUUCAUUUCUAUCACAGAGAAAUAAAUAUUGUUAUCUUUAUUGAGUGUAAUUUAAUUGAAGUUGAUAACGAAAUCUUAUUACAACUUUCUAAUUCAACUUGAACUUGAGAUAAAUUUUACUUGUACGUGGAUGUGAAGAAAAUUUGUGAAUAUGUUGACAUUAUAGAAGAUGAAGGUUAGUUUGAGAUUUCAACUAAAUUCCAAACACACUUUUAUGUGUUUUACCAGAUUGACUUGGCUAAAAGUGGACUGACGUGAAUUUCUGCUGUUGAAAUUGGUCCCCGUAUGUUAAAAUGAACAGGUCAUGAUGAUGCGCUCUGCAUUAACUUCUGCAUUAUUUCUAUUUCAGCCACAAGCUUUUUAGGUAAAAGUAAUGGCUGAUGAUAAAGUUAAAGGACAAUUUACUUCUAUUGGACUUUCUGAAAGAUAACAUUUACUUCUGCAUCCAAUUAGGGAUGAUAAAUUUAAGGAGGAUGUAGCAUAAAUUGAUCUAUUUUCAAUUUUCUGGUUUUCUUUGUUCUUCUAGAUGCUAUCCUACUCUAAAAGUGCGACAUGAUAAGAGGAACUAGAUCAUGUUUCUCCCAUAAUGCUGUCUCCUAUAAUUGUUCUUCUUCUAUGUUCAGUGCCUAGCGCCUAGAGUUGUGUGGUGUUACGCUGUCUUGUGAUAUAAACUAUCAUGUGGGGAGACAGAUCCAUGAAAGAGGCCAUUUUAGAGUGGUGCACAGUUUUGUUAAAGAUGACUUUGUUUCUACUAUGAUACUCUAUUCUUAGAAAUGUAUACGGUUUUUUAUUAUUUUUUCCCUGGGAAUACGUGUUAUAGUAACCAAAGGAAACUUGUUGCAGUGAAGAAAGUAGCUCAGACAUUUUGUACCUAAUGAUCAAUCCCAGACACAAUGUAAAAGGCAUUGUGGUCCGUUACCACAGCAUUUUGUUGGCAUCAACGUGCAACUUGAAAUAACAGCUCUAACUAACAAAACUAACAUAACAUGACAUUCUCUGGAACAUUCAAAUUCCAGAUAAGCAAUAUCAAGAUCAUUUAUUAAGGACAUGUUUGGCUACAAACUAAAACCGUUUGAGAUUUUUCUUUUAAAAAUAUAUUGUCUGCACUCAGACACAGCACCAUAUCGCGGAACUAGCAGCAGCAGCAGGAGGUUUUAAUGGAUCUCUGCAUAAUUCAAUCAUAAUAAUCAUACAGUCACUGUUACAGUUAUAAUUAUCCAAGAUUAUAGGAAAACACACGGGCCCUGUGAUUCAAAGUCAGUCACAACUAAUUUUGAGAGGAAAUAAAGAAGGUUUUUGUUCGUAAAACAAUUGCGAGUUAAUAAGAAAACAAAUAUUAUAAUAUACGAUUUUUGUUGUAGAUCGAUAAUUAUUAUUUUCCGACAAGAUGAAAUUGAAUUUCAUAAACAUUGUAAAUUGUUUGUAAGUUUUUUUUUUUAAUAUCUUUUUCGUUGAAGGAUUCAAAAUUAUUGUAAAAAAAUGGUGAUUGUAGAUGGCUUUUAUUCUUUGAAAAAAAAACUCCCAGUUGAAGAGACAAUUAACUAUAGAAAGGAAAGUUUUCUUCUUCUUCUUCUUGAUUUGUAUUCUUUGAAAAAUGACUUUUAUUCUCAUCAUAUGUAAAAUCAGCAUAAGAGUGUUGCUUUUAAUGUAGUUCCUGUCUGAGUCUCAACUUCAGAAUAAUCAAACAAAUCCAUCUCACUUUCAUUCAAAAUAAUUGCCUUGUUUUCUCGUACCCUUCAUGUCCCUCUCAAACACAUUUGUUUGCCACUUCGUCUUCUUCACACCCAUCACUUGAAACGUCCCCAGCACAAUGCCUUUACUCUUGUAAACUCAUGUCAUGACCUUGACAGUGUCCUUGGGGUGCUCGGAACAACCCCAGAGGAUGCACCAAAUACAGUUAUGUGGAACUUGAUCAUGAGGUCCUAUGUUGAUUUGGGACUCUUCCAUUCAGUUUUGUCAGUGUACAAAAAGAUGAGGCAAAAGGGUGUUCCCCAUGAUACUUUCACAUUCCCGUUAUUGAACCGAGCCCUGUCUUCCAUGAGGGCUGAUGUUGUGUAUGGGAAAAUGAUCCACUGUGUGGCAACUAAAAUGGGUUUGGAUGGGGAUUUGUAUUUUUGCAAUACCAUGAUUGAUGUUUAUGUGAAAUGUGGGUGCAUUGCUUGUGCUCGCCUGGUGUUUGAUGAAAUUUCACUGAGAGAUGUGGUUUCUUGGACUUUGAUGAUUGCUGGUUAUGUUUCCCAGAGACUUGUUAGUGUGGCUUUUCAUCUGUUCAACAAGAUGAGGAUGGAAUUGGAACCAAACUCGGUCACACUUAUUGUGAUGUUGCAAGCACCUUGUGCUUCCAUAAAAUUAAGUGAGGGAACUCAAAUACAUGGGUAUGCACUGAAGAGUGGGUUGCUAAUUGAUUGGUCUGUGAAAAAUUCCCUUUUGAGAAUGUAUGGUAGUAAAGAGAGUACCAGCGAAGUGGAACUUUUAUUUGGUGAAGUAAGCAUGAAGGAUGUGGUUUCUUGGAAUAUUUUGAUUUCCUUUUACUCCUCAGAAGGAGACGCAACAAGAGUGGCAGGUUUGCUCAAAGCAAUGCAGAGCCUAGAAGUGCAUGUUUGGAACAUUGAAACUUUAACAUUAGUUACAUCGGCAUUUGCAAAGUCUGGUAGUCUUUCAGAGGGCGAAGGUGUGCAUUGCUUAGUCAUUAAAACUGGGUUUUGUGAUGAUGUUUGGCUGACAUCCCUGCUUGACUUUUAUGCCAAGUGUGGGAAAUUGGAAAGUUCAGUUCUACUUUUUAGUGAAAUCCAUUCUAAAAGUAAGAUCACUUGGUGUGCUAUGAUGUCAGGUUUCAUUCAGAAUGGCUCUUUUAUGGAGGCCAUAGUUUUAUUCCAACGAAUGCAAUCUGAAGAUUUUAAUGUUGUUCCUGAAAUUUGGAGAAAUCUUCUGGAUGCAUAUGCAAACCUGGGAGCUUUAAAAUUGGGCAAAGUGGUCCAUGGUUACCUUAUAAAGAACUUGUUUAAUGGGGCAAUAGAAAAUUCAGUACACCUUGAGACCUCUAUUUUAAACAUGUACUUAAGAGGUGGUAGCAUGUCUUCUGCUAAAACAUGUUUUGAUAUGAUGUCUGUCAAAGAUGUAGUAGCAUGGACAACAAUGAUUGACGGACUUGGCUCCCAUGGUUUUGGCUUUGACGCCUUGAAGUAUUUUAAUUUAAUGAUUGAGCAAAGAGUGCAGCCAAACUCAGUCACCUUUUUGAGCUUACUCUCCGCAUGCAGCCACUCUGGUCUUGUCAGUGAAGGCUGCAAUAUUUACCAUUCUAUGAAAUGGGGAUUUGGAAUUGAACCUACUUUGGAUCACCACACCUGCAUUGUGGAUCUUUUUGGUCGAUGUGGGAUGCUUAAAGAGGCCUUUGCCAUAAUAUUCAAAAUGGUAAUUCUACCUGAUAGCAAGAUCUGGAGUGCUCUUCUGGCAGCUUCCAGAGUUUAUGGAAAUAAAAAAUUCGGAGAAUAUGCAGCUCAAAGACUUUUGGAACUAGAACCUGACAAUGCUGGAUAUUAUACUCUGUUGAGUAAUGUAAAAGCAAGUGUUGGAAGAUGGGAGGAGGUUGAAAAACUGAGGAGAGACAUGAGAGAAAGGGAUCUCAAGAAGAAACCAGGGUGGAGCUGCAUUGAGGUAGCUGGGUCCAUCCGCGGAUUUGUUUCUGGUGAUAAAUCACACCCUGAAGCAGAGGAGAUUUAUGAGGCAUUGGGUAGACUGAGUAUAGUGACACAGGAUUUAGGGUAGUUGAAAGGGUUGUUUAAACGAACUUCUUGGCUCAUACAAGCUACAUUAAACUACUCUCAGACAAAGCAAACUAAGCCAAAUCGUAGUUCUUCAAUGGAGAAAAUUUUAUCUGUCUCGUCUGGCAGAACACUUGGGAAAUGGACGAGGAAGCCUCACAUGAAAGGAAGGGAAAUGGAUAUGCAACAAACUAACUGUGGCAUUGUAUUGUAUAAAAGGUUUACCCUCCAUUCAUAAGAAUUAAUUCUAUCCUCUUUAUUAGUUACUAGCAAUAUAUUGUAUUUAUCAAUAAGUUCUCACCUGUUAGCAAGCAUUCCUUUUAUGUUGCAGCAAAUUCAUACACCCCUCCCCUCUUAAGAAAUAGUGAUAUUCUUGUAAGUUCUUCCCUAAGAGUCUCAAAGAUAACACUAUGCUAUUUCAUAUUCUUAUUUGUAUCUUAUAAUUAAGACUUCCCAAUUCAAUACAGGAUUUUAUCUGUUAAGCUUUAUUGUGGUAUCCAUUUUGCUUCGUUGUGUUGUUUCCUGAAGACAUGUAUAGUGCAGCUAUUGUGAUUAUGAAAUAGACUGUGUUAAGCCAUUUACAUUUUUAAGAGCUUUUCAGAAAAUAUAUUUAAUCUCAAAAGAGAUGAAAAAUUCAAAACAUUCUUUUGGUCUAUGUAAAAUUGAAUUCAAAUCUUUUACUCCAAAUUUUCAAGAUAUAGUAAUCUGAACGAGAAAAAAGAUGAUUAAGAGCAAAACCUCAACAUGCUUAACUUUAUUGGUUUUGUAACAGAUUAGUUGAUGAAUACUUUUUGUUUAUAAUAAGAAGAAACGGGAAUCUUAGUUGUGUUUGAUUUGAUAGCAUCGUUGUUUUUUGUUUCCUGUUAAACCUGGUGGAUCUUUUUACUACAGACCAGGAUGCUAAGAAUUGGUGAAACACAGAACUGCAAGCACAAUUUUGGACAACAAUGAAGGUCUUAUGUAAAAAUGACAUCAUCAAGGGGAUGUAAAUCAGAGAAAUAAUCCCUUGAAACUCAAGCCUUCUACCUAAAUAAUAUCUCUCAGUUUUUCAUUCUAGCUUGAACUCUAGAGGAAAAUAGAUUGAAUUCCACAAGUGGCAUAAUUAAGGAAAAUGGAAAAUUGAAAGUAGUGGUGCUUGUCAGGGAAUUUGCUUAUCCUCUUGUCUGCAUUUCUAUUAUGUUAAAUUUGAUAUAAAUUAUAAUAAUUCAAAGCUAUUUGUUCUGUAACCCAAAAUAUGAUGGAAAAGUUAUGAACUUGCAUUUAAAAUUUGUAAUAAAAAAUACAGAAAAUAAAUAUUAUAGCUUUCUUUUAACUUAAAGUAGUAAUAUAUAUAUUACUGUAUGAUAAAACAAGUUGUAACUAGAGUAAAGUAUAUUUUGUGUUAAAUAUAUUUUUAAUUUUUAAAUUUUAACAUGAAAUUAAAAUUCUUUCAUAUUUCAAAUUUUGUAUAAUUUGAUUUUAAAAUUUAAAAAUAAAUAAAUAUAAUUUUCUAUAUUAAAUUAUUUUAAAUUUUUUAUAUAUUAAUUAUGUUCUACAUUUGAAUUAUUUAUAUUAUUUUAACAAGUUUUAACAUAAAUAUCAAUUUAAAAUAUAUGUCAAGCUAAAAAAAAUUAAAAUUUUUAGUUUAAAUAAAUUAUAUUAGUAUUUUUUAAAAUUUAAGAAUUAGAAUAUAUAAAAAUUUCAAACAACCUCAAAUUUUCAUAAAUCCAAUUGAAUUCUAAGCCGUAAUCUGUUCGCAACCACAUUAUUUAAAUAUUUAAAUACUAACAUGAUACUCUUGCCACGUAAAUCUAACUAUAAUACCGUUGAGUUCAAUUUAACGAGAAUAUAAUUACUGUAAUUUUUACAAAAUAAAGAUUAAAUUGAAACGCGAAUAAAAGAAAAAGAAUCAAUUUGAUAUUCUCACCCGUAACUCGCAAAUGGUUAAACCUAUACUUUAUUACGAACAGAUGCCGAUUAUUUACAGGGCAAGUGGUUUUUCUCUUCCUAAGAGAUUGAUGAUCACAUUAAUUUUUUCCUUUGGUUUCCAUUGCCACCUUUUUAAAACCUUCAACCUUUUCAAUCUCUCCUAGUGGAUUCAGAAGCAUGUUUCUGUCGAAACAUGUCUUGUCUUCCACACACAAAGCCUUAUUCCAAAACUUGCGCCUUUUUUCUUUGCCUUCAAACUCGCACCACGAUCUCAGCACUCAUAGCCGUGACACACAACUACGAGAGGCCCUUCUACAAAUGGCCCUUCGUGGCCAUGACAUGAACUUCCAAGACUACAACACGCUCUUAAACGAGUGUGUGAGCAAAAGGGCAUUUAGAGAAGGGCAGAGAGUGCAUGCCCACAUGAUCACAACUAACUAUCUUCCCUGUGUGUUCCUCUGGACAAGGCUAAUCGUAUUCUAUGUCAAGUGCGACUCUUUGACAAAUGCUCGGAACCUGUUUGAUAUAAUGCGGGAGCGGAAUGUGGUGUCGUGGACGGCUAUGAUCUCGGCUUAUUCUCAGAGAGGGUAUGCUUCUCAAGCCUUGAGCCUUUUUGUCCAGAUGCUAAGAACAGGUAUUCUUGGCGUGCUUGUACUUUGUACAAGUUCAUAUAUGAGAGGGGUGAUUAUUUUUUGGUAAUUGUGUUAUGGAAGGAGCUAAUAUAUAUACUUUUUAAUGCUUCAUUAUGUUUUGGUUUUAUUUAGUUGAAGAUGUUGUUAGGUCCAAGUUGGUAACUAAGAUUCAUAAAACGGAGCACUUUAUUGAGUUAAGUAGAAAUUAGAAGAUGAAGAUGUUGUUUUAGUUAGUGAGUUUGGUAGGCACUUUUGCUUGCGGGUCACUUUUGUGUCAAUGGUUUUUCUGUGUUGACGGAAGCUAUACCUUUUUGCAGAUACAGAACCUAAUGAGUUCACUUUUGCUACCGUGCUUACUUCCUGUAUAGGUUCUUUGGGUUUUGUGUUAGGGAGGCAAAUCCACUCUCUUAUCGUAAAAUUAAAUUACGAAGCACAUGUUUAUGUUGGAAGCUCGCUCCUUGAUAUGUAUGCCAAAUAUGGUAAAAUUCAUGAAGCUCGAGGCAUAUUUCAAUGCUUGCCUGAACGAGAUGUAGUUUCUUGUACUGCCAUUAUCUCCGGAUAUGCUCAACUGGGUCUGGAUCAAGAGGCGUUAGAACUAUUUCGCCAGUUGCAAGAUGAAGGAAUGCAAUCAAACUAUGUUACUUAUACUAGUGUUUUAACUGCACUUUCCGGGCUUGCUGCUCUAGAUCAUGGCAAGCAAGUGCACAAUCAUCUUCUUCGGUCUGAAGUUCCCUCGUUUGUGGUUCUUCAAAACUCUUUGAUUGACAUGUACUCAAAAUGUGGAAACCUCACUUACGCAAGAAGGAUAUUUGAUACCAUGCAUGAGAGAACAGUUAUCUCUUGGAAUGCAAUGCUAGUUGGGUAUAGCAAACAUGGAGAGGGAAGAGAAGUACUCGAGCUUUUCGAUUUAAUGAGAGAUGAAAACAAAGUCAAACCUGACAGUGUCACAGUUUUGGCUGUGUUAUCUGGUUGCAGUCAUGCAGGACUGGAAGAUAAGGGAAUGGAUAUUUUUUAUGAUAUGACCAGUGGGAAAAUUGGUGUUGAGCCAGACACCAAGCACUACGGGUGUGUUGUUGAUUUGCUUGGUCGUGCUGGGCGAAUAGAAGAAGCUUUAGAGUUCAUCAGAAAGUUGCCUUUCGAACCAUCAGCUGCUAUAUGGGGUUGCCUUUUAGGUGCUUGCAAUGUUCACUUAAAUGUUGACAUUGGUAAAAUUGUGGGUCACCGGCUUCUAGAAAUUGAGCCUGAAAAUGCUGGCAAUUAUGUUAUUCUGUCUAAUCUGUAUGCUUCAGCAGGAAGAUGGGAAGAAGUAGGAUCACUAAGGAACCUGAUGUUCAAGAAGACUGUAAGAAAAGAGCCUGGAAGAAGCUGGAUUGAGCUUGAUCAAAUACUUCACACGUUCCAUGCUAGUGAUUGUUCCCAUCCAAGAAGAAAAGAGUUAUCUGCAAAAGUGCAGGAGUUAUCAGUGAGGUUUAAAGAAGCGGGCUAUGUUCCUGAUUUGAGUUGUGUUUUACAUGAUGUGGAUGAAGAGCAGAAGGAGAAGAUACUCCUAAAUCACAGUGAAAAGUUGGCUUUGUGUUUUGGUCUAAUUUCUACUCCUGAAAGUGUGACAAUCCGUGUAAUAAAAAACCUUCGUAUUUGCGUUGAUUGCCAUAAUUUUGCCAAGUAUAUCUCAAAGAUUUACGGAAGAGAAGUAUCUUUGAGGGAUAAAAACCGGUUUCAUCGAAUUGUUGGAGGAAAAUGUUCCUGUGGAGAUUACUGGUGAGAAGAUUUUGAUAGAGUAACCAAUGAACCUCUAAGGUUGAACUUCAACCUUUAAUCUGUUUUGAUGCUGAAAUUGGCUCAAAAUUUAAAUGCAAUUCCAUCAAGAAAAUGGAGAACAAAAGGAGAUUGGUGUUGAAUAUUGUUUGGAUUGAAUAACUUACGAGUAGGAUGUAAUUUUAAGAGGAAUCAACACGGUAUACGUUAAAAUGCUUCAAUGAUGUGAAGGUUCUACCAGAGUUAAUCCCUACAAUAUAUUCUUGUAGCAAUUUUGUAUCAAAACUAAGUUGAUAAUAUAUUAAUCAAGUAUUAUUCUAGAGUAUUAUAUAAAUAUCUUCAACUAGUCUUUUUCUACUUUCAAAAAAUCACUAGACUAUUUUUUCCGUCAUCUACCACUCUGGAUUAAUUCUACAGUAUGAUAUAAAUAUCACAUUUUAAUAAAUUAAUUUAUCAUGAUUAAUAUUUUUCUUCUUUUAUUCAAAGUACUUCAACCAUCAGUAAUAAAAUUAGCGAGUAUUGAUUUUGGUCAAUAUAAUUUUUUAUUGGUUUUCAAUUCCACAAAAUUUAAAAUAACUGUUUUUAUUUCUUAUAAAAUAUUUUUCCUUAACGUUCCUUCUGUCAAAGUUGUAAAUCCGUGUCCCUAAUAUUUAUUUAAAGAUAGAUGAAUAAUCUUUAUUUUAUAAAUCUUAACAUAAUUUUUAUGUAAAACAUGUUUAUAUUUUAUAUUAUAACAAUAAUACACGAUAUUUUUUUAAUAUUUUAUUGAAUGUAUAAGUAUCAAUGGAUGUCAUACAAUACUAAAGAUUAAAUGUGAUCAUUUUCAAUUUCAAAGAGACAAAAAAAAUUAAGGAACCUAAAUCAAAAUCAAAACUUACUCAAAUAAGUUAUAAUUCAAAAUUUACAUAUUUUUCAAAUAUGUGUUUUAAUUCAAACAAUAGGUUUUAUUAUUUUAUUUUAUCCCAUCUUCUUUAUUUCAGAAUAUUUUUAUCUUAAAAUUCAACAUAUAAGUUUUGUUAUUAUUUCCAUACUAUAAAUAGAUAGAGAGUAUAGCAAUCUCUUUCUAUAAAUACUGUGUAAAGGGCUAAAACUCUAGGCCCAAUUAAUCGUAGUUGGGUUUAAAAUUCUAAGUCCAACCCAAACCCAAAAAACGGAAACAAAAAACUAACAUCAGAAAAUUCGUAGUCUCUCUCUCACUGUGUGACCAAUCGCGGUUCAGGUCUCACUCACUCUCCCUUCCGAGAGAUCAAAACCACCCAAAUCAAACCCAACCCGAUGCCGCCCGCCACGCCAUUCGCCACCGCCUCCGCCACCAUCCGCCGGCGGGUCCUCCAGUCUCUCCGAACCCGCGGCGGGGCGGAGUCUGGUCCCAGCCGGUGGACGAGCCCGGGCCACGAGGAGCGGCCCAAGGGGUACCUCUUCAACCGGACCCCCCCGCCCCCGGGCCAGUCCCGCAAGUGGGAAGACUGGGAACUGCCCUGCUACAUCACCAGCUUCCUCACCAUCGUGAUCCUGGGUGUUGGGCUCAACGCCAAGCCCGAUUUGACCAUCGAAACAUGGGCCCACGAGAAGGCCCUUGAGCGCCUGAAGAUCGAGAACGCCCUCGCCUCCAAUAACGACUCCUCCGAAUGAAUCUGCAUCAGUUCCUUCCAUCUAUGCAUCCCACACUCGCUUUUGCUAGCUUUUGUUUUAAAGCCAUAAAUAGGGUUUUCGCUGUAAUAAGGGUAUAACAACUCUCGGAAUUUUUCAAUUCCCUUUAUUACUCUUAAAUUUUACUUUUUCUUUUGCGUUUUUUAGUUUUGCAUUGUCAUGAGAUUGUUGACUCGCUUCCUGUUAUUAUCGAAUGUGGAUAAGGCGUUGUUCUUGCGUUACAUUGUGGUUUCAAUGUUUUUAUUUUUUCUAUUUAAUUAUAUGAUAUUCGUUUAGGUGAAUAAUGCUUUUUGUUGUUAUGUGGAUUCCGUUGUGAUCAUUGAGGAGCUAUUUGAAUAGAUCAUAGAAUUUGUCUGGAUUUGUGGAUUUGCGAAAUUGAAAUGCAUCCGUCUGGCUGUAGACUAUUCGUGUUGAAAGUUAACCUUGGAUCGGAUUUGUUUAAUGUUUGUGUGAAUUUGAAUUUGUUGAUGGAUUGUUUCCUUAUUCAUAAGUUGUUUAGAAAUUAGUUGUAGCCUGUGUAAAUUGAAAUUUAGACUCAUUCUAGUGUUGCAUAAUACAGAGAGAACCAACGGGUUGGGUCUUGUAGAAGGGAUUAGUUUCUCCACUAUGUGACAAUUAUGGUUUGAUCUCUUUUUGCUUUUUUUUUUCUUUUGCAGAAGUGAUUGAUCUCUCGAGAAACAAAGUUUGAGUCCCUACAUGGAGAGUGUUUACAUUUAGUAUCUAGUCUUGUUUUGAAGAAAAAUAACUGUAAAGCAAAUAACUAGAGAACCUAUUGAUUUAUCAUAGUUCAAAUAACUAUUGAAAUAUUGGAACUUGGAAGUACCUAAUUAUUGCACUUCUUGAAUUGGUUCUACAAGAACUUCUAAGGUUGGCAGUGGUUUCAAUUAGUAGUAGUUUAUGCUUUUGUGUUCAAGCCUUCCAUUAUUCUUUAUCAGGGCUGAGUUUGUCUCCAUUGCCUACCCGUGUUUUGUUACUCUCGUGCAUUAGCUUCUCCUAAGUGAUCAAAUUUAUAAAAUGAGGAAGUAGAGUAUAUCUACCGUUUAUCUGAAUUAAAGUUUCUUGCAAUAUUGCCUCAUUAUUGUUUGCGGAUCCAUUCUUAGACACAUUUAUUUACUUUAGUCAAUCCUAAUUUUAAAUUCUAUGCUGAAGUUUCAGUUUGUGUUUUCUACCUUUUUAUUAUUGUAGAUUUGCACAAGUUAAUGUUAUAAUGUUUCAUAUCACUGUCACUGAGCCCAUAGCAAACAAAAACUAUACUUGUGUUGUCUGCUUUAUUCCGCACUUUGUUUAUGAUGAUUAAUUCUUUAGAUGUAGGAAGCAAAUUAUUCUGCUGUGUUUAGACCAAUACCAUUGAAUCUUUAAAACUUACAUAGGGUAAGUUUGGUGUUGGGAUUGUGGCAGUUCCUUUGAAUGUGAUCAACUAGUGCAUAUAUCAAAAUCUUUACCAGUUUUUUAAUUAGGUCCUGUUUUUAACUCAAUUCAUCACCUCACCCUACUUCUCUUAUCUAAAGCAGUUCCCUCUUCUAUCAAUAUUUCUUUGUUUUGUUUAGCUGGAUCUGGAUCUGAUCACUAAGUGUACCUUUGCAAAAAGCUACUAAGUGUACCUUUGCAAAAAGCUUGUGUUGGAUUUUAAAGUAUAAUUGACAAAAGAAUAAAAGAAAAACUAAUAUCUUUUAUUAAGCGAAAGUAGUAAAUGAUUUUGAGAAAUAUCUAUCAAACUAAUUAAUUAAAUAAUGCAUAAAAUCUUUUUAAGAAAUAAGAUAGGAAUAUAUUUUUAUUUACUGAUUUGACUUCUUCAAUCACAUAUUGUUUAAGUCACAAAAUUUUCACAAUCUCCUUUUUAACUCAAAGUUAGCAUACAUUAAGUUUUUUCGUUUUUUGACUGUAUCAUCUAAAGUUCUUUCACUUUUGGAAGUCUUGAUCACAAUUUCUUGCUUAGCCUUUACGUUCUUAUAGUCUUCUGCACCUCAUCUACUUGUAGUUGUUCUCUUGGCUUUUUUGCAUUUUUAGCAGCUUGUGUUCCGGGAAGAGUUGUCCUAGGUUGCGCUUCUUCCUCUUAUUUCUCUGGUUCAAUUUGACAUUUACCAACUUUAAUACCUAUUAGCUUUACUUUCUUGCCAUUUAGAGAUGAGAUUUUUUUAGGUCAUCCGACAUCCAUAUGUACUAACUACAGUUUUUUUGUUGCUCUAUAAGAUUUGUCUUUUGGAAAAGGCAAUCUUGUUUGUUUUCCAUAUUGCAAAGCUACGAAUGCAGGUGAUUUCUCUUCCAAUUUAAGCAGUCCUUGUACCUGCAUAUUGUCUUCAACCUUGUGCACAACAAACUGCUUUUCAUCAAUCAAAUUCAAGGCAAAACUCUUGCCUUUCAUUUGAACUCUGAAUAAUUCUUUAUAUUAUAUGAAUCUUUAAUCAAUGAAGUUUUAUCUUCAAAUAGAACUCUGUAGUCUUUCUUUAGAAGUUGGUCAACACUCAACAAGUUUUGGUCAAUUUCAGGAACAUAUAGAAUAUCAAUAAUUAAUUUCAAAUUUGUGCAACCUUCAAUUGCGAUGGUUCCUAUGCCCUUUGGUAUUUUUGCUUUGUUUUCAAUUCUGACUUUUGUGUUGUAGGUUGCAUAAAGAUCAUUGAAUAAUUCUUGAUCGUAAGUCAUGUGGUUCGUGCAACUACUAUCAAUUAGCCAACUUUCUGUUGAUCUUGCAUCACCAAAGUAAGAAACAACAAAAAGUUCUUCUUCACCCUUUUCAACAACUUGUACAUUCUCUUGUGUUUUUGAUGACUUGUAGAUUUUCUCCAUAUACCCUAGUUGUUUUCAUUUAUGGCAUUUCACAUCUGGUCUCCACCAACACUUUGAAUGUGGAUGAUUGUUUUUCUUACAAAAAGGACAUGAUGGAAAAAAUGAGAGGAUUUGCUAUCAUUUUGUGGUUGAAACUUCUCGACUUACCCUUUUUUAAGCAAUUUAGCUGCCAAAGCCCCUUCAAUAUGAUCUUUUUCUCUCAUGAGUCUUCUUUGUUCUGAAGCCUAAAGUGCGGUCAAAAGUUCUGCAAGUUAAUAGUAAAAAGAUCUUUUGAGCUCUUCAAGGAAGUCAAUGUGGCUUCAUAUCUUUCUAGAAUUGUUACAAGUAUUUUUUGAACAAUUCAAGAAUAAGGAAUCUCAGUGCCAAAAAGAGGUAUUUUGUUUGCAAUGUCGAGAAGUUUGUCCGCAUAAUCUUUGAUUGUCUACAUUCCUUUGAUUCUCUUACUGCCUUCAUACUUUUCCUUCAAAAACUUCCAAAUUUCAUGUGUCGUUUUCAAUGUCAUUAUUUUGUUGAAAAUGAUUGAAGAUACAAUUAUGAAUAAAAUUGAUUUGGUUUUGGACUUUUGAAACUUGUUUUCGAAGUUUGCUUUCAUUUCAAAAGUCAAAUUGAACCAGAAAAAUUAGAGGAAAAAGAGUAGCCUAGGACAACUCUUCCUUAAGCGCAAGUUGAAAAUGCAAAAAAGCCAAGAGAACAACUACAAGUAGAUGAGGAAGUUGUGGAAGAUUGUAAGGAUGUGAAGACUAAGCAAGAAACUCCAAUCGAGACUUCCAAAAGUGAAGAAACUUUAGAUGAUACGAUCAAGGACAAAAAAACUUAAUGUAUGCUGACUGAGUCAAGGAGGAGAUUAUUGAAAUUUUAUGACUUAAACAACAUUUGGUUGAAGGAGUCAAAUCAGUUAAAUAAAAAUAUAUUCUUAUUAUAUUUCUUAGGAGGAUUUUAUGCAUUAUUUAAUUAAUUAGUUUGAUAGAUAUUUCUCAAAGUCGGUUACAAAUCCAGUAAUAUAAAUAUUUACUGCUUGUCAACACCCAAUUUCGUUCGGGUAUUUAAAUGGUCAAAACUUGUGCACCAAUAUAAAUAGGCACCUGCAAUUUAAUUAUCACAUAUAUCAAUGAAGAAGAACCUGAUUUUUGAUAGCAAAAAAUAAUUACCUUAAAGAGUUAUUACACACAUGUUUCCAUGGGAAGUGCUUUAACACAGCAAACGAAAAUGUAACAGCUGGGUUCAAGUGGGCUCCUGAUAUAUGUCCGGUGGCAAAUAUAACAACCAUAACACUGAAUCCUGCAGUGGUUCCACAAGUAAGUGUCUNNNNNNNNNNNNNNNNNNNNNNNNNNNNNNNNNNNNNNNNNNNNNNNNNNNNNNNNNNNNNNNNNNNNNNNNNNNNNNNNNNNNNNNNNNNNNNNNNNNNNNNNNNNNNNNNNNNNNNNNNNNNNNNNNNNNNNNNNNNNNNNNNNNNNNNNNNNNNNNNNNNNNNNNNNNNNNNNNNNNNNNNNNNNNNNNNNNNNNNNNNNNNNNNNNNNNNNNNNNNNNNNNNNNNNNNNNNNNNNNNNNNNNNNNNNNNNNNNNNNNNNNNNNNNNNNNNNNNNNNNNNNNNNNNNNNNNNNNNNNNNNNNNNNNNNNNNNNNNNNNNNNNNNNNNNNNNNNNNNNNNNNNNNNNNNNNNNNNNNNNNNNNNNNNNNNNNNNNNNNNNNNNNNNNNNNNNNNNNNNNNNNNNNNNNNNNNNNNNNNNNNNNNNNNNNNNNNNNNNNNNNNNNNNNNNNNNNNNNNNNNNNNNNNNNNNNNNNNNNNNNNNNNNNNNNNNNNNNNNNNNNNNNNNNNNNNNNNNNNNNNNNNNNNNNNNNNNNNNNNNNNNNNNNNNNNNNNNNNNNNNNNNNNNNNNNNNNNNNNNNNNNNNNNNNNNNNNNNNNNNNNNNNNNNNNNNNNNNNNNNNNNNNNNNNNNNNNNNNNNNNNNNNNNNNNNNNNNNNNNNNNNNNNNNNNNNNNNNNNNNNNNNNNNNNNNNNNNNNNNNNNNNNNNNNNNNNNNNNNNNNNNNNNNNNNNNNNNNNNNNNNNNNNNNNNNNNNNNNNNNNNNNNNNNNNNNNNNNNNNNNNNNNNNNNNNNNNNNNNNNNNNNNNNNNNNNNNNNNNNNNNNNNNNNNNNNNNNNNNNNNNNNNNNNNNNNNNNNNNNNNNNNNNNNNNNNNNNNNNNNNNNNNNNNNNNNNNNNNNNNNNNNNNNNNNNNNNNNNNNNNNNNNNNNNNNNNNNNNNNNNNNNNNNNNNNNNNNNNNNNNNNNNNNNNNNNNNNNNNNNNNNNNNNNNNNNNNNNNNNNNNNNNNNNNNNNNNNNNNNNNNNNNNNNNNNNNNNNNNNNNNNNNNNNNNNNNNNNNNNNNNNNNNNNNNNNNNNNNNNNNNNNNNNNNNNNNNNNNNNNNNNNNNNNNNNNNNNNNNNNNNNNNNNNNNNNNNNNNNNNNNNNNNNNNNNNNNNNNNNCGAGACCUCACGAUCACGCACAAUCCACAUUUCCCCAUCAUCACACCCGUAACGAUCCCAACAAACAUCCCUAAUCCUACACCUCACGGCAACACAUACAUUGAUUCUAGCCUUGCUCAAUCUGAUCACUCAUCAAAACACACGACNCNUUUGGCUCACCACUACCUCAUGCCUAACCCGUAACCACCAUUCCUCCAGUAGGUACAAGAAUCCAUCAUCAACCUCUCACACUACCCCCAAUUCCAAUAUUCACUCGCAUAUUACUUUCUAUCAACUCAGCAGUAUCACCCCUGUUGGAAUCAAUUUCCUCCAUCACCUCCAACUCUUGCGCCACUCACCAUCACACCCAACCACCAUAACAGAAACCCAAUCCCCUUCAUACAUGAUAGCUUGUAAAUCAUACCCAAUCGGCAUUGCAAAGAACAAAAAAAAACCACCAACAACAAAAGCCAAUUUCCAGCAAACCAUAAGCUAAGUUCUCACCGUCAUCAACCAAAACCAAAUUCAAAUCCAAUAAGGGACANCCAAUCAGAAACCCAGAGUCGAAAGAGCAAACUGUAAAUUUCCCUUUAAUCCCAUUUCCCUNCAUUCAAACCACAACAGAGAGAUCCAAAUCAGCUUCCUAGCCUCCCUCACGCUUUCCAUCUUCACUGCCAAUAUCCAACCGAAGCAAACGCCCACACCUGCUCCAUUCCCAUGGUGGCCGUGGACGGCGACUAAGGACUCUCAUGGUAGCGGCGCCGCAAANAGAGAAACUCCGAUCGNAGCUUGGCCUUGCAUUCAUGGAAGAUGAUGAGACUAUCGAGGAGAAGUCGAAAGCUAUUGAUGAAGAGAAGGUGAGAGAGGUGUCGAAGAGAGCUCGACGGAGCGGCGACCCUGACUCGGUGGCAGCGGACACCUGCGCGACGAACGGUCAAUGUCACUCACGAACGAGGAGGUUUUCUCCCGCGCAGAGGCGAAAGAGAANAGAGGGUUUGGCGCGACGGCCGGUAGGUUCUGUGGCGGUGGUCGGCACACUGGNGGUGUCUUGCGCUGNAGCUGGCGGCGGCCGUUUAGACGGAGGUGGCAUUGCGUCUGCGUGACCGNAGGUUGCUUNAUUUGGGAGUGAGGCCAAGCACGAAUUAGGGAAAUGAGGGUGGAGCUGUUGGAACCCUNUUUUCUGAACAAAUGGACUUGGGCCUGGCUUUUGGGUCUUAGUUUCUUCCUGCCACCAUGCAUAAUGCCAUUUACACCCCUAUUUUGGUUAGGCUGAAGCCUAUUUUGUUUCUGCAAAAGAAAAAGGACUAUUGGGCCUGGACAGGCUUUGCACCUCUAAUCCGUUUCUGCCAAUAAAAAAAAGAGAAGGAGCUUGGGCCGGCAACUACUGCAUGCCACCUCAACUUCAUUUCCGCACCCCUACCAUCACCUGGACCUGAAUUGAAGAUGAUUGGGUCGCACUCCUGGUUUAUUAUCUCUGCACCCCUAUUCUUAUUGGACUUGGNCUGUUUUUUUAUUGUCUUUGUUUUUUUUAUUUCUUUAGCUUUGGCAUUGUUUUAUUAUUGUGUGUUGUUAUAUCCUUUUCUAAUAAAAAUAAAAAUAUAAAAAUCAUAAAAAGUUAAAAAUCAAUAAAAAUAUUUUGGAAAGAUUUAAGCACACGUGCGANCGCUCGCGUAGGNCUUGUGUUGAAAAUCUUUUCCCUUUCUUUUACAAAAAUAAAAAAUAAAUAAAAAUAUUUUGAAAAGAUUUAAGCACGCGUGCGACCGCUCGCGUAGGCCUUGUGCUGAAAAUUUUUUCCCUUUCUUUUACAAAAAUUAAAAAUAAAUAAAAAUAUUUUGAAAAGAUUUAAUUACACGUGCGACCGCUCGCGUAGGCCUUGUGCUGGAAAUCUUUUCCUUUUUUUUUACAAAAAUUAAAAAAUCAAAUAAAAAUAUUUUGAAAAGAUUUAAGCACACGUGCGACCGCUCGCGUAGGCCUUGUGCUAAAAGUCUUUUCCUUUUCUUUUACCAAAUUUAAAAAUCAAAUAAAAAUAUUUUGAAAAGGUUUAAGCACACGUGCGACCUCUCGCGUAGGCCUUGCGCUAAAAACCUUUUCUCUUUUAUAUAAAAAUACCAAAAAAUAUAAAAUUUUCAAAAGAAACUAAAAACAUCUUCAAACAAUCAAUUUUUCUUAAAGAACUACGUAACCUUGAUUUCUCAGUCCAACUGAGAAUACGUAGGAGCAAGGUCAAUCCUUGUCGGGCACAAAAAACACAAAAAAUAUUUUGUUUCAUUUAGAGUUUUAUUUUGUAGGGGAAAAUUACACAUUUUGCAAACCACAUCAAAUUCGCGUAUUUAAUUAAAGGUACUGCCUUUGGGCAGGCGUGGUAGGGUGCUAACACCUUCCCUACACGUAACCGACUUCCGAACCCAUCUCUGGUUUUCACAGAUCUUGUCUUAUCUUUUUAUGGUUUUUUCCAUAGUUUUCCAAAAUAAACUAUGGUGGCGACUCCAAAACAUUUUUCAAAAUUAUUUUCUUUUUUGGAUCGUCGUGUCCCGUCGCGAUUUUCCGGUUGCGACACUGCUUAUACUUAAUAAAAGAUAUUAGGUUUCCUUUCAUUAUUUUGUCCCUUAUACUUAAAACCCCACAGUUUUUUUUUCUUAGUUGGGCUAUGUUCAUAUCAAAUUUUACCAUCUGAUAUUCAGUUUUUUUUUUUUUUCUUCUAUUCUUUCUUUAUGAAAACUGAUCAGUUUAGCGGAGAAGGCAUUUGAGCAAAUUUUCAGUCAGUCCUGCAUAUUAGGGGUGGUAAAACAUGCCGUUCAUAUUUAAACUUGUAUUAAUUAUCGAUGAAGAAAUAAGAAAUGAGAGAGAAGGAAAAGUAAUGAAUAAAACUUCGACGAUUUCGGGCAUGUGAAAUCGGACACUCACAUCACCACAAAUAUAAUACUAUCUGAUUCAUUGAAUUGAUUCAAUAUGAAUAUAUUAUUUAUAUGAUAUAAAUAUAUUAGAAGAAGGUUGAUUUGAAAAUAUAUAAAAUAAAUAUAGAUUUUUUAGUGAAAUAAGAUAUAUUAUCAAUGAUAAUUAUUUCUUUAUUAACUAACUUUGAUUCUUAAUUAAAUAUUCAACCCUAAUAGAGGGAGGUUUAAAAAUAUGAAUUAAUUAAUUAAAAAUAAUAUUUAAUGUGAUAUUUUUGUAAAUUUGUGAUACAGCUGUAUAUCAUCACAUGGUUAUUUAAACAGAUAAUUAUGAUUAGAAAAAAGUAUGUUAAUUUAAGGGUUAGGGUUUAGAAAUUCUUAAAAGAUAAUAUAUUUAUAUUAAUUUUCCACCUCAACAAAAGCCACAAUCCUCCAAAAAACUAUCAAGUUUCAACAGCACCAAUUAUGGCCCUCACUCCUAUACCAUAAAUCAUUAUUAAGAGAAUGACUUCCAAAAAGAUUUUUUGAAAUACAUUAUUAUCUCAAAUAAACUUAUUUAAAGUUUUAUUUUUUUUUUAAAAUAGGAGAAAAAAUAAAAAUAAAGUUAUGAAAAAAUAAUUAAAAGUAUUGAAUUCGAUUUUUAAUUAAUUUAAAGAUGGAACAAAAUAAAAGGUAAGUUAUGUUUUCUUUCAUAUAUAAUUUGAAAUUAAACUUUUUACUAUUCAUUUUUUAAAAUUAAAAGUAUUAUAGUAGAAAAUAGUUUCAUUAAUAGUAAAAUAUUAAAUUUAUCUUAUUUUUAAUUUAUUUUUCCAUAAACAAUUAUAAAAAUAACAGGUGUUAUUGCAGAUUAUAUUAUAAAACUAAUUUUUAUUCAUCUUGAAUUGCUUUUUAGGUUUUUUUCAAUGCAAAUAAAAUUUAAUUUCUGUAUUUUUUUAGUCAAUUAUUUUAAAUUAUAUUUUCACUUAUUUUAAUUAUUAAUGUUUAAUUUUUAAUUUUUUUCUCCUUUAAAAAAAUUAAAAAAAGUCUUUCCAGAAUUCAGUAAUAGGAAAUCGAAUUUUGAAGGGAUUUUUGGUAUCGGGCAUAAAAAACCCCAGUUGAGAAGAAAAAUAAUGUUUUACUAGUAUCAUUUUAAGAACUUUUUUAAAAAAUAUAUAUUAUUUUGAAAAAAAAAUCUGAAGAUAUUAAUUUUGUAGUAUGAUUUGAAAUGAAAUUUGUUAAUACUAUAUGAUUUAUAGAAAAAAAAAUAAUGAGAAAUAAAAAAUAAAUUUAAAUGUUUAGAACAAUAUUAUUGUUGUGGUAUAUUGAAUAUUGUUCCGGUUGUAUGAUGAUCCACCUCCUUCACAAUUUCCUCCGAACGUCCAAUAACUCCAUACCGUAAAGGUAACUUGAUUUCUCUCGAUCCUAAUUGACACUCCUGAUGUUCGGACCGACUGAGUAUCUGAUGUUCGGACCGACUGAGUAUCUGCUAAAGGCACUUCGAUGCUCAAGUCAAUAAACAGUCAAAAGGUAGAGAUAGAAAGAGAAAGUAAGUAUUGUGAAUAAAUGAGCAUUCAAUGUGCAGAUCUUCGUGAAAACCCUUACUUUGAAGGUCGCUGUCCUUGAAACGAGGUUCUUUGGACUGUCAACAUUCAGUGAAACCGUUCGUCGCAUCCGGUCUCUGUAUAUUAGAAUCACAUCCGGACGUUCAUGUCUUGUCUGUCCGGUUCAUAGAAUAUGCAGAUCUUUGUGAAAACCCUUUGAAGGUCAUUGUCCUUGAAACGGGGUUCUUUGGACCGUCGGCAUUCAGUGAGACCGUUCACCGCAUCCGGUCUCUAUAUAUUAGACUCAUAUCCGGACGUUCAUGUCUUGUCCCCGUUUGGUUCAUAUGGUACAAAUAUCAAUUAGGUGAUUAUGCUGAAUAUUGAUUGGUUGUUAAGACUGAAUGUGGAAGAGGUUAUACUGUUAUUAAGGUGAUUGAAUGAUUAAAGGUCGUUAUAAGAGAUGUGAAGAGUUAGGUCAUUUGGUUAACACAAUUAUCGACGGUCAUGAUUUUAUUAAAUAAAUAAAUACAAUAAAUAAAAAUAAGAUUAUCAACAUCAUAAAAAAAUUAAAUAAACAAAAUAAUAAAUAUAAAAUAAAUAAGAUUAUGAAUAUUUUAUUAUACAAAUUAAAUAAACACAAUAAUAAAUAGAAUAAUAAAUAGAUAAAGAGAUGAGAUGUGUGUAUUUUCUACUAUGUUUCUAAAGAGAAGUGGUAUCUUUGAGAAAAAUGAUAAAACAUUAUUGAAAUAAUUAGAUAAAAGUAAUAAAAAAAAUUAUGAGUGUAGUAAAUAGAUAAAAAAAUAAAAUAAUAUGAUUGAAGUAGUUGAAUUUGUCCAAAAAUUAAUAAGUAAAGAACAUAAAAACAUAUUGGAUUAAUUCACCCAUUAUUAUAACGAGAGAUAAAAAUGUAAAAACAAGUGAAAUUUCAAAAUAAAAAUCAGAGGAAUGCAAUUAUUAGUAAAACGAAUAAAAUAAUAAUAAUGUUUUAUUUUUUUUACCAAAUGGUUACAUAAAGUUACGAGAUAUUACAAUUAUAAAUACUUUAUUGAGUAAAUCAAAUAGUAAAUAUAAAAUAAGUGAACUUAUAAACACUUCACUAAAUAAAUUAAGUAAAUUAAAUAAUAAAUACAAAAUAAAUAAGAUUAUGUAUUAAAUAAAUUAAAUAAACAGAAUAAUAAACAAAUAAAUAAAGAUGACUAAUUAAAAUAGAAGAUGUUCCAAAAGUAAAUUUUUGGUAGAACUUUUUUUAAAAUCUUUUAUUUAGAAAAAAAUUUAAAAACAUUUUAUUUUGUAAUAUGACUUGAAAUAAAAUUUCUUAUUGUUAUGAUUCUAGAAAAAAUGUGACAUCCCAAAUAUUAUAUGGACAUACAAUAUAAUAGGAUUCAACUAUUAUAGUAUGUAAAAGCGGUUGAGAGAGUGAUAUAUGCAUACAGUCAUUCAAAUUUGGCUGGAAAUUUAAAAUUUGAUACAAGUUUAAUAAUUCUCCAAAAUAAAUGACCAACUAAAGGUUUAAAGAGGCCUAAAAGAGUGUUUUCAAAAUACAGGUCAUGACAAAAUAAGGUUAGAAGUCCUAAGAACUCGGAGUUGGGUCUUCUUCAGUCUCCAACGCUUGCUCCAAAGGCACCUCAUCAUCAACUUCUGCUCACAUCCAAGGAUUUUGAUGAUCAUCGCAAGGGAAAAAUCACACACAUACAAAACACACAAUUGCAAGGGUAAACUAGGUAUAAAAAGCAUGUUAUCAAUUAAGUAUUUCAAGCAUGUAAGGACCAUAACACCAUACAGACUAUGACCAAAUGCAUUUUAUUGAUACCAAUGACCGACUACGUGAUUUGACCAUCCGGACUAGUAUGAAAUGUCAAGUUCCAGGGGUUUGUGCACUUGUGGUGGCCUCUACUGCUUUGCAAAUCCAUUGCCAACGGGUUUCACCCUUACCACACACAAGUGUAAGUCCAUCCAAACUCAUUGGCCCAUAAAUGGAGACACCCAAGACUAGGACCUCCUGUUAUUCUCACCACAUGACUCAUCACUCUCUAAUUGAGCAUGGAUGGUCAUUAGAAUCUCAAGAUAAACCCCAUAAGGACACUCCGGCCAUUCAUACGGUCAAUCACAACAAACUAUAAGGCACCACCAUGUAACCUCCCUUGAGGAUCAUGUAACCACCAUAUAACCAUACUUGUUACACUUACACCAACUACCAAUUUGUUACACUUACAUAAUUCACAUACUUUGUACAUACAUGCUUUCAAACUAUAAUUCACAACGCAAUACAUCAUACCUCUAAUCAUGUUGCACAAUCAUUCCUUUAGUUAUGUCAUAAAAACAACUCAUACAUACUCAGACAUUACACACUUUCACAAAAACAUCACUUAUUAACACAAAUUUCUUUAUAAUCUUUAAUUACCAAUAUUUAGGUAAUUCAAACAGUUUGGAGACCCUCACCAAUGGCUCCGAAAGGGUCAAAAACCCUCCAGAACGACCUAAAGAACAUCCAAAACGGACAUCCAGAACCCACAAACUAUCAAAAAUAAAAACAACAACAGAAAAGGGCGCCCAGGCGCCAUAAUUAAGGUGAAACAGCGCGUAGAAGGGCGCCCAGGCGUGGAUUUUGCAGAUUUUGCAGAACUCACCCACUCUCAUUUCGUUUUAGGCCUUUUGGUGGAUUUCUACCAUCCCUAAUUCAUUCUAUAGGCUUAUCUAAACUUGUUAAAGUGGCCCUAAAUGUUCCUAACAUCAUUCUUUAGUUGCUACGUACAAAUUUAGACUCAAAAACUUCAAUUUCCUCAACCUAUGGGCUCAAACCUAGAUUUACCACUCGAGGACUGUUCUUGGCUAUUUUGACACUUCUCACAAGUCACUUUGGACUUACCUAAGUUGUCUCAACUACCUAAUUCAAGCUAUAACCCCUAGAACUCAAAACCAUUACAUCACUUCCUAAAAUCUAGUCUAAAACACCAUACCUAACUUAGGAUUUCAACUAGUAACCUGCACAAGACAAUUCACAGUCCUUAACCAUUCAAUUUCCACAUCAAACAUAUUACUCAUACCAUUACAAAUCACAAUUUCAUAGUUAAUAUACAAGCGCACAUAACUCAAUAUUCAGAACUAAAAUUUAUGGUUCACACAACACAAUCUCAACAAAAUAACUUCAUACAUGCAUCAAUACAUAAUCCCAAGUAAAUUCCCAAUUCAUGCAAACCCAAAUUCCCAAAACAGAAGUAAAAUCCUCAACUUCCCUUACCUUUGAUUCCAAAUAGUCAAGCUCACAGAUGCCCAAAUUUUGUCCCGCGUCUCAGGGAACCCUAAGAGUGCCUAUAGAUCAUCAAUUGAUGAUAGAAUAAAAAUCUUUGAGCACUGUAACAGCUAAAAUUGAAAGAAUAAGAAAUGAACUACAUGCAAUCAAAUUGGUUGCAUGCUUACAGCCCUAGAAUGAAUAAAAAUGGGGCUUUAACUUACCAAUUGCAGAAAAGAAAAAUCGACCGAUUUGAAACGUUGCCCUUGAAACCCCGAUCAGCUAGGUAGCUUCUGUUCAACAAACUAAGGAUCAAAAUCUGAGUUGAGAUAAAGAGGUUGUAAGGCAGAGAAGGAGAAAAAUGUAGAAAGGGUGGUUGUUCUUCAGAAAUGAAUGAACUUAAAAUGUUAAGUUUAUUUUUUUACUUUACUAAUAUUUUACCCAACCUAUCCUAUGUUGUCACUUGUCACAUUGAAGCUGGUUAUUUUUAUGAGUCCUUACAAAAAAUAACAAAAAAUAAAUUUAAAUGUUUAGAACAUUAUUAUCAUUAUUAUCAUAAUUGUUGUUAUAAUAUUUUUAUUUUAAAAAAAAUAAUAAAGAAUUAAUUUCAAAUUACAUUACAUAAAAAAUCAUAAAGUAAAUAAAAUUUAAACCCAAUAUUUUUGAAUUAAUUAUUUUAAAAUGAUUUUGUACAAUUUUAAUUUUUUUAUUUUCCUCCCCAUAGUAGAAAAACAAAAACAAAUGGAUGAGUUUAUUUGGAGAAAUAAUGUUUCAAGAGGUCUACUUGAAAAAUUAAUAUUACAUAUCUCUAUUUAAGACAAUUUUCUUUAAAAAUUAUUAUUGAGAAUAAAAGUGUCCAAAAUAAUAUUAGUUCUAGACUACUUAUAAUCUGAGACUAAUACUUGAUAUUCUAUUGAAGAAUAUAUAGGUAAACAUAAUAAAGCAACCAUAACAAAACAGGAAUGCUAGUGUGAUUAUAUUUAUUAUUGUAAUAAAUUGAUACUCAUCUCUUUUUUUAAUAAUUUAUCAAAUUUGAAGAUUUUAUGAUAGACUAUUAUAAUAGGUGAAAUCCACCUAUCAUAUCAAUAUUAUAAUAAAACUGAUAUAUUAUAAUAUAUUUUAAAUAACUUAUCAUAAUAUAUAAUAUAUAUGUAACGGUGUCAAACAUAUUUUUAUUUUUAUUCUUGCGCAUAAAUAUUCACUUUUAUAAUAAGAAAUAAUAAAAUUAUAAUCAUAAAAAUAGAUAUAAAUAAGUUUUACAAUUUAAUUGUGUAGAAAGUUUUUAUUUAUUUAGCAGAUAAUUUUUAUUUAUUUAAUUUUGAAAAUAGUUAAAUUUAUAAAAGAAUAGUUAAAUUUAGAAAUCAGUUAAAUUUAAAUAAAAUGAAAACUUAAAAAGUAAAAGUGAAAAAAAAAAUACAAAAAGAAUUUUCUUUUAACAUAUCCAUGCUUUACUACUCAAUUGCAGUCAAAUUAAUUCAUAAAUCCUUUUUAAGCAAAUUUUUCAUGCCAAUUUGCAACAUCAAUUACAACUUUUUAACUUACAAAGCUCCAAUCUAAGGAAAAGUUUUGAUGGUCUUACAUGAAGACAAGAAGAAAUGGAAAAGCUGAUUCUGAUUUUAGAAGAAAACAAAUUAAAACCACUUUUUCACUUUAUUUCUCUGCCAUUCAAUUCAAGACAAAAAUCUCAACUUUAAACCCAAUUUCUUCUACCUUCUAAUACCUACACUCACCAAUAAUCAAAUCUAUCAAUUAAAUUAUCACUUAUGUAUAAAUCAUAAACUUAUUUAAAUAUUCAGAAAAAUCCAACUUCUUACACAACCAAAUAACAUUAGACUGGAAAAUAUUAAAAAAUAAGUGUUAUAAUAAUAUUCUUUCUAAACAGAGAAAUAAAUAUAUUUAUUUUUUAACAUAAAUAGAUUAUUUACUUACAAAAAUGUCAUUACCUUCUAUAAUAAUAAAAAAGAAUUAGAAACAUUCUAUAAGAAAAAAAUUAUAAUAAAUUUACAAAGAAAAACUAAAUAUGAAUAAUAAUUAAAAGUAUAUAUUAUUUGGGAUUAUAAAAUAAAUGUGUGUGUCUAUAUAAAUAUAUACUUAAGAAAAACUAGAACAUAGUAAACAGAAUAUUUAUCGGAAGAAAUAUCUCUUUAUCUUUGUAUCAAUAACAAAAGAUACAUAUUUUAUAUAAAAAAGGAGUGAAAUAAUAUUAAUUUAAAAUACAAAUAACAUUAAUGAUUAAUAAAUAAAGGCAUAUAAUUUGAAACUAUAAAAGAAAUAGUUUUUAAAUAAGGAAGAAACAUAAAGCAAAAGAAUAAUUCUUUUAAUAUUGUUAAAUUAAAGUGAAAUAGAAGGGAAGUAGAUAUAAAAUACAUUAAUGAAAUUAAAGUGAUUUUUUGUUGUUCAUUAAUUAUUUAUGAUUGGACAAAGUAGGAAGAAUUAAUAAGGGUUUUGUAAUUUAGAAAGCUGUCAUGUCAUGCAUGACAUAUAACAUUUGUAACGGCACAAUAAUUUAAGGAGAGAUUGAUCUCUGAAAUUUGCUAUAAACAAGCAUGUCUGUCUGUCUGUUUCUGCAUGUCGUUUUUUUCUAUUGAAUAAUGAUUUCUGUCGAUUAAGGAUUGUGUUCUAAUUUUGAAGAUCCAUACAAUAAGUGCCAGUUGCCGCGCCACGUCGUGGUUCUUACUGAAAUCAUUCACACUUUUUUAACUCUUUUCAUUCACUUGCUGCCUUCCUUCACGUUUUCUCUCGAUACCUCUGUCACACGCUCUGUCUCUUUCGCUUCCAUAUCGCACCCAAUCUGCACCAGACAUUUUCUUCUUCUUUUUCUCUUAUUCUCUUAUUCUCUUAUUCUCUUAUUGCCUUAUUCUACUCUCAGAUCAUCAUCACCGACGCAUAACCAUGGUUCAGAACGAUAACAUCAACAAGGAGAGAGACCUUGAGUUUCUGUUUGAGGACAACGACGACGAUGCAGAACAGCAGCAGGACAUUGAAGCGGACAAGUACCAAAGUAGCAGUGAAGAAGACAGUGAUGUCGAGCCUCGCUCUUUCUCUUCUCACCAAUGGCCUCAGAGUUACAAGUAUAUAUAUAAUAUACAUAUAUAUUAUUAAUUAAUACUCUUCACUGUUCACUUCUUUUUGCUUCGAUUUUUUAAGUUUUUCAUUCGUUGUUUAUUCUGUCAUCAGAGUCAAUCAUGGUCAAGUUUUCGCUUUGAGUUCAUGUUCUCUCACUUGCAUGCUUUGGUUUCAUUUCAUCGUGUUGUAGUCUGUGUGAGUGAGAGUUUUAAUGUUUUUUAAACAUGAAGUUUGCAUAUGAGAAUGAUGUUAAACAUGAUCUGAAACUUGAUCGAUAGAUCCAGCCAUGAUAGUUAAGAUAUGUGCUGGAGCUAUGUAUAAUAUAGUUCUGAUCCGAGAUUGCUUUAUGUGUAUACUUUAAUUUAGUCUCAUAUUUUUAUUAGUGUGAAAUUUUCCACUAAGACCACUGAAAACGACAAACCAAUAUUUUUUUGAGUAUUUAACAUCGCUUAUAUUUAGGAAUCCAACUUGAUCUAGGAGCAAAUGUGGUUUGUGUAAUUUUCGUUUGAAGUUUUGAUGUCGUACCUCUGUUUUUGGCUCCUUUUGUCGUGUCCGUUAAUUUUAAAGGCUAAUUUAUAUCACAAUCUUUGCUCUGAUUUUUAUAACACUGCAGAGUUAGAGUUGUCAUUUUCUAGCUUCUUCGAUGUUCAGUUUUUAUAUUUUUUGCUGGCAAAACGAUAAAUCAUAAUACGGUGUGAAACCACAUGUGUCCAUGAUCAUGACCCAUUUCUAUGAUCUCACUCAUCUUCAUUCGAUAGAUAACUAGAUUUUAGAACUUUUUCUUGUAAAUCGAGAGUGUGAAAAUUAGCCGGGAGUGUAUACAAGUGGUGAUCUAGACCAUAAAAGAGUUUUUCGUGGAGAAUUCUUACAUCAAAUUUAUAAUAGUUAGUGAUUUGACUUGCAAUUUUCCGAGUGAGAACUGAUUUGUAUGGCAUCAAAUUUGUUUUAAAUUGCUUUGGUAGUAUUUGUUUUUCUGGUUUAUAGUAACUUUAAUGAGCUGAGCUCAGAUAUUGUCCUCUUAUUGUUUUCACUCCAUUUCUUUUCUUAUGACAGAGAGACUACGGAUUCUUACACAAUAGCUGCUGCUCCAAAUCUGGAGUCAGUUCUGCGAGGGCCGAGUUUUAUAUAUUCUAGUUUUGACAAUCGUUCUAAGAGUAGCUUAGACAUUGAUGGAAGGACACCUUUUCUAUCUUCUNAAGGCAUUAAUCAAUCAACUUGGUGGGAGAAAGCUUCAGUACAACGCCAUUUUACUGGAGAAUUACCCAUUGGAUAUGGAUGCAGCUUCACUCAGACAGUUUUCAAUAGUACUGUGUUAUUCCAUAGCAAUCUUUUUACUAUGCAUGCAUGCAAAAAAAUCUAUUUCUACUUGCUCAUUUUAUGAGACAUGUUGUAUCUUGGUAGGCGUUAAUGUGAUGGCUGGAGUNGGCCUUCUAUCUACACCAUACACAGUGAAUCAAGCUGGGUGGAUCGGCAUUGCAGUGAUGCUCUUUUUUGCAGUUAUUUGCUGUUAUACAGCCACUCUUAUGAGACACUGCUUUGAAAGCAGAGAAGGAAUCACUACCUACCCAGAUAUAGGAGAAGCUGCAUUUGGAAGAUAUGGCCGUAUUGUUGUAUCGGUGAGUUAAUCUAUUUCUCUACUUAAAUCAAUUACCUUUGAUCUUUAUAUGUUUUAGGGUCCUCACAAAAUGUACCGGAGCAUGACUUCAUUCUGUUUUUUAAUCUAAAUCUGAAUCAUAGUUGUAAGAGAUUGCUGAGAUAUUAUGUUUACUAUAUAUGCUUACUUAUUAUGAUAUUUGUUGCAGAUCAUUUUGUACAUUGAAUUAUAUGUAAGUGCACUUCCUAUUUCUUCUCUUUCCUUUGAAACACCUGCAUUUUGUGCUCUGCACCACAUGUACAAUCUCUAUUAAUGGAUGCAGUCAUAUUGUGUGGAGUUCAUCACCUUGGAAGGAGACAACCUCAGUAGUCUGUUUCCUGGUACUUCCUUAAAUCUGGGUAUUUUCCAGUUAGACACUAUGCAUCUCUUUGGAGUUCUGACAGCACUUAUUAUUCUCCCAACUGUUUGGUUGAAGGAUCUUCGCCUAAUUUCUUAUCUAUCAGGUGUUCCAAAGUCCAAAAAUAUUCCUUUUUUGUCAAAUUUUUCUUCUUAACAUGUGCUUAUUGGAACUUGUAAUAUGAUCUGCAGCUGGAGGGGUUGUUGCAACAGUUUUGAUUAUUAUCUGUGUGAUUUUUGUUGGGACCACAGAAGGUGUUGGAUUCCAUCACACUGGUCAAUUGGUAAAGUGGAAUGGCAUUCCAUUUGCCAUUGGUGUCUAUGGAUUUUGCUUUGCAGGACAUUCGGUUUUCCCAAACAUUUAUCAGUCCAUGGCUGACAAGAAACAGUUUACCAAAGCCCUCAUAACAUGGUACAAUAAUACCUAGUAACUUCUCUUUCACGGGCAAAACAAAACACAACAUGUUUGAUGUUUUUAUUUUUCCUGAUUCUUGGACUCGUUUCUUUGGGUACAGUUUUUCUUUGUGUGUUUUGAUAUACGGAAGCGUUGCAAUCAUGGGAUUUCUCAUGUUUGGUGAUGGCACUUUGUCUCAGAUAACAUUGAAUAUGCCACCAGGUGCUAUUGCUUCCAAAAUUGCAUUGUGGACAACGGUGAGUUUUUGAGAAUUUUUUGGUCUCUUAGCACUACUUUUAUUUUUGCAGUUUAUUCUAGCUAGCAGCAACCUUUGACCCCCGAAUUUCAUGUUCUGUGAUGUUCUUUCAGGUUAUUAACCCAUUCACUAAAUAUCCUUUAUGCCAAAGCUAUAUAAUUUAUGAAAGAUUGUUUAUUGGUUUAUGGUUUGUAAACUUCAUUAGUCCUUUUUUAGUUUAGCCUUUUCCUUAACAGUAAACACAUAUGCUCUGUUGCUAAACCCACUGGCAAGGAGUUUAGAGGAGUUGCUGCCAGAGAGAAUUUCAACUACAUAUUGGUGUUUCAUUCUUCUUAGAACAGCCCUUGUUGCAUCUACAGUUUGUGUUGCUUUUCUGGUUCCGUUUUUUGGUAAGCUUUAGAUUUUACUAUAGUUUGUGACCACCUAAGAAAAUUAUGUAACUUUAGCUUUAUAUCCAUAUACUCAAUUUUUCACCCUUUCUGUCUGUUACAUUUUGUUUUAAAACCACAAUAAAGAAACUCAACCUCAGAUGAAGUUUGUUUUUCAUACAUUUGAAACCAAAACUUUGUUAAACAACAAUCAGAAGCUUUAAUUUUUAGGGUUAAAUAUGUCUUUAGUCCCUAUACUAUGGAGCAAUUUUGGUUUUAGUCCCUCUUUCAAACUAAGGUACAAUUUAGUCCUUCAACUCUAGAAAACUCUGGUUUUAGUCCUUUUUACCAAAUUUUUUAAAUUUUAUUUGUUAUUUCAAACACGUUACAGUAUAGCAUUUGGAUUGUUUACACUGUUUGACACAUUUUUGCUUCAAUAUUAACUGAGAAACGCGUUUGAAACAGUAAAUAAAGUUUAAAAAAUUUGGUAAAAAUGACUAAAACCAGAGUUUUCUAAAGUUGAAGGACUAAAUUUUACCUUAGUUUGAAAGAGAGACUAAAAUCAAAAUCGUCCCAAAGUAUAGGAACUAAAAACAUGUUUAACCUUAAUUUUUAUUACUGGGUCAGGCCGUACAGGGAUCAAACGACACUUUUUGUAUUCUGUGGAAAGUAAUUCUUCAUACAAGUGCGUUUGGAUUAGAUUCAAAACUAAUAUUAUCGUAAUAUAUUUAAUUUCAAAACUAAUGAUAACUUCAUUGUAAUUUCAGGACUUGUGAUGGCUUUAAUUGGUUCUCUCUUCAGUUUACUUGUGGUAAGAAAUGCAUUGACUAUAUCUCAGAUCUUCAACAAGAGUUAUGAUAUGUACAGAAUCAUUAUAUAACUUUCUAUAUUUUUAUUUUAGUCUUAGUCCUUUCUACUUUGCCUUAUUGUUAUUCAUUCGGUUCAUGCAAGGAAUUUGAAUGAAACUGCUAUCUAAUUUGAACAAUGACAUUUCUUUCAGUCAGCGAUAAUGCCAACUUUAUGUUUCCUGAAAAUUAUUGGGAAAAAAGCGACAAAGACACAGGUAACAGUUUGAUUUUGUAUGAAUUUUUUGAGGAAAAUCCUUCUUAUACAGAAAACUGUAAUCUCAUAAUAUUUUUAACAAAAAUUACAUCCAAUUAUUUAAAUUUUUUAUAAUGAUUUAUUGAGUUGAAGUGACAAUUGAAGUAACAAUUUUUUAUUUUUAUACACUUUCUUUUUACUUGUUCCUAUUUUAGUGAAUAUCCAUUCUUACUAUUUUACUAACUUCCCUUUUGUUUUUUUUGGAAUUAACAGGUUGCACUCAGUGUUGCAAUUGCUGUACUUGGAAUGAUUUGUGCAGUUCUUGGAACAUACUCCUCUGUGUUGAGUAUUGCAGACAGUUACUGAGACAUAUUGUUGUCUUUAUGCGCUUAGUGUUUCUGAAUCCAACCUACAUCUAUCUGGAUUACUGUGGAACAAGUUAUUUUAACUUUAAAAUAGAUAUUAAAUAUGUUGGUUUGUUUUAAUUAUAUAUUUUAUAUUUAUAGUUAAUAUUAUUGAAAAAAUAUAUAUUGAUAAAAUUAUUAAUUUUUAAAAUAUAUAGCUGUAUAUUUUUAAAUAUAAUUGUGUUUUGGGUACGAGGUUCAGGUCCUUUACUCAAAACACUCCAAAUUGUCUUGAAGACCGGAUGAGCUAUUUAAUGAUCUUCCAUCAUUCUAGUUAUGUUGUUUCUUCUUUCAUUUUUGUUCAAGUCGUAUAGGUGGUUGCCUAAAUUGUAGUCUUUGCAUGCUUAGUGUUUUCGAAUCCAACCUACAUCUAUUUGGAUUACUGUGGGGACAAAUUAUUUUAGCUUUAAAAUAGAUAUUAAAUAUGUUGGUUUGUUUUAAUUAUAUAAUAUUUAUAGUUAAUAUUAUUGAAAAAAUAUACAUUAAUAAAAUUAUUAAUUUUUAAAAUAUUUAGUUAUAUAUUUUUAAAUAUAAUUGUGUUUCGGGUGGGUUGAGGUCCUUUACUCAAAACACUCCAAGCUGUCUUGAAAAUCGGAUGAGCUCCUUAAUGGUACUCCAUCAUUCCAAUUAUGUUGUUUGUUCUCUCCUUUUUGUCCAAGUCGUGUGGGUGGGUGUUUAUCAAAGGUACUCUGAUGUUCAAGUCAGUAAUAUAAUUGAUUGGUUAAUACAACAAGUGAUGUAUAUAAUGUGUAUAAUCCUUCUCAAGUCAUACUGAGACUUUUAUUUACAAUAGUUGUGAUGGACCUUUACUUUUCGUUGGUUUAAUGACGACCAAAACACAUCUUAAUCCUCAUUAGAGGCUUAAUGAGUCAUUGUCACUGAUAAUCUGACCAUACUGUUAGGUCAUACUGGGCGCCCUAGAAGAAUUUUGUGCAAAGUAGUUCAUCCUUAAAGGAGGAAGACUUGGGUGGACGACCUAGGUGGUCGGCUGAGUGAUUGGCUUAGGUGAACGACUUGGGUGAACGACUUGUGUGGACGACUUAAGCGAUCGACCUGAGUGAUCGGCUUGGGUGGUGCUCGAUCCCAAGGGAGACCAUAUGGUACAAAAGUACCCCAAGCCAAAGCAUGAUGUUAUUCUACAAAGAGGUUGUGCACAUGCCACUCCUGAUAAGGAUGGGCUCACCAGUUGGCUUUUUAUCUUUGUUUCCUUUUUGUUUAUUGAUUAAGGUAAAUGGUUGGAAGACUGAGACUCUUUUGGGGAAGAUCCACGGUCACCGACCUUCGGUGAGGCCGACCGGGAUCUCUUUUGUGAAUAUCCAUAGUCAUUGACCUUCGGAGUCCAGGAUUCCUUUGGUGAAGAUCCACGAUCACCAACCUUCGGUGAGGCCGGGCAGGAUUCCUUUGGUGAAGAUCCACAGUCACUGACCUUCAAUGAGGCCGGGUGGGAUUCCUUGGGUGAAGAUCCACAAUCAUUGACCUAGGGUGAGGUCGAUUGGGAUUCCUUUGGUGCAGAUGCAUAGUCACCGACCUUUGAUAAGAUCGGCCCAGAUUCCUUUGGUCCAUAUCCACGUUCUCCGACCUUCGGUAAGGCCGGCCGAGAUUCCUUUGGUGUAGAUCCACGGUCACCGACCUUCGGUCAUGUCGGUCGGGAUUCGUUUGGUGAAGAUCCACGGUCAGUGACCUUUAGUGAGGUUGAAUGAGAUUCCUUUGGUGAAGAUCCAUAAUCACUGACCUUUAGUGAGGUCGGUCGGGUACUUGUAAAGCCAUGGGUGGUCAUGCAAUUGAAGCCAAAGUAAGACCGAACACUUGAGGCCAAUAUUGGUUGGGUACUUGUAAGGCCAACAAAAGGCCGAACACUUUAGGCCAAGUGUGGCCCAGUACCUAUAUGGCCAUGGGUGGCUGAGCAGUUGAGGCCAAGGUAUGCCCGAACACCUAAAGCUAAGGUAUGGUCGAACACUAAGUACCUGUGAGACUAUGGGUGUCGAGUAGUUGAGCCCAAGGUAAGGCUGAACAGUUGAGGCCGAAAACUUUAGACCAAGUGUGGUCGAGUACGUGUGAGGCCAUGUGUGGUAGAGCAGUUGAGGCUAAGGUAAGGCCGAACAAUAGAGAACAAACACUUGAGACUGAACACUUUAGACCAAGUGUGAUCGAGUACCUAUGAGGUCAUCAGUGGUCGAGCAAUUGAGGUCAAGGUAUGACCGAACACUUGAGGCCGAGUGCGACCGAGUACUUGUGAGGCCAUGGGUGGCCGAGCAGUUGAGGACAAGGUAAGGCCGAACACUUGAGACCGAGAAGUGUUCGGCUGAGUACCUGUGAGGUCAAGGGUGACCGAGCAGUUGAGGCCAAAGUAUGACCAAACAUUUGAGGUCGAACGGUGACCAAAUGUGGUCGAGUACUUGUGAGACCAUGAGUGGCCGAGUAGUUGAGGCCUAGGUAUGGCCGAACACUUGAGACCAAGUGUGGGCGAGUACUUGUGAGGCUAAGGUAUGGUCAAACAUUUGAGGCCAAGCGUGGUCGAGUGGUUCGAGUAAGUUGAUGUUGAACAUAAAUAGUGAGGUUGAAUGAUUGGACAAUUGAAGUCUUCCAAAGUACCACUCACUGGUUCCUUAUGGCUACAAUGAGGGAUACUCUCUCGGCGUCACGGUGGACGCCAAAAUGUUUUGGGUAUGAGGUUGAAGUCCCUUACUCAAAGCACUUCAAACUGUCCUGAAGAUAGAUGGACUCUCUAAUGGUCUUCCAUCAUCCAAGUUACGUUGUUCGCUCUCUUUCCUUCUUGUCCAAGUCGUGUGGGUUGUAUCUAUCAAAGGUACUCUAGUACUCAGUCAGUAAUAUAACUGAUCAAUUAUCACAACAAGUGAUGUAUAUAAUGUGCAUGAUCAUUCUUGAGUCAUACUUGAGAUCUUUAUUUAUAAUAAUUGUGAUGGACCUUUACUCAUUUAUAAUCUAACCAUACUAUUAGAUUAUAUUGGCCAUAAUCUAGAGAAAUGGGCAUAACCUAAAAAGUAAGUGCAAAGCAAUUCGUUCUUGAAAGAGGAUAACUUAACUAAUCGACCUGGAUAAAGAAACUAAACAAUUAACCUAAAUGAUCGACUUGAGUGAUACUAAAAAAGACCUUAAGAUAAAAAAUACAUUAAAAUUAAGAACAAAACAAUUUAUAUAUAUAUAUAUAUGGUUGAACAAAUCAUAAUUUACAAAUAUAUUAUUACUAGUUGUACUUUCAGGAUUUAAUUUAUCUAGCUACCUUUAAAUUAUUGAUCCCAAAAAAUGUUAUGUAUUUGGCGUCAUGUCUUUUAAUUUAAUUGUUAGUGUUAUUAUUAACUUCAAGCAGAAAUAAAGAAAUUAAUUUCUUAAAACUAGUUAGCCAUACAAGAUUUUCAAUUUAAAUUGAUUCUUUUAAGGUUAAUAUAUGUGUCUAAUAUAGUAUAUAUAUUAAAAACAAUACAUAUUGCACUUGUUUUAAUAUUAAUCAAUGCAAAUAUAAAUUGAUUUUGCAAGAGACAAGCACAAAAAAUAUAACGAUUAUCAUUCUUUUAUAUAUAUAUAUAUAUAUAUAUAUAUAUAUAUAUAUAUAUAUAUAUAUAAUCAAACAUAUUAUGCAAAAAUAUUAUUUAUAAAUUUAUCUAGCUGACCAUAAACUUCCAUUUAACUGGGGCAUAAUUAUGAAUUGAUUGGCUCAAAAACUCUAUGAUCAAUUAUACAUAUGAUAAAUUGUAAUAGUUUUUAACUAAAUUAUCCAAUAAAAAAAUAGCUAAUAUUUUUAAAAUUAUUUUUAAAUCAACUCUAAUAAUUAUAUUCUAGUAAUAUAUUUAUAGUUGAUUUAAAAUUAAUAUUAGAAAUAUUAAAAAUUAGGUUUAAUGUUUCAAUAAGUUCCUAUUAAUGAAUAUGUCAAAUUGCAGGAUGACAGUAUAAUUUUAACAUAAGUGUCGUUAAAAACGUGUUUCAAUUUUAACUUUUUAAAUUUUAAAUUAAAAAAUUAAGUAAACUAUAAUUAAAGAAAGGGAAAAGUUGGAUUUCUAAUCUUACUUUCUGAAUGCCUCAUUUCUCUUUGCAACGAAAUUGAAAUGAAAUGAAAUUGAAGGAAUUUAAUUUUUAGGAUUCAUCCCUCAAGAGACACCACAGGGUGAUGUAAUGUAAAUCGGAACUAGAACCUUUAGGGUUCCUACGACGUAAUUUAGGGUUCCUACGAAGUAAUUGAAGGUGGAUAAAAGAACCACUUAUGCAAAUUGCUAGUGCAAAAAUCAGCACCAAUUUCCUUCAUGUCAACAUCAGUGCAUCCAAUGGAAUGAGUAGCGUCAACAAAAACCUAAUCCACCCCUUCCUCCCUGCAAAUUUGAAUCAACUCCUUGACAGAAAUAACCACACACAACAUGGAAGUCACAUGAUCAAUCACCGUUAAUCUAACCCUAUUUCCGUUACUUUUUCCUCUCUCCAAGGCCUUCCUAAACUCAGAAACGAUCUAGUCGUUGGAGUUAACAGGGAAAGGGAGGGGAACCUCAACAAGAUUGCUUCCGGCGCGAGUGACGUACGCUUCCAUGGAUUUCUUGACGGCACCGUAAGCGUAGUGAAGCAUGAGGACGACAUCACCUUUUUGGAAUCUUCCUUCGCGGAAGUUCCAUGCAGUGUGCUGGAGGACGAUGGCGGCAUCAAUGGUGGCAUUGUCAAUAAUGGAGAUCUCAUCGACGUGGUCUGCGUUGACGAGGUCCUUAAUUAAGGUUCGCGAUUGGAGGAUGCUAGUUUUGAGGUCAUUGAAGUAGAAGUGGUCGGGCUGGCGAAGGUACCAGAGUUACCAGCGGUGCUGGGCGGCGAGGAUGGAGGCAAUGUUGUCAAACCCUAAAACUCAACUUUCCCAAUUUCAUUUCCAUUUGCAACUGCAGAGAAGGGCUUUCCAACUAAAAUAAGAUUUUACAACUAUGCCCUUUCAUUAAUUAAAAAAAGAAAUUAUACAUGUUUUUAAUGACACGUGUAUUAAAAUUAAGUUGUCACCAUACCAAGCUACAUACUCAUUAACACCGUUUGUUAAAUUUGACGGAAAGGAUUUAUUUUCAUCAAUUUAACAAAAAUAAAGACCUAAUUGAGACCCUAACAAAAUCAGGAACCUAUUUAAGAUUUUGGACAAAAAUAAGAACUUAUUGAAACAUUAAACCUAAAAAUUACAUGCAAAUGUUAAAUUUAUUUUUUAUUUUUAAAUGACCGCGCUAUUAUUUUAAAUUUAGUUAUUUUAUCACUUCAUUGUUUUUGUCAUUUUAAAUUUUCUAUUAUUUUAGUUUAUUUUUAUAAUAUUUUAAAUUAACUUUCACAUAAUAUUAUCACUUUCAUAUGUGAAUAUUUUUUAAUAGAAAAUUAAAAAUAUUUAAAAAUAAAAAAUAACAAAAAAACAUGUGACACGUGAUAUAUAAUAUUUACAUGUCAUUAAUUAUUUAAAUGACAUUAUAAAAAACAUUAAUGGAAAAAAUGAAAAAUUAAAACUUGAUUACAAAAAGGAUUACAUGAAAAGAAUUGAAUAAGAAUAGAAAAAAAAAAACAGUAUUCAAGCCACUAUUUAAUACAUGAUUGGCAUGGACAAAAACUGGGCGUGCAGGAAGAAAAUAACGGGUUCCGGAAGAAGCCCCGAAUUCUUCUUCGUUUCCAGGUUAGAAAAAAAGGGUGUUCAUCCUACACCUCCAACAUAUCAUCUUACAUCUCCAAAUAUUCCACUUUUAACUUUCUGACAUCUCAAUCUGCACCCUUUUCAUUUUUUUCUCUUUCUUAUUAAAAACAUUGUGCACCUUUUUCAUUUUUUUCUCUUUUUUAUUAAAAACAUUUUGCACCACCUUAAUAAUAAUAGUCUAAUUUAAUUUAAAAUUCAAAUAUUAUUUAAUAUAAUUUUAUAUUUUAAUAAUUAUUAAAAUAUUGUUUAUAUUAUAAUAAUGGUUAUUUUAAAAAAUUUAAAAUAAAAUAAUAAUAAUAAUCAAUUUGAUUUAAUAUAUUCAAAAUAUAAUAAAUUAUAUUAAAAUAUUAAAUUAAAUUAAAUAUUUNNNNNNNNNNNNNNNNNNNNNNNNNNNNNNNNNNNNNNNNNNNNNNNNNNNNNNNNNNNNNNNNNNNNNNNNNNNNNNNNNNNNNNNNNNNNNNNNNNNNNNNNNNNNNNNNNNNNNNNNNNNNNNNNNNNNNNNNNNNNNNNNNNNNNNNNNNNNNNNNNNNNNNNNNNNNNNNNNNNNNNNNNNNNNNNNNNNNNNNNNNNNNNNNNNNNNNNNNNNNNNNNNNNNNNNNNNNNNNNNNNNNNNNNNNNNNNNNNNNNNNNNNNNNNNNNNNNNNNNNNNNNNNNNNNNNNNNNNNNNNNNNNNNNNNNNNNNNNNNNNNNNNNNNNNNNNNNNNNNNNNNNNNNNNNNNNNNNNNNNNNNNNNNNNNNNNNNNNNNNNNNNNNNNNNNNNNNNNNNNNNNNNNNNNNNNNNNACUUUAAUAUUUUAAUAUAAUUUAAUAUAUUUUGAAUAUAUUAAAUCAAAUUGAUUAUUAUUAUUAAUAUUAUUUAUUUUAAUUAUUUUAUUUUAAUUUUUUAAUAUAAUUAUUAUUAUAAUAUAAAUCAUAUUUUAAUAAUUAUUAAAUAAUAUUUAAAUUUUAAAUUAAAUUAGAUUAUUAUUAAGGUGAUGCAUAAUGUUUUUAAUAAGAAAGAGAAAAAUAUGAAAAGGGUGCAGAAUGCUUUUAAUAAGAAAGAGAAAAAAAUGAAAGGGUGCAGAAUGAGAUGUCAGAAGGUUAAAAGUGGAAUUUUUGGAGGUGCAGGAUGAUAUGUUGAAGGUGUAGGAUGAAACACCCUAAAAAAAAGGCUGGUGGGCUCGUGGGCCUAUAACUUUUGUGGAUCAAGUUUACAGGUUUCAUGGGUCUAUUCUCUUCUUUCUCCGUUCUGCAUUCUUUGACCGGGGCAUCAAAAUCUGCAGCUUCAACUACGCAGGUGUUUGCAUAGAAUGGGGAAAACGGCGUACAAGAGGUUGCUGGGAAGCCAGAGCUUCCGGCAACGCCUUCUUCUCGCUACUCUCUCUUCGACUCCCAUUCUCAUCGAAGACAUUCGCGCCGACGAGACGUGGCCAGGUCUCCGCAACCACGAGAUUUCACUCCUCCGUCUCUUCGAAACUGUCUGCGAUGAUUGCCACGUAGAAAUCAACGAAACUGGUAUUUCUUUAAUUUCAUUUUUUUUUUAAUUUUUCAAUCAGGUUUAGUUGCAGUAACACAACCACCACCAGAGGAUUGGUUAUUCGUUUUAUUUGGAUUGGACAGGUACCAAAUUAAAGUACAAACCUGGAACUAUUGUCGGUGGCAGGCAACACCGUGCUCACGACUGUGGCGUCUCGCGCUCCAUUGCCUAUUUUCUGGAGCCACUCAUUGUGUUGUGUUUGUUUGCCAAACAGCCCCUCACGAUUAGGCUCAAAGGUAUAGUAGUUAUAAUAAUUUUAUUCUACUUUGAAACCUAUCUCUAAAGGACCAUAUUUACAAGAUAUUUAGAUGGUUUAAAUUAUAACUUUUUUUUUAAUAUUGUUUAUCAGGAAUUACUAAUGAUUCUAAGGAUCCAUCGGUUGAUACCUUCAAGUCUACUGCUUUACCCAUAUUGAAGCGCUUUGGAGUUCCCUCUGAAGGCUUGGAGCUUAAAAUAGAGAGUCGUGGAUUACCUCCCGAUGGUGGUGGCGAAGUUAUUUUAUCACUUCCUGUUGUUCAGAGUCUAUCUGUAAGUUACAAAUUCUUUUUUAUGAUUUUGUCUUUUAUUUUUAAAUUUGAUUGUUAUCUUAUGUGUUCUUCCUGGCAGGCUGUUAGUUGGAUUGAUGAAGGUUUUGUGAAGAAAAUUCGAGGAACUACCUUUUCAACCAGGGUGUCCGUUCAGUUUGAAAAUAGCAUGAUUAAAGCUACCCGUGGAAUAAUCAAUCCUUUGGUUUCUGAUGUGCACAUUUUCUCUGAUCACAGAUCAGGUCCUCAGGCUGGAAAGUAUGACUCCUUCCACUCAGUAGAAUUUGUUGAACAUGGAAUUUCAAUUUUGGAAAUACAUUUGGUAGAAAUAGGGAAAGUCAUAGUACUGUAACUCCUUUUGUUUGUCAUUCGCUCGUGCAGUUCUCCUGGCUAUGGGAUUUCGCUUGUUGCGGAAACUACUUCUGGUUGCUUCAUCUCGGCAGACACUGCUGUUUUUCAUUCCAGGGAUGAUGAUACUUCUAGCCUUGUAGAUGACGCAAAAAGAGACCUGAUGCCUCCAGAGGAUAUUGCUGUGCAGACUGCCAAUGCUUUACUUGGUGAGAUAGCUCAAAGUGGAGUGGUAGAUUCAACACAUCAGGUUAGUAUGUUGGCAGUUUCUUUCUGCCCUUUUAUACUGGUAUUAAACACGUAACAAAAACUUAUCUAUUAUAAACAAAAAUCAUAAUUUUUUUCACAAAAAUUAUUUUAUACUUUGAAUUCUAUGUAUCUGAGAAAAGACAAAUUCUUCGUCAAAUUAAAAUAUUUAUGAUUCCAGGCGACUGAUGGUAAUAGAAAGAAAUAUAGUAGAGUGAAAGAUAUGGAAAAAAAAGCAACUAAGUGUGCUGAGUCCAAUGUUAUGGUGCUAGAAUAGUAGCCACUAGUUCAAUUUUAUUGACUUAGGACUCGUCUAUAUUUUGAGUUUAAUUCCGUUUGUGGAGGAUUCCCCUAAAUUGUUCUUUACUGAUUUGGUUUAUAGGGCUUGCUAUUUCUUCUUUGUGCACUAUGCCCUCAAGAUGUUUCAAAGGUUCGCGUUGGAAAACUUUCCCAGUACGGGGUUGAGACUCUUAGAAACAUAAGGGAUUUUCUAAAUUUGAAGUUCAUUAUCAAACCAGAGCCGAACUCACAGUCAGUUUUUCUCAAGUGUGUUGGUUAUGGCAUGAAGAACCUUUCUCGAAAGGUAUCAUAAAGCGCGUUCAACAGUGUUAUAAAUCCAAAAUACAAGUCUGAAAGAAUUGCAAUUUUGAAGCAACUGCUACUUUGACACCUGGAAAAGAUCUCAACAGCAGCUUCAAUAUGUAAUAUUAUGCCAAUUAUCAUGAUGUACCCUUCUCCCGAAUGAAUUAACAGGUAAAAUUCUGAUUCAAUUGUAACCCAGUUUUGCUAGCUAUAAAUAUAUUUGAGCGUUUUACACAUGAAUUUUAUUCCUUUUAGCAUUUCUUUUAUCCUGGAGAACAAGCACUUAUCCAUUAUCAGUACCAUUCAAGAAAAUCCCUGUGUAUAACAACCAUGCGGCUGUUAGUGUCUAUGAUUCUCCAAAACUUAAUGCUCUGAUAAAGCUGCGUCAUAUUUUAUUACAUUCUUCUGCAACAUUUUCCAACAAGAAAACAUAAAAAUUGAUUGGCAAUUAGCAAAAGUACACUAUGCAACAAGCAGAUAGUUUGAAGAAUCUGACAUUAGCUAUAGUAAAAUUAGGGAUAUGAACUGGCAAGACCCUUUAGCUCUAAAGAUUAUAUUAUGAGCGCUGUGGUGUGAGAGAAGAUGUUCUCAAGAUAAGUAACCCCAAAAAAGCAUAUUGAAAAUCAGGAAACACAAGUUGAAUAAAACCUUCAUCACUAGGGUCACACAAGAUCAAGGGCCUUACCUAAUAAUUGAACCUGAGCAUUUACUGUAGAAGGGCCUCAUGAGAAACUUUUAUGGUCUUAUUUUUCAUAUAAGAAGCUUUAGAGUCUUAUUUUAUUAUAAGGAGGUUUCAUAAGUUUCAGUUCUAUAUUUAGGUUUUAUAUAGGUUUUCACUUUUAUAAUUUCUGUAAGUAUUUUCGUUUUUUUCAACUUAAAAAACUAAUGUAAUUAUUAUAAUUAACUCUUAAUUCAAUGCUGGCGUUUUAAAGUAAUAUUACUGUUAAUAGACUUUUUUUUUUCUCUUAACUUUAUUUUCGUGAGUAGAUUUUUUUCGAAACUAGAUCUUCAAAUAGAUUUUUUUUUUCUUUUUCAAAAGACUAAAUUCUAAUAAUACUUUUUCUAAUUUGCAUGUUUGGUGUUGAAAUUAUAUUCUUUUAAGAAACGAAUUCUUAGUAACAUUUUUCUUCUUCUAAUGUUAUAGAUUUUUAUAUUUAGUUAUAAUAAAUUACUUUAUUAAAAAUUUAUAAUUUUCUUAUAAACUCAUGUAAUAAGAUAAUUUAAAUAUAUUGUAAUUAUGAUAAUAGAAAAAUAAUCAUAAUAAAAUAUUGUAAUUGUGAUUGUCUUUUUGUAAAAUUAAAUUUGAUAAAUGUAUAUUUAUUUAAUUAAAAUAAUUUAUGUAAUAAUUUUUUUGUGUGUUUAAUAAGUUUUUAUUACAUUGGCCAAAUAACACAUCCAACAAAGUGUAAUCCUAAUUAUGUUUCACUUAACAAAGUGUAAUCCUAAUUAAAUAUCUAAUAUUUUACUUCACUUCUUUUCAAAUAAUUUUACUUAUAAUCAACUUAUUAUUUAAUUUUAUUUUUCUAACAAAUUAUACCAAAAUUUCAACAAAGUAUAUUAUUUUAACUAUAUAAAUAUACAUUUGUCAAAUUUAAUUCAAAUCAAUUUGCUUAAUUCUUCUUAUUCUUUAUUCUUUCUAUACAGCACCUAUUACUAAUGCUUUUUCAAAACUAAAUUUUAUUAUUAAGUAAUUUUUUUCAUUAUUAAAUUUAAUUUAAAUAACACCUAACUUCAACAAAUAAUUAUCUAAUUUGAAUUUAAAUUUAAAUUUGAUUUUUGAAUUUUAUACCUUUUAGUAUUUUAAAUUUUUAUGAAAUUCUAUUAAGAAUUUCUAUAUUUUUUAUAUUUUAAAUUUAUAUAUUUUUUCUAAAUAAUUUUUUAUAAUUUUUUAAUAUUUUGUUUAAAUAAUUUUUCUUAGAAAUAAACCUAACUUUUCAUUAAAAUUCUUUUCAAAUAUUUCCACCUAAUCAUAUUACUAUUUGAUUUUAUUUUUCUACCUUAUUACGCACAAAAAAUACAUAAAUUAUUUUAACCAAAUAAAUACACAUUUAUCAAAAUUAAUUUUAACAAAACCAUAAUUACAAUAUUUUAUUAUGAUAGUUUUUUUAUUAUGAUAGUUCCUAUAUAUUUAAAUUAUCUUAUUUAUUAUAAUCACUCUUCAAUUUUUUUAUUUCUAAUUAACUUAUAAAUAUUAAAUUAUAUAUAUUUUUUAUAUUUAUAUUUACAUGAACUUAUAAAAUAAUUAUAAAUUUUUAAUAAAAUAAUUUAUUAUAAAUAAAAAUACAAAGAUAUAAAACUAAAAGAAAAUGUUGUUAAGAAUUUGUUUAUAAAAAACAGAAUUCCAACAACAAACAUGCAAAAUUAGAAAAAGUAUUAUGAAAAUUUUGUUCAUAAAAUAUAAACGGUAUUUAAUUAAUAAAUGUAACUCAUUUAAAUAGUAUAAAUACUAUAAAAUAUCUAUCAAAUUAUCAAUAAAAUAAAACCGUUAAACUUAAAGAAUAUAUAAAAUAUUCAUACAUUAUCCAAUAUAAAUAUAAAUCUAUUUUAUACUUACAACACCAAAAGAGAAGGAACCUAAACAUUUAUAUAAGGUUUCUCAAAAUGCAUAUAUACAAAAUUAUCUUCUUUAAUCUAGUUAUUAUUUAUGAUUCCUCACCUUCUAGAGCCUGUUCAAUUGAGAUGUCAUCACCUUCUACUCAUAUCAAUCGUAGCAAAAGAAAUCAUUCAUACAUAAACAAACAAACAAAGAAACACACGACUAAUGGUAAAAAAAAAAAAACUCAAGAUAUUACAUUUCAUCAUACAUCACCUUUCACACCAAGUUAAACAAACAUCCUAAGCAUACCAUGAACAUAGACUUGACCGUUUGGAUAUAGCAUGAAUGUCGAGCUAUGGCGCGUUAGACACUUGUGGUGACCUCUACUACUCUGUAGAGUCAUUGCUAAUGGAUUUCACCCUACCACACACAAGGUUAAUUUGUUCCCAUCUUAGGCCAUACUGGAGCACCUAGACUAGGACUUCCUACUAUUCUCACCACAUGCAUCCCUCAUCUCUAAUUAAGAACAAAUGACUAUUAAAGUGUCAAGAUAACCCCUAAGACAGAGAUUCCUACAUUUAUACACAACUUGAAAUAACCCGUUAGUUUUUCUCUUUAGAAACUCUUAUUCAAUCACACCUUGAUACAUACCUUAACAUCAUUCAUAAUCCUCAAUAACAUUUCAUAUACAUAUUAAACAUGUCAUACUGUACCAAUCAAUCCCUAAGAUAAAUCGCAAAAAAACUAAAAGAUGAAACAAUAAGGAGAGAAAACCAAAGACACUUACACUGAGCUGCACAUCCUUGUUGCUGAGUGCCAUUUUUCAUGCAAACUUGGCGCCUGAGCGCCACCCCUUGCAACUAAGCGUUGAACCUCUUAGCUUUCUGGCACUCAGGCGAUGUUAACUGCCACUGAGCGCCACACCAAAAGAGUAUAGACGUCUAAUUUGACCUUGGUUGCUCCCCAUAUUUAUCUAAAUGAUCGACAUGACAUCCUAGACAAUGUGAAUGAUUUAAAAACAAGUUUAUAACUCAAAUUAGAUACACUAAACCAACUUGACUGCUCCGAAUUACCUAAACUCACUUCUACACUUUCUAAUACGUAAAUUAACAACCUAAGGGUCUAAACUAGUUAGAAAUGACCCAUCAGCUGACCCCGAAUCUUCUACUUCAGCACAGACCUAUUACAUUAAAGCUUCACUAGUCAAAACCACUAAAAUGAAUAAAAAACCAUACAAAAACACACCCUAUUAACUAUCGCCCAAUUCUAUGUCAGAUUUCUCCCAUCUCAAAACUUAAACAAGUUUUAAAUGACCAUAUCAUAGACCCAUAAACUCAAUUUCACCCAUUCAAUUUUUACUUCAAAAUCUCACUUAUCAACACCUCAUUUUAGUAAAAAAAAAAAAUACUUAUAACUUUGCCUUAUUUCCACUUCUUAACAACACCUCAAUUAUAUACCUUUAAAGUUCACAACAACACUCACAUGACUAAUCAAGUAUAAAAUAACAUCAUACAAGACAUCAAGCAUCAAAUAACUAAUUACACUCAUUCAAAUCACAAUUAGCACUAAAACAAAUAUUCUAAUUUCAACUAAGUUAACACAAAAUGUUAACAAUCAUAUACAUACAUAUCAAAUAAAAAUAAAAUUAAAGAAAAAUCACUAGCUUUUCUUAUCUGGAAAACUACCACAGUUCUACACAUUGUACAAUUCCUGCCUCAGCUCAUAAAACUCUAAAAACGUCUACAAACCACAAAACUACGAUCAAAGUUUUUAAAGAAAAAGAGUUUAAUUUAUAUUAUUUUUUAUAAUCUACUUAAGUCAAUAAAAUUUAAAAAUAUCUAUAUAUAAAAAGAAGCUAAUGUUAAUAUUGAAACAUGAUUUUUAACUCAAUUAAUAUUGAAAAUCUUCAAGUUUUAAUUUUACAAUUAUCAUCAUGUUAAGUUUUAUAUAAAAUUUGAGUCUUAAAUUAAAAUCUCCUUAUUAACACAAUCAUCGAAUAGAAUUUAUUGCUUCAAUGAAAUUGGUUUAGAGUUCGGAAUAUGUAUUUAAUUAGAUUUCAAAAUCUCAUUAGCUCGUAACUUUUACCAAUUCAAUAAAGCUCAUCUCUUUAGUGCAUCUCAAUUUCCUUGGUCAAAUUUUGUCAAUAUUUUUUUAGUAAAAUUUUUUAUUGAUUAAUAUUAAUUAAGUUUACAUUUAAUUGACAAUAAUAAUAAUUAUUUUUGUUGCCGGGUUACUUUGAAUAAUAUUGGUUAAUAUAAUUUUUUGACUUACUUUUCAACCAAUGUAGGCUGAAAAACUUUAUUCGGUGACAUUAACAAAAAAAUAAUUUUAAUCAAGGUUGAUAGAAAGUUUUCCUUAUCAACAUUGUAAAUAAUUCAUAUAUAAGAAAAAAUUUCAUAUUACAACAGAAAAAUAUCUAGUAAUUAAUUUAAUAUAUAAUUGAUUUGAAUGAAUAAUAGACGAUGAAGGCAAAAAUGUAAUUUAAGAAAAAAUAAAGGGUGGUUUUAUUAGUACCACCGACUUAGCGAAAAGGAAACGAGAAGUUAGCUGAUAAAAGGGUUAAUAGAAAGAAACAGCAAUGUUUUGUAUUUGACACGACAUUCGACCCAACCUAACCCAUUCUUUCUUCUCUUCACUCUUUCUUUAGCGGCGUUUAACAUUGUACUUUCCUGUUACUUCUCUUCUUUCAUUUUUAUUAUUUAAUUAAUUUUAAAUUUUAAUUAAAAUUUUAAAUAUCAUCAAUUUUCUUCACUCUUCUUUCGUCAUUUAUAAAGGUCGCAAUUAUUUCUCUUCUUAUUUUCUCUCACUUCGUCUCCCUUUCUUCUGAUUUUUCUCUAAUUUCUCUUCCCUUAGCGGUUGCCUGAUCACGCUGUCAGCACCCGUGAAACGGAGCACGCAGGUCAGAAGUUUUAUUAGUGCUUUUUUGUUUCUGCUUCAUCGCUUUUUGGAUUACUUUCUGGGUGUGUGUUUUUCUUGGUGGGGUGGUUGAUUGUGGAUGAUGGGCGUUUAAAGUUUGAAUUUUUCUGACAGUGGCUUGUGGGGUUGUUUCGUUUCUGGAAUUAUUGGCGUAAGUUUGCUUGUUGGGUUGUUGGGUUUUGUUUGCAUGAUUGACUUGGUAGUGAAGUGGUUUUAGUUGAUGUGUUGGUUGGGAUUUGGAACUCAGGGUUCAGUGUUCAUGUAGAUUUCGUGGGUUCUUGUUGUUUUUUUCUUGUUUUUAAUUGAUUCGAAAUAAUAACGGUUUUGAAAACAAAAGGGGUAGAGUGAUGGUUGUGCUUUGUUCCAAGGGCACACCGAAUUUGGAGAAAGUUGGGAGUUGUGACCGAAUAAGAACAAUACUGUUGGUCCCGUUUCUUCAUAGUUGAGAUUGACAUGAAUUACUGACAUGGUGAUAUAUGUGUUGUUACGAUUUUGGUAUUGCAUAUCGUCCUUGUUGUAAUCCCUAUGUUUAUUCGGUAUCUUUCAUCUCUAUUUAUGUUCUAUAUUAGAUUUCGUUCUUCAGUGCGAAUCUGUGUAUCUUUUAUGAAGAAAUAGGUUUUUCUGUGUGUACGUAGUUUCCAGAGAGGCUGAGUCGGUAUGUUUGCAGGUUGUCAUAAAACAAUGGAGUCUCACGAUGAAACAGGAUGCCAGGCUCCAGAAAGGCCAAUUCUUUGCAUUAACAAUUGUGGCUUCUUUGGAAGGGCUUCCACCAUGAAUAUGUGCUCCAAAUGUUACAAAGACAUGCUGUUGAAGCAGGAACAAGACAAACUUGCAGCAGCGUCGGUUGAGAACAUUGUGAAUGGCGGUUCUGGCUGCAGCGGGAAGCAGGCUGUGACUGCAGGUUCUGUGGAUGUUCAAGUUGGAAAUGUGGAGAUGAAGACAGUCUCAGUUGAGAUUUCUGGAGAUUCAUCCUCUGGUCAGAACUUGGAGAUGAAAGCUAAGACAGGUCCCAGCAGAUGCGCCACUUGCCGGAAGCGUGUUGGAUUAACCGGUUUCAGCUGCAAAUGUGGGAACCUCUUUUGUGCAAUGCACCGCUAUUCUGACAAACACGAUUGCCCCUUUGAUUAUCAGACUGUUGGUCGUGAGGCUAUAGCUAAAGCCAACCCUGCAAUUAAGGCUGAUAAGCUUGAUAAAAUCUAGGGAUGCACUACACUGGUUGAAAUAUGAAGUUGGAUGUCUCACCUUUCCUCAGCAAAUUCACAUAUUUUUGCUGUCUGGCUUUUGAAGUGUCCUUUUAGUGUCUAUACUGAUCCAUGCCAUGAUACUGCUUCAUGACAUGAUAGCUAGCACAUGUUUGGGGAAAACCCGCAUUCCUUGUUGGUUGAUUGGUGAGCAUUCACUUGUUAGCUACAGUAUGAGUAUUUAUGCUGGUUUGAUGAACACAUUUGCCUCAUUUGUAAUUUGAUUUCCUGGUUGGUCUGCAUUUUUUUUUCUUCUUGCAUCAAUGGUGUUUACUCUUGUAUGGGCUUUUACUUUAAACAUUAUCUAUUUUUAAUAAAUCAAUGACGUUGAUGGGAACUGAUAAUACUGAAAGCAGAUAGAAUUGAAGCAGGAAGUCUCCUCCAUGGGAGACAUAUAGCUCAAGAAACAGAAAAACUGAUCUGUAGUAAAAAGAGAAAACUGGGAGACCUGGUGCAUGAGUCUCCCACCAAGUGAGGCUUUUAGGGAAGGUGGAUUCUGCAGCCUUACCCACAAAAGUAUUUUGAACCCCUACCUUCCUGUCGCACAUAUGUAACUCUGAUUCCUGACUAUCACAUUUCUCACCACUGUUUCCUUUUUGCUCCUUCAUGCAUUCCCAUCUCUCUUCUCAUAACUACGUAUAAAUUAUUUCCUUGGUCAAACAUUUUCCAUCUUAAGCUCCUUUUUCUUCUGUUGUACAUGACUUAAAGGCCUGUCAAAUGUUUAUCUUUUUUAUAUGUUAAAAAUAUCUGAUAUCUCAAUGUGUAGCUGUUUUAUGGACUUUGUUCUUGGUUUACCCCUAAUUCAGUAUUGUUAUGAUAUCUCUUACAUCUAAAAUAUAGUUAUGAUUCAUUCAGCUAGUGAUUUUCCUUUUUUUUUGGGGAUCCAUUGAAGGCUGUGAGUGCCAAACAACAGAAAGCAAAACAUGAAAACAAAAUUAACCGGGAGAAGUAGCUCCUCUAGGCAAAGUAGUCUCCAUUUCAUAUCUUAGAGAGAAUAAAAAAUCUACAAGGGGGGAUUCUGAUCCUCGGGGGUAAGGGGCAAGGGAAUGAGGAUUUUCUGAUACUUAAAACUAAUCUGAUGUUUGAAUCUCAAAAUUAGCCAUGUCAUGGUGCAGAAACCCCCUUCACAAUAUGCGUGUUUGAAAAAAUUAUCUUCUGACACAUUUUCAUGUAAUUCAAGAUUCUAUACAUAGGAUGCUUCAUUGCCUCUACACUGUUACACUCAAUAAAAUCGUCUGUAAAUCCUUCGGAAAUAUUAUUUUUUCCACUCUGUUAUAACGAGGUUCAGAUAAAAGAUUUCACCUUUUCAAUAUGAUGGCAUACACAAUCAUGGCUUAAAAUAGAGGUUUUCUUUCAGUAUAGAGAAUUGACUAAAACAUUGUUGAAAUCUGUCCAAUUUUAGUGAAGUUCAUUGCAUUGUCAUCAUUCUUGGUCGUUCAGUGAGUUCUUUCUAUGUUAACUACUAGUAGACAGUUUCUCAAACCAUAAUUUCUGAUUGAUCAAUUUGGUUUAAACUCCAAACACCAGGAGGGACAUAGAUGUUUUAGGCCAGGGGUUUGCUGUCCUUGUUCUUGUAAUGGAAAUUGGCUUUUAUAAAUGUGAUUCUGGUUUAGGUAUGUCAUGAAAAUUUUUAGUAUCAUAAUACUAUUUGACUGUUGGCUUUGAUGUAUAAUAUGAAAAUCUAGUACUGAAACAUUUUGCCUGUGGCAUUUCUGUUUUGCAUGAUAGGUUUCUGAUGUCUAAUUUUGUUUGUAGUAUACUGUCAGAAACUACUCUGGUGCUAUUUAUGGACAGUGUAAUGUUUUUAACAGUAUUGGUGGGGACUGGAAUCUGCAUAGCCUUGGUAAUAUUUCAGCAUUCUGAUUUCAUUUUGGGGUUUGUCUUGUCACCAAGGUAGCUGAUCCUUUCAGCUGAGAAGAAGAUGCCUUUAGCAUCCAUCAUUUUCUUGUGUUUCUUAUGACAUUUCUGGGUGUCCACUACACACAUUCACUGUCCCCCAUUUCUGAAUCAAUAAUAGGGAGAGAUAUGAUUCCAUAUCUUGUGUUUCUUAUCACUUCCUUUGCCACUAUUAUUUCCACCUUUUUUUUUUGUUACUAUUCACUUUAAAUUUAAUUGCAGAUGAGAGGAGAAACCAUCUAUUUCAAUAUUUUUUGAGUUCGAAAGUAGUCACUAUAAUAAAGUUUAAAAAAAAUUAUUGAUUUUUUAAUUCAAAUUUAAAUAACGUUUAGUUUAAAAUGAUGUUAAAUUUCAUUAUAACUCAAAAUAAAAUAAUAUAAUUUAAAUAAAGAAAUGAUGAGAACCUUUGAAAUAUUUGAUUUUAACCUUGAAGUAUUUGACUUAUUUGAACUUGAAGUACACUUUAGUACAUAACAUAAUAACACAAUUAGUACAUGAACUGUUGUUGAAGCAUGGAAUGCUGUUCAGACACAGAACUUACUUUUGUAAUCAAACCUUCUCAUGCAAACCCAUUGAUAUAGAAAAAACAAAAGUAGGUUUUAUUUAUUUUGGUCCAAAAAAGAACCACCUCUAAAGUUCUUAGAUACCCACUCUAUACUAUAGCUUGAAUUAAACUAAAGACUAGAACUUAGAAGUCAUAAUUUCUUGGUAGGUUACUAAAUCUAAACAAAACCAUAUAUUACAAUACAAAUUAUUGAAAACAUAUAGAAGAAAAUAAAACAAUUCUUUAAAAUUUAGAUUGGAAUUGAUUGAAAAAGCAACAAACCCUUCAACAACUUCUUAUCACGGUAAACCCUAAAAUUGCUGUAGCACUUAAAAAUAAUAAGAGAAAUCAAUCAAAACUUUCCUUUACAACACAAGAAUAGGUAAAUACACAUUCAAGGUUUGUUCUACGUUACUAUUUUUAAUCGGCCCAAAAUCAGCUCAUAGCCAACAAGCGUGAAGUUAAAUAAAAAGAUCAUUACUUUGAUAGAAGCUGAGAGAUAUAAACACCCAUUUGAGCUAAAAUUACCCUGUCCAAGUCAAACAAGAAAAAUUCUAUAAAAAUGCAACCUUUUGGGCUAAAAUCACCCCGUCAAGUCAAACAGGAAAGAUUCCAUAAAAUUGUAACCUUUAGGAUACAUAGAGACUUUUGAUCGUACUUAUCAUGAAACUUUAAUUCUAGAAAUUAAUUCUAAUUUUCAAGAAGCAGUAACUAACCUGGAGAUGACAGAGAGAGAGAGAGAAAAGAAACAAAACAAUUUCAAUCAGAUUUGAAACUUGCUUUGAACGAAAAGUAUGUUGGAUGUUUCCUGGAAUUUGUUUGAAGGUUAUUGUCUUUCACAAAGUCACCAAUAUAUAAGACCAUUUAGGAUGGAUGAUUAACUCACUCACCACAUAUUCAACUUCAAUAAAUUGGCGUUUUAGUUAGUCGAGCUUAAAAUUUAAUUUUUUAUAAUUUAAUCCAGUCUAAAUCCAUGAUGGAUCGGAUUAACUAGCGGGUUUCAACUCUUCUUGACAACACUAACUAUACGAGAAAAUACAUCACACUUAUUCACCAUUUCUUCUUCUUUUCUUUUCAUUUUUUGUUUUCAACUUUUUAAUUGGAAACUCAUCAUUCAUCAACAUCUAUUAUCAUCACAACUAAUUCCAUCCUUAUCACAUUCUUAAAGUCUCCAACUAACACCUUCUUCCUAACGUUUUCUCCAUUCUCCAACAAUAAGAACAAUCAAUGGGACAUUUAUGUACAUAGAGAGACCAAUAAUCAACACAUUUUCAUCAUUCAUUAUUCCUCUAAAAUAUAACAUCAUUUACACCAAAUUAUUUACUUACACUAUGAUAUAAGGUUCUUCAUAUACACCUAUAAUCAUACUUAGUGUACAAUUCCAUGCAUGUAGAGUAUAAUCACGAACGGAAAUACAUAAAAGGCGAGAAUAGAAUCAUCAAAUAAAAGAAAAUCAUUUCUAAGCCUUUGAAUAUGUGUAGAUAUGAUUACUUGUUAGGAUAUCCAUUUACUUGAUGAAUAUCUCUGUCUUGAUAUUCACAAAAUUACAAUUAGGACAAGAAAUCCAGUAAAACCACUGGGUAGAAAAAAUCACAAUUGGUACAAGGUUAUGAAUUUCGCUUCUAUCCCAUGACCUAAACAAAAGUAUUACUAAAUCUCUUCUGCAACAACCUCAUAUAUAUUUAUCUCACCAGACUUGUAUGACCUCCAUACCCAAAGAAUUGUGAUUUAAAUGUAAGAUGUGAUUAUAAAAAAAAAAGCGUCAGGUCAUUCAACAAGAGCAUGGAUGAGUUUGAAGCACAAGGUGUAAUCCUUGACUGAUUCAAGAUUGCUGACCUUUGAAGAAGGACAACCUAAUGUUGAAGAAAAUCUUCCACUAAAGCAUGAAAUCACCUUUCCAUGAAGAACACCAUGGAUUUGUAAACAUGAAAAUUUUUAUGCUUUUAAUAGUGUUAGACAAUUGGAUUGCACUUCAUAUCGUUAUGACGAUUUUCAUAAGUUGUAUCAUGUUAUCUUUCAUGAAAUUUCAAAACACAUGAGAUAUUCGAGAUUCAUCCAAAACAAGUUUUAAAGUAUGCAAAAAAAAAAGAAAGUAAAAUAACAUUGUCAUAUUUUGAGCCAUUUAUUUUUCUUGCAAAUCAUCAAAUUCUUCAAAAAGUAACAAAUAAAAAAAAUGAAAAAAGAAGAGAAAAAUGAAUAAAAAAUGGGAAGUGAAGAAUAAUGAACUGUCAUUCUUUUUCACAGUCAAAUGUUUUAAUAAAAAAUAAAAAGUCAAUAUUUUCUUUUGACACAUUCGUGUGCAUAUUGUUUGAAAACCUAUAUUCUUCAUCUUCUUAAAAUAAAAGGAUUUGUGUUAACACUAUGAUCCAUAUGAGAAAUGUGAGUUUUUACACUAUGGCAGAUUUGCCAAGUUUAUCAUUGCUUGUGUUAAUUGGAUAAUUCCUAAAUUUGUCUAAAGAAAUAAAAAUAAUUGUCAAAAUAUUUAAAAGGAAAAGAAAAGUAAGAAAAAAAGAAAAAAAAAGAGAUAUGCUAGAUUGAAAACAUGAGAGGGUAGUCAUAAAAAAAAAAAACCCGGACAAAACAGAAGAAAGAAAAGAAGAGAUGACUCAUGUUGAGGUCGUUGAGUUUUGACGUUAGUUAAUCUUUUAAAAAUAAAAUAAUUAGGAUUUGAAAUUAUGUGUGAUCGCCUUUCUUCAUCUGAAAAAAUAAAAAUAUUCUUUGCUACCCCAUUGAGCCAAAAUUUAAUGUAUUUUUCAAAUUUAUUUACCAACAAGGGUUAUCAUUACAAUAUAAGCUAGCUCAAGAUACACACUAGGGAUGACAACGGGUCGGGUCGGGCACGGAUAGUGCCUACCCGUAACUCGACCCGCUGGGUAAAAUUGUACCUGCUACCCGCCUCGCUACUUGCUAGAUACCCGCUUUAAAAAAACUCGCGGAUUUUUUUCAACCCGCGGAUACCCGUUGGAUACCCGUUUUCAACCCGCGAAUAUUUAAAAAAAAUUAUUUUAUAAGUUUUUAAAUAAAAAAAUUCAAAUUAAAUUGUAAAAAACAAUGCAAAUAAUAUUUAAAACAUAUAUCCAAGAAAAGUCAAUGGAUAAGUAAAUAAAAGUUAAAACUUAAAUUCAAAUUAAUUCAAAUUAAUACAAAUUAAAACUUAAAUUCAAAUAGUUGUUCCAAAAAUAACACUUCAAGAUUCAUGUUUGUUCUUCCACAUCUUGAUUUUGACCACUUAAUUCCUGAAACAAAUAAAUGCAAAUAAAGUCAUCAAUCAAUGACAAAGUAACACUAUUAAUAAAAUCAGAUUACAAUACUAUAAACAAAACUACUAACAUCAUCAUCAAUUAUCUCCUCUAGUAUUGUAUUAAGCUUCAUGUUAUCCACUUUCAAUUUUGAAGAACCUGAAAAAGGAAAAUAAAAUCAUUUGUCUUAGUCAAUCAUUUGAAUGAAUAUAAAUAUGUAAUUUAAAUUGUUCAUUUAAUUACCUUGUAUGUCACUCCAUAGCCAAUCUUGAACACACAUCAAUGCCUUUAAAGUGUCUGGGUGUAAUCUACUCCGAUGUGGAGUAAGAAAUCGACCACCAGUGCUAAAAGAAGACUCAGAAGCAACUGUGGAGAUAGGAAUGGCUAGAAAAUCUCUUGCAAUCAUUUGUAAGAUUGGAUAUUUUAAUCCAUUAGUCUUCCACCAAAUUAAAACAUCAAAUCCUUCACCUGAAUCUGGUAGUGUCGGUUCCUCCAAGUAAUAAUCGAGUUCUAACUUAUAAUUUAUUAGUUCAUUUUUCUUUGCAAUCUGAUGUUUUGCAAAAUCUCUCCUCCAAGCAUCUUUUCUUCCAUCAACAAAUUGGCCUGCAUUUAUGCUCAGAUUUUGACAUGAAGAAACCGACUUCUUACCUUUCAUGAACAUUUCAUACUCUCUUACCAAGUCCUUAAAAAGAAUCUUCACCUUUUCAAUUUCAUAAUCAGAUUCAUUGCCAUAUAUCUGAGGGAAAAAAUAAUCCAACAAAUCAAUUUUGUACCUGGGAUCUAAGACAAUACCUAUAGCCAUCACUCCACUGAUCACACUCCAAUACUUGUUAAACUUUAAAACCAUAGAUGCAACCAUUUGGUGAAUAAUAUAAUUGGGAGAGUUAAGCCAUUCCAUCAAAGCCAACUUAAUUUCACAUACCUUUGGAAAGAAAAUGUUGGCAAUUGGAUAAGAGGUACCAGAAAACAAGAGUGUCACAUCAUAAAAUAUUUCCAACUUUUGACAAAUUUCAUUUGCCAUUUGCCAAUCAUGUGCGUUAGGCAAAACUUUAUAUUGACUCUCACGUUGUGAUAAACGAUCAAAUACAUCUUUGUAUUGUAUGGCUACUUGAAGCAUUAAAAAUGUAGAAUUCCACCUAGUUUUGCAAUCAACAACUAAUUUUCUUCUGAAUGAAAUAUUCAAUUGAGCACAUGUCUCUAUAAAUUUCUUCUCUCUUUUAGGUGUAGCCUUCCAAAAAUUAGCACUUUCUCUGACCUUUUCAAUGACAUUAGCAAUUAUGGACAAACCAUCCUUCACAAUCAAAUUCAAUAUAUGUGCACAACAUCGCAUGUGAAACAAUUGGCCACCCAAAAUAAGAGACCUAGGUGAAAUCUUGUCUAAAAUGCGAUAAUCAUAGCAUCAUUUGUAGUGCAAUUAUCAACUGUCAAAGUAGAAACUUUUCUAUCUAGAUUCCAAUCCAUUAAACAUUCAACCAACAAUUCAACAAGAACUUGACUAGUAUGAGGAGUAGGCACAUACAUAAACCUAAAAUUGAAAGUCAUAUUUUAUUAAUUUAGUGAAAAAGGACAAUGUUAAUGUAAAAAAUACACUUAAAAUAUAGUAUAGUGUUAUUACCUCACAAGUCGACUUUGUAGCCUCCACAAAUCAUCAAUAAAGUAAGCUGUUAUAGUCAUGUAGCCUCUAUUUUGAUUACUAGCAGUCCACAUAUCAGUUGUAAUUGCAACUCGACUUUGAAUCCUUGACAACAAUAAUUUCAAUUUCUCUUUUUCGGCAAUGUAAUCCUUCAUGAUAUCCUUUCUUAAGGUGUUUCGAGAAACCCCUUUAAAUAGAGGUUGUACAACAGCACAAAAUUCUUUAAAGCCUAUGUGAUCAACCAUUGACAUUGGAUACUCAUGUAGAAUUAUCAUCUUACGGAGUGCAUCUCUAGCUAUUUGUUGAUUAAACACAUAAUUGCCAACAACUACGGUUUCACCACAUUUUUUUUGAGUUUUUAAAAAAGAUUGUCGGAUGUCCCGUGUUGUUCGAAGCUUGCAACUCUUGAAAUGGUUUCUCAAAUGUGAAGUACCUUGUUUUGCCUCACCUAGAAGACUUUUUGAACAAUAAUUACACACCGCUCUCCAUUUCCCAUCUACUUUUUGUUUCUUAAAGUGAUUCCAAACAUCUGACAAUAAUCUUCUUGAGUUCACAGUAGGAGUUGAACUUUCAGUUUGAUUGGAAUCUACAGGAACAUCAUUUUGAUUUGAAUCUCCUACUCCUACAUUAGGUUCUAUAAAUUGUCCUUGUUGGUCAUCUCCUAUAGGAGAAAAUGUAUCUUGGGUAGACAUCCUAAAAAAAAUUGAUCAACAUAUAGUUGAUUAUUAUAAUGUCAGGUGUUUUAAAAAAAGAACAGAAAGGUCCCAAUUAGAUAAGAAUACAAUUUCAAAAUAUAAAUAAUUUGAACGUCUGUUCUGUUGUCAUUAUUAUCUACUAUGAAUGAAUAUGACAAAGCAAUUCUAUGAAUGAAUAUGACUCAAGGUAAAGAUGCUUCUUGUGUACACAGAAAAAUUGCAAUUGCUUCUUUGUCAAAAUACUAUAAUUAAUGUAAUCCAUUACCACAAUCAUAGGCAAUAGCAACUAAAAUUGAUCAUGUGAGAAAUAUUGUUGUACAUAGAUGAGUGCUAAAAUAUACAGAAUCGAGUUGCAACCCAAAAGCAAUUAUUUGUUCACCCAAAAUUACAGAAAGACAACCAACUUCACAUGAUCUUACAGCACAUUCCUCUAAAAAAAUUAAAAGUAAAAACAGACAAAAGUAACCCAACAAAUAGUUAUUAAUCAUAACCCAUCAUUGAGAAAUCUGGAUAUGUAUAAAUAGUCAUCCAUGAAAUAAUGUUAAAAUUAAUCACAACUUUAGUUUUGUAAGUAUUUCAUAACAAAUGACAAAACAGAACUAAGAGUAGUAAUCACUUAAAAAUGGACUCUGGCAUAUUCCAAGUACUAAAGUAAAAUGUAUUCAAAGAACUUCCAACAAUGAUGUUUAAGCCUUAUUCAUAGAACUUCCAACAAUGUCACUAGAUCAAAAUAUACAUCGAGUUCAAUUNAUAGCUAAACUCACCAUGAAAUAAAGGAAUGGAAAGAGAGAUGAUAUAGGCACUGCCGCAAAGAACAAAAUAAAGUGCUAUCAGAGCAAACUUAAUAGUUUCAAAUGACCAAAAGAAUCAGAAUAAUACCAACUGGUAAAACACCAACUGGUAAAACAAAGAAACAAAUGCUGAUUUUCCUUUCAAAAUAUGUCGGGAUCAAAAGGCACUGCUUCUUUUAGCCUAGGUACACAAUAUCACACAUUUAAGAUAGAGAUGUAAUAAUCACGUAAACUUAAUCAAUCACCACCAAGGAGGGUCCUUUUCCUAAAUGGGGAAACAAAAAUAGAAAAAUGAAAGGAACAUAAAACAACUCUAAAAAAAGAAACUAUGAAGAGAAUAAGAACCUAAUCAAUUCCUAUAAGCAACUUAAACGAAUCNUAUACAAUGGAAAACAACCUAAAACAGGGAAUUGAAACUAAACAGAUCCAAAAACAAUGAAAUAGAAACUAGAACACAUCCAAAAAAUAGAAUCAAUGUAAAUAAAAAAAAUGGAAUGAUAUUAAGCUAAACAAAUCCUAGUUACAAGUCUAAAAAAGGAAAUAACAAAAGAGAAAAGAAAGUGAUACUAAAACAGAUCCUGACAAAAAAAUGAAAGCAAAAGAACCUAAGCAAUUCCUAAUAGAAAUUUAAAAACAGAACCUAUAAGGAAAAGAAUCCUAAAGCACAUUCCUAUAUAUAUAUAUAUAUAUAUAUAUAUAUAUAUAUAUAUUAAAUAAAAAACAUAAGGGUAAUACUAUUAGUUAUUAAUCAUCUGUCAAAAAAUAUUAAUACAAUUAUUAAAAAUAAUAAAAGUCAGAAAGAUUAAAAAUAAAAAAACCAUUAUUACUGCAGUUGCAACUUGAAAACGUGGCCAAGCAGCCAGAUUUUUGGACCAACUGAAAAAUGACAAUUUAUAAAGACAUGGAUAUAAAGUCUUAACCAAAACCACCUGCAUAGGCUCUUAAUGCUCAGUAAUUAUGAUUGUGGUACGGCACCAGAGCAGGGUCACAAACCAAACACUUGGAAGGCACAAACUUAUCCUCCAGCAGAAGAGUGGUUUGAAAUGAUAAUUUUUGACUGAAAAGUUGGGAAGGAGAGUGAGGGUUUGGUUUUGUGGAGAAGUUUGGUAAUGAUGAUUGAAGUGGGAACUAUCUCUCCUUCACCCCUUUUGUAUAUAUAUAACUGACACCACUAGCACACUGAAAUAGCCAAACUCAAGAGAGUGAAGCAAGGAAUCUUGAAGACAAGGUUUCUUAAAAGGGACAUCAAUAGCUUUUUAAACACCCAUUUUGGCAUUCUGAAGAGGUAUGCUAUAGCUUUUACACAAACCUAAGUUUCCAACCAAAUCAUAAUUACAGUGUUGUAGUAAUUAAUGACAUAACUCAAGAAACCCCAAAUUCCAUUUAACACAAGAAGACAAACUUAUGAAAAUAGAAAAGAAAAGACAUAGCAGCACCUCACAAGAGAUAUUUUUGUUUGGAGGAAGAAAAAUUGUGGGGGUAGAGAUAUUUAUCUUUGAUUUAUUAUUACAUUGGUGACCGUAGGGCUGCCCGUAGCAUCAAAACCCAAGUUGAUGAGUGGAGUUUGAUUCCUGUCAACUUGGUCGGGCAAUGAAUAACGAGUUUCGAAGAGGAACCUCUACCACACAGAACGCAUAAAAACCCAAGUUGACGAACGAAGUUUCACUCUUGUCAACUUGGUCGGGUGGUGAACGGCGGGUUCCGAAUAGGAACCCCUACUGCCGAAACGCACCAAAAUGCAAGUUGAUGGACAGAGUUUCACUUCUAUCAACUUGGUCGGGUAGCGGGUAGGGCUGCCCGUAGCAGUCAAAGAGAGUUAGAGAGGGAGAGAGGCACAUUCAAAUUUUGGGGACCCUAUUGAAACUUUAUUGAUGGACAUGUCUUCACUUGAAUUUCUGGGAUUUCAUCAAUAUCCCCUUCACCCACACCCCCAUCCCCCUUAAUGCUCAGUAUUAGACAUUUGAAGGGUGGACAAAUGCAGAUAACCUAAUAGCAAUAUCCCUUCCAGCAUGGAAAUAAAUAUCUAGUGCACGGGAAUACGGGUGACCCAAUAUCUCAUUCCUCUGUUACUCUCACUCACACUUUCUACUAAUCACACAAAAUUUAUAAUAAUAAAUAGACUAAGAAACAAACACAUUAAGCUGUUAUAUAUCUAAAACAACAAAUCCACAUAGCUGAAUAUAAACUUCCUGAGGUACAAUUUGUACUGCUCUUUACCAGGUACCUUUUCUGAGCAGCUUCCUCCUCCUCCACCAAUUGCUUCUGAUACCUAAGUGCUUCGGCUUCCUUGUCAGUAAGCCACGCCUUCACCUUAGUGAACAAAAGAUCAUACUUCAUCAUGACAGAAAAAAAAGAAAAGAACUAAUUGCAUUGGUUUAUUUUGCAGCCCUAGAUGCUGAAGAAGACUCAGUUUGAACCGAAAUGCAAAAGGCAUGCUGCAUGAAGAAGAUACAACCGGACAGGCCUCACACUUGGCUUUGAAAUUUUAAAACUAGAAGGAGAAGAAUGGGAAGAGAAUCAAAAUGAAGUUAUGCUUUGCUAACAUCCUGAUAAAAAAGAAAGAAAAGGACGAAGGAAAUGAGAAGAAAAAAAGCACCUUAAAAAAUCUGUUUGAAAAAAGGGAAGAAAAGAAAACCUCACCUGUAUUUGGUGAGAAAGAAAACCAGCAGAUGGAUCUAAGCUCCUCUUCGCACAAGAAAAACAACAACUGGAUCUAGUUCCUCUUUGCACAAGAAAACCAGCAAACCAGCGACAACAGUGAAAAAGAAAGUUAAGGUAUGUGGAUUUGGGGAGAAGAGAAAGGUAAGCUCAGUAGCAUUCAGGAUUUUAGAGGAAGUUAGGGUUUAAAAGGCAAAGGCCAAGAGUAUUCGAAAGUAAGAAAAUCUAACAGGAUAAAAGUGUAAUUUCACCUCUCAAACGGGUAGCGGGUACCCACGGGUACGGAUAGGGUGAUACCCGAACCCGACCCGUUAACAAGCGGGUUUUAAAAUACCUGUUACCCACUACCCGCGGGUACUAAAUACCCGUAGCGGAUUUUACCAGCAGGUACGGAUUUUUCUGCCAUCCCUAAUACACACCAAAAGCACUCAAUGAUCAAAUAAAAAGAUAUCAUGAAAAGAAAAUAAGCCAAAAAGCUAAAAGAUCCACAAAGUGAUCACAAAUGAAAAAAAUGAAAUAAAAUUUGAAAAAAAGCAAAGUGUUCAAUUUAUUUUUUGACAAAUAGUAAAUGCAAUACCUAGAUGUUAACCCUUGUUUUAAAACAAUAAUCGACAAACAUUCAUUAGGACCUUUUGUCUUUUAUUUCAAUACCUUUUAACUCUUAAUCAUGUUACAAGCCAAAUAAAAGUUUACAUAGAUUAAAAAAUGAUUGCUUUAAUUUUUAUAAAGCUUAAUUUUGUGAUAAGAGGACAUGACUAACAAUGCGGUCAUUAAAAAUCAAUUAAUGAAACAAAAAACAAAAAAUGAAAAAGGGAAAUAAAAUGAAAAAUAUAGAAAUUUCUUGAAAAGAGGGGAACAUCCUAUCAUAUAGCCAAAAGUAAAUGAAAUGAAAACAAACCAAUUGAGGUAACCGUUUUCAGCCAUUCGUUUCAAUAUUCAUUACUUUUUUUAAAACAAAACCCGUAUUUCAUUCAAAUUCUUCUCUAUACACAAAAACUAGGGUAGCUUUAUAAGUCCCACAUGGGUUUCUCGCCUUAACAUUCAUAGAUGCAUAUUCCCAUAUACUUCACCCAUAAGCCAAAACUAGGACAACAUUGUGGGUAUCUUGCAUUUUUCACCCUAACUUUCACAUAUUACAACUCUUUUGAGGAGUGUGUGAGGAAUGUGCCCACAUGGCUAUCCAAUCUCCUCCAAACACUUCCAAAGAUGUCUCGCUUUUCAUUACCUUUUAAUUCAAAUAUGCGUGCACUGAAAUUGUGAAAGAGAAAGUCGAGCAUAUAACCAUCUUAGAAUAGACCUCGUGAUGUGUGACAUUCACCACUUUCAUAAAAUAUUGAAAAUAACAAUGAGUUUGAUGAUUGCAAGGAGAACAAUUGACUCUGGUGUGCAUAGAAAAAAAAUCAAAGGAACAAACCAUAACAAAUGUUUUCAUCAUGCAUUUGAGCAUUCAUGGUUCUUAUCCCUCAACAAACAUUAUGACACAUGCUUGAAAUGAUAGGCAUAAUGAUUUGCAUGUUAUAACAUCUAUCAACAUAUCAUGUUUCAAAAAAUAAAUCUUAACAUCAUAACGUGAGUCACCAUAAUCGUGCUACAUACUUUUUCAAGUUUCUUUUUCAUAGAUAAAAAAGAAAAAUUAAUAUUACAAAUUCAUCUUUCAGACGUUUCUCGGAUUGAUGGUCUCCUUCAUUCAUGUGAAUAGCAUACAUAUCUUCAAAGCCCAACAUGUCUGCCCCAAAGGCUAGCUCGCAUGACCCAUUAAGUCCAAUUUACAUAACCUAUAAAGCUUAAUUUACUUAGACCCUUAAACCAAGUUUAUCUAGCCUUCAAAGACCAACUUACUUGACUCCUUAAUCCUAGUUUACCUUACCUCCAAAGCCCAGCUCGCCUAGCCUACUAAGCCUAGUUUACCUUGUCACUAAAGCCCAACUCACAUGGUCUUCCAAGCUCAACUUGUCUAGCCCUCAUGCUUAGUUUCAUAUGACCCUUAUGGUCCUUUAAGCCCAACUCGUUUGACCUCCAAAGCCUAAUUUAUCUUUUUCUUUGCACAAAGCCUAACUUUUGUUGACACCAUCAUUUGCUUCUUUCAUUUUUCUAAAACUUAAAUGAAAUUAAUGCUUCUAUCUUUACUUAUUUUUUAUUACAAUAACAUGAAAAUACUAAAAUUUUCAUCUUAUCUACUAAAACUAUGUAAAGAAUGGAAGCUAUCAACACCUAAUUUUCAAAAUUCAUUCAUUGAAAAUUAAAUUUAUUUUUAUAAAAUACUUUUAAUGUUUGUCUCUUUCUUGAACUCAAUUUUUAAAUAAAAAAGAGUUGUAUUCUCACAAUUAACUACACUUUUAGGUUUAUUAAUAAACUAUGGAUUGAACUAGGAUAACAUCAAUACAAGUUAAGGUUUAACUAUUUCAUUCUCAUUAGUUAAAUAAAAAAUUAUUUUUGUUUUCAUCUUCAUUCUUAAUAGAUCUGAAUUUUUUUUAACAUUUUCAUUCCUAUUGAAGAAUGAGUAUAUCCGUACUUGUAUUUGGAUCUAUCCGAUACUAUUUUAAAUAUUAAUUAAAUAUUUAAAAAAACAAAAUUGAUAACAAAAAGAAUAUCAUAUUAUUAAGUAUUAAAUAUCAAAAGAUACAUUUUUUUUUCAAUAUCAAAUAUCAAGAAAAAAAUUAUAAUUAUAUAAAAAUAGAAUAAAAAUCUCAAAUAAUUAUAAGAUAAAGGUCAAAUUAAAUCUCUGAAUAAAUUAAAAGUGUGUUCAUUUUUAACGAAUGCCAGUAUGAGAUAUGAACAAAUAUUGCGAUUAGUUUAGGGAUGCAGACAAUAAAAGAAUUCGUACAUUACUAUCCAUUUCCAUAUCUAAUUUAAAAAAUAAAUAUUACUCAUAAUUAUAUCUAAUCACUAGUGCAAAAACACUCUUUAACAUCGGUUAAUUUGGUCUUUUAACGUCACUUUCACAACCGACGUCUAAAUGGAUGACGUCUAUGGGACGUCGAAAUUUGUCAGAACUGACGUCCAUAUAAAUGUCAGUUAACGAUAUCCACCGACAUCUAUAUAGAUGUCUGCUUAUACUCACACCGACGUCGAAUUACUCUAUAUAGACGUCCACCUAUGAUUAAACCGACGUCAACUUGAAUAUAUAAAGAGAUUUAAAAUGACACUAACCGACGUCUAUGUUGUUAUAGACGUCGGGCAUGGAUUUAACCGACGUCUAACAACAACUUUGUGUUUUAAUGCAGUUUUGAUCUAGACUUUCGGUAGCAUUGUGCAACACUCUCCUCUUGCUAGUUUUCCCACAAAAAAAGCUUGCGUCUUUUGAAUCUUCUAGUGCUUUCAACCCAAAACCGAACUUGGGUCCAUGACUACUUCCAAUUAUUCAACCGCAACAGAAAAAAAUUACGGUGUCGAGAAGUAGACAAGGACCCAAGUUCCAUUUUGGGUCGGAAGAACUAGAAAACUUAAAAGGUCGUCACUCUUUUAGUGAGGAAACUAGCAAAGGGAGAAUGUUGCACUAUGUUACCGAAAGAGUGGAUCAAAACUGCACUAAAACACGAAAAAAAUUUUAAUCAGUUGAACGACAAGAUAAUCGAUAAAAAAACUAAAGAAAGUUUAAACGGUAAGCAUAAGAAAAACCACGCACCUGGGAUGAAGAGAGAAAAAGGAGAGGACGAAGACAAUGACGUUAUGACAAAAUACAAUGCAAUGCCGGAAGAGAUAAAAAGUAGAGGCGCGCAAGAGAGUAAAAGAAGAGGAGAACCAGAGAAAAAGGAGAAGAGAUGAAGACGCGAUCAGAAACUGAGUGGUUAGAAGGGUCUAUGGUUUAUUUAAAAUGAAAUUGGACGUCGGUUGCGCCAGAAACCGACGUCUAUAGACGUUAGUGUUUGAUCGGGAUCCGACGUCUAUUCUUCUUAAAGAAGCUGAAAAGAUUGACGCUUGAUUUCCUGUCAGGGUAAUUCACAUCGGUGCCCCUCCUAGCCGACGUCUAAAACCCUCGAAUUUGGUGAAAAUAAUCAAUUUUAGGAACGUAGACGUCAAUUACAUUCCGAACCGACGUCUAAAUUGAAGGAUUUUUGUCUUCCCGCCUUCCAGAUAGGCCUUAGACGUCGCCGUUUGACUACGUGACGUCUAAGCGCCUGGAAAUUUGGUGAACAACAUUAAUUGUAGCCCCAGUCGACGUCGCUUGUUCAGGGGAUCCGACGUCUAUUCCUCGUCUGAAGCUGAACCGUUUGACGUUUGAUUUCUUGUCAGAGACUGGAACGUCGGUGCCCUUUUCUAGAUGACGUCGAAUUGUCUGUCUUAUCACAUACCUCAGGCAAUUUGACGUCGGUUUGAGGCAGGUGCGACGUCUAUCAUGUCAUAGACGUCGCCUAACAUCGAAACGGACGUCUAAUUUACCAAUAUAUUUACGAUAAUGCCACCGUGCAAUAAUAGACGUCGAUUUAUCACGAAACCGACGUCUGAUGGGUGACGUUAAACAACGUUUUUGCACUAGUGAAUCAAAAUUAAGAUUCUUUAUCAAAAUCUGUACAAACACACGAUAUCCAAAAAGACUUCAUUCAUUCGUAUAUUUAAAAAAUAUAAUCGGAUAAGGUCUAUAACUUUAACUUUAUAUUUUGUGACUUUUUUUUUUAUCUUGUGGUAUUUUAUUUUUCAUCAUGAACUUCAAUUUUUGACAUUUUGAUUGUACUUUCUGUUUAUAAAACUUGAUUAAAUUUUGUUAUGUAAUAACGUUACGAAUACGAAACGUGAAUUCAUAUGCUCUAGUACAAAAAGCAGUUUUAAGUUACAAUACUUUUUUCAUCAAUAAAAAAAUUAAUUAAUUAAUAUAGCAGAAUAAGUGCUCUAAUCCUUUUUUUUAAUAUAAUAAUCAUGUGUGUCGACAAAAAAAAAAUCAACAGAAUAACCAAAUCAUUAUCCAACUUAAUAAAAAAAAUUAAGUUAUAAUACUUAAUAAAUCAAUCUUCUUUGUCACAUUAUAAAAGAUUUAGAUUUAGAAAAAAAAUAAUUUUCCUAAAACAAUGAGAACUGUCUCAAAUGUCGUGUAUAUAUGCAUUUAAUCUGUACUUUAUUUUACUAAAACAAAAGAAAUAAUUAAUUAUGAUGAUUUUUUAUUCAAAAAUUUAAUGAUGAUAAUGAACUUAUUAUAUAUUUAAAAUGAUAAUUAAUUUUAAAUAUUUAAUAAUGAUAAUUAAACGUACCAUUUCUUUAUUAACAAAUUAAAGUCUUUUUACAGUUUUUUAUUCCAAAGAAUUAUUAUUCCUUUUUAAUUUUUUUUUAAAAUUUUUAUAUGAAAGUUAAAAAUUAUAAGAACAAAAAUAGUAAAGAAUUAUUAUUGAAACAUAAUUUAUUUAGAAUAGCUUAUAAUAAAAUCGCCUGUUUUUUUUUAACUUUUUUUUUAAAUUAAUAAAUAUAAACUAAUUUAUGCUCUUUUCGUCUCUAAAAAUUAAGUAUAUGUUUAAAAUAGCGAUUCUAAUGUAGAAAAAUCUAGUAAUUGUAUUUUAGAGUUUUUCUUUUUAAAGUAUAAGGUAAUUUAUAUUUCAUAAUCGUAAUUUAAAAAAAUCAGUUAAUUAAAAAAAUUAAAAUUUCCGUUGAUUUGAAUUAUCUUUUAAAUUCAUUUUAGCUUUUCACUAACAAAUGCAAAAAAAAAUAAAAAAUAAGAGAGUUAUAUUUUAGAAAAUUUAUAACAACAAAAUGAUGAUUUUUGAAAUAAGUGAUAAAAAAUACGAAACAAUUUUUUUAAAAUUGAUUAAAAGAAGUUACAAAAAGAGAAAACAAUCCUCUCGUGUUCAAUUUUUACAUUAGGUGAAACUUUAUGAUUAAAUUGCUCAAAUUACUCCUCAAAUACAUAAACAUCUGUUUUAUAAACCUUUAUCUUAACUUAGGAUAUGCACAAUAACAAUUUCCUACAAAUUGAAACGUUAGUGUAAUUUAAAAUAUUGGCUUUUAAACCAUGAAAGAAGGUAAGUUUAUGUAAAGAGAAAAAAAAAACAUAAAGUAUUCACAUAAUUUCACAAAAGCUCACGUGUAAUUGGUGUAAUUUACAUAACUUGUAUAACACAGUGGAGAGUUAAAACACCAAAAAUAAUUUAUUUAUUUCCAUCUCUCUCUUCUUAAACAUUAAUUAAUUAAGAAGUAAAGUUACAUUAAAAUUUGUGUAUAAACAUAAUGAUUAAAAUUUAACAAUAACGCCAUGUGAGUGUGGGAGUUCAGAGUUCAUAAAAAGGACAAAAAUUUGUGAAGUCCAGCAUUCCAUGUAUAGAUAGAACAAAAAUGUAACCGUAAUCAAACAUUAUAUAUCUAUUUUAGCUCAAAAACAGAUCUAAAACAAAUUGAAUUCCAUUCAAGAGUUGCUUCAAAAAUCAACCAUGGAACCCUCACAGCCACGUUACCCUAAACGUGGAACAAGUUCUCGAGGCUCCUGGAAUCGUUCUUCUGUAACCCUAAAUUUCACAAAAAAUGAAGUUCUGAUUCCUGUUCAAGGACCCCAAUUUCCUUCAAACUUAACACCAAUGGAACAUGCACCACAACAAACCAGGUUGGUGUCUCAUCAGCAACUUAUAACACUCCGAGAUUUUCAUGUUUUUUUGUUUAGUUUAUGUUACCUUUUUUUAAUGUGAGCAGGGUGGUUGCCUCAGACACAAUUGCGUUCGGAGUACAAGAACAAGUUAAGCAAAAACGAUAUCGUAAACGGAAUUUCAAGAAAACAACCUCAAUGUAUCGAGGAGUGACUAGGUAUAAAUGUUUCUUCUGUUACCUUUUUUUUUCAGCAACAAUGAUAGAAUCUGUUCUAUUACCCUUAUAUAUGAAGAUAAAUCGGAUUAAUAGCUUAUAUCACGUAGUGGAGGGCUUUCUGCAUAAAAUAAUUGAAAAAAGUCAACAUAGCCCAUAAGAAAUUCACGUCACCUUCAAUCAAAAAUCUAUCUAAUACUUAUAUUAUAGUAUCUAUUUCUUGACUUCAUACAACAACCUCUAAGUUAUUUUAUGUUGUUGUGUUAUACGAUUCGUUUUGGCAUAGGUGUAAGGGACGUUUUGAAUCUUUUGUGUGGGAUAAGGACCUCAAAACAACUGGGAAGAGAGGAAAAACAGGUUGAAAUUUUUAGCCUUUUCACUUCUAAUGAUUUGAUUUUUUGUCCUCAAAUGUUACUAAUGUUUUUGUCAUGUUGUACGAUUGUGGGAUCUUUAUCAACUUCGGCAGUUUAUAUUGGUGAGUAAAAACGAUGUUCUUCUUUUUGUGUUUGGUUUUGAUUAUUUUAUAUGAUGAGUUUAAUUUUCUCAGAGUGUAGGAAUGGAGAGUUUAGAGAGUGAAAAGAGGGAAUUAGUAAAUAUAUAUGCGGAAAAAUUAUCUUGAUUUAGAAUUUGAAAAAAAAAAGUAAUUGAUUAAUUAAGAAAAGUUAACAGUUGAAUAUGCAUCCUUUUAAAUUUAAAUAGUUUUAAAAAUAUAAAAAUAAAAUAAAAGAAGAAAUUAAAAUUUAGAGAAUGACUAAGGACUAGACUUCAAUUGAGUGUUUUUAUUGUUGGAUGAUGGUAGCUAGAGUUUCAUAGAGUUUUAGGGUUUAUGAGAGUGAUUAUGAAAAUCAAAGUUUGGUAAUUCCACUUAGACACCUUAAAAAAUAGUUGUCCUUUUAAGUCUAUGAAUUGAGGUUGUUGACUUUAAAGCUUGUGCUUAAAUGUUUUAAGAUAAUCUUUGGUUCUAUAAUUCAUAAUUGACAUGUUUCAUACUUGAUUGUGCAUGUUAGUAUAUGGUUGGUGUCAUUUUUUAGUAAACCAUUUUUUCAUAGUCAAAUAAUUCAAGUUUGUUGUGCUUAAAAAAAGAAGCUAAUUAAUUAUUGAGUAGUGAUACCUUAACAUGUUAAUGUGACAAAUACACUCAUUUGACACGUUAAGUGUCAUUAAAUUUUAAAAUUAUGUCCUGUGAUGGUUUAAAAAUUCAGUAAAAAUGAAUUUCAGUGUCAAAUGAAUGUUAAAAAUUAAAAUUUAUCAAAGUAUUAUUACUGUUAACUAUUCUCCGCUCUACAUUAACUUGGAUCUUUAAUUUAGCAAUAGCUAAUUACAUGUUUUUUUUUUUUUUGUAAAGUAAUAUAAAUCCAAACAUUUUCUCAUUUUGAUUUGGAUAAUGAUUGAUGUAAAUUUGUCACAACUAAUUUUACUUAAUUAGUAUAUGCAUAUGAUUUGGAGUUGGUAGGUGGAUUUAAGGAUGAACUUGAAGCAGCAAGAGCUCACGAUUUGAUCGCCAUUAAGAUAUGGGGCAAGUUUGCAUAUACAAACUUUCCAGUAUGUGAUGUAUUAAAUUUAUGCUUUUUUAAUCCAACAAAAUUUAUAUAUGGAUUAUUGAUUUAAUUAUAGUAGCUAAAUUUACUCCAUCUCAUAAUUAUACUACGAAUUGUAGGUGAGUUUCUAUUUGAAGGAAAUAUCAGAAAUGCAACAAAUGAGUCUAAGAGAAUAUAUUCUUACAAUCCGAAGGUACACUUGCAAUUAUCACAAUUUCGUAAUAUAUAUAUAUAUAUAUAUAUAUAUAUAUAUGGCCAAACGUGUUUGGUUGAGAUUAAUUCUUGAUUUAACUUUUUUAUUCAGAUGUCCUCCCGAUAAACUUGUAAAAAUAGUUUUUUUUAAAAAAAAUAAAUUAAACUGACAUAUCAUUGCUAUGUUUUAGAUAAAAAAGAGAGUUAUAUAUAUAGAUAGAGAAGGAAAUAAUUAAGUUGAUAGAAUAUAUUGAACUUCUUGAUAAAUUAAAAUAAAUAGACAUUUUGCUUCUAAAAAGGUUAAAGGAAGGUUUUUUCUUACAAAAGUGUCUAAAUUGAUUUUAUUUAGUUUAUAUGCAAGAAGUUUAAAUCAUCUUUUAUUUUUUAAUUUUGCUGUAAAUAUUUAUAACAAAAUUCACUAAAUAUGGUAUGAUAAACAUUGGUAAGGGGACAGACUAUUCAUGAUUGCAUUAAAUUUUACCUAUUAAUUUCAGGGUUAGCAAGGAUAAUUCUGCUAUUGAUGGUUGUAAUUCCUCCAGGUUUGGACAUAAAAGUGCCUUCAUUAUAGCUCCCCUUGAUCUUCAAUUUUGUCACAUGUUUUCUUUGUAAUUUCAUUAGCAUUUAAAUUUUUUUAUGAAUUAAUUUGCUGACUUAAGUUUUUGUAGUAUUAAUGUUGCAUGCAUGUAUAUAUAUACAUUUCAGUGGUGUAGAUGGAGCUUCACCUGAAGUGCAGGAAAACAAUGUAGUUGGUGAUGCAUUGUCAAACCCUGAAUCAACCACAAUGCAAUCAGUGUUUGAUGAGAUUGGUCAACAAUCUCAAGCAGCAACAACUUCACUAGACCAACAUGAGAAUGUUGCAGAGAACAAACUUCUGUAUGCUGAUCAGUUUGCAUGGUUAGAUUUUGACCUAAGUUCCUCUCUUUGGUCAUAUGAUUUUGGCAGUGCACAAGUUCAGGACCAUGGAGAUGCUUUAGGCAAUAAUGCCCUAAAUUGGGAGUCCCCAACAGUAGGAGCAGGAAAUGGAAGUGUUGCUUCAUCUGGGUCAAUAAUGGAGCCUAAUACUCUGCAAUUUGAAGAACAAAACCCUCAUGUUGCAUCUGUUCAUAGGUAUGAUCCUCUCCAGUAUGGAUUUGCCACAAGCAACCAGGACGAGAAUGUGCUUCCUGACAACGAUUGGGAUAUAACCCAAUAUCUGAAUCUCGAUUACUAUGACAUGGAUGAUCACGAAACUUCUGAUGAUUGACCCUUUUGUAUGUUGUUUCAGACAUGUUUUGUCACAUUAUAUCGUAUGCACUAUCAGUCUUCUUUUUUCCUUAUGCUUAUAUAAUUAUCCCAUUUAGGUCUGCAAAGCACAUAUUAUCAUUUUAAAUUGAAGGUUGCAUGGAUAUGGUUAAUUGCCAUAUGAAGAUAUAUAUAUAUAUAUAUAUAUAUAUAUAUAUAUAUAUAUAUAUAUAUAUAUAUAUAUAUAUAUAUAUAUCUGCAAAAGUUAAACUAUCUAGUAAUAAUAAUCCAAUGAUCAAUGCUACUUUUAUUAACAUUCCAUUUCUGGUCAGAAAGUUUGAAAGGUACUGUAUGAUUUUGAUGUGUUUAUAUACUAGCUAAUUAGUGUUUUUACCUAGGAAAAUACGAAGUGGUCUUAACUGUCCAUUUAACAAAGAACUAAAAUUUCAUUAUUCAGAUAAAAACUAUCCUAUGCUUAAGUUAAUGGUGCUUUUCACAUAUAUUUCUGCAAAACAGAUAUCUUUUAUUGCUGGAUUGUGCACCACUAUAAUAGAUAUGGUGUUUGGUAGGCCAUCUUUUAUGUUUUUUACAUUAAUAUCUAGUGUGAAAUCUUUGUGUUUAUAUCAACAAGUAUAAUUAUAUGGUUAUCAACUCAUCAUGAGGAAGAUCUAUAAAUUUAGAAAAAGUGGUUAAUUAUAUCAGAUUUAGGCAACAUUAAUGGUACCCUUUACACUCCUUUUUUUUUUUUUACGCGAACAACAUAUGUUUCACGAAGAGUACGAUGUCAUUUAGGUAAACCAAAAAUGACAACAGUUUUGGAUUUCUUUUGAAGGAAUAUUUAUUCCAAGUUUAAUUUUUUGAGUUAUUAAAAAUGGAGUUUGUCCUAUGAAGUUAAGAUGAAUGAAAAAAUUGAUUGUGGAAUGACAUAUUAGACAUCUCGUGCGUGAUAGUAGAAAUUGGGUGGUCCAAUUGUGAUCCGACAAUGGGUGAAAAUAGAAAUGUCCACUUAAAACUCGUUAGGAUAGGCUCGGAUAUCAUAUUAAAAAGUAUGUUUAAGUCUAAAUCAAUCCUACAAAACCGACUUGUAAAGUGAAGUCUACACCUGUCGAUGUGGGACUUUCCAUAUUAGUGAGCUUGACAUGAAUCAAUUGAUACCGAUAUAUUCAAUAUCACACAAAUAGACAUUUAUUUUUUUAUUGACAAUGCUAAUUGUUAGUAUUUGUUAGUGAAAGAUUGGAUUUUCAAUUUUUUCCAUCAUUCUUUUCAACUUUUAUUAUUAAACUAUCUUUAUAUCCCCAUCACACAAGUAAACAUGGAUUUGAAAACAACUUCACAUAGACCAUAAGAAAGGGAGUAAAGUCCUUACGAAUUGUUGAUUACAUUGGUGUGAUGGAAUAUGAGGUUGGUUUAAAGGUGGAAGGAAAAAAGAGAUACCAUAGCUGAAAACCACCCUUCACUACGACGUAUGAGGGAGAAUGAGAUCAAUUGAUAUAAUAGUUAAUCAUCUUAUACAUUUUUAUUCAACUUUAUGUAGGAUAAUAAGUUAGAUCAUCGAACAUUAUGUCUUAUGUUAGAAAGUCUUUCAAUCAGUUGUAAUUUGACUUAUAUUUAAAUAAUCUCCUGGUAUUUAUAAAUUUGUCAUUUUAUGUCAAAAUGAAUUAAAAUUAUCAUAAUUUUCAUUAUGUUUUAUAUUUUUAAAAAUAUUUAUGGUUAAUACGUAGUAUAAUUCCAUAUUUUUUGUUGUUAAGAUAUUAUGCUCUCUAGAUGCACCCUAUUAAAGACCUAAUUUAGAGCAUGUGAUCAAAUAAUUUAUUUUCUUAAUUUCAACAUGUAAUUCCUGUAUAUCUUGAUUAUGUCUUCCAUAAGUAAGGAACUUAAUUAGUUAUUCUAAAUUUCUAUAAAAACAUGAGUCAAUUUUAAUAAAUAUUAUUUCUAAAAAGUUUCUAUUCACUAAAGUUAAUAUAAACAUUGUCAGGUAAACUAAUGAGAAAGAUGAAAAAAAAAAAAAAAAACUAGCUAGAGCAAAUUCACUUGGGAGAAAAUAUAGAAUAAACACGAAUAUAAAAUAUAUAUAGUUUUCAAUGUUUUUCGUUUCAUGAGGGACUAUCGUUUGAAAAAAGUGGAAUAGCAAUUUUGUAAUUGAUAAAUAUAACUUUAUUGUUGUCUUAUUUAACGUGUAUCUUAAUGUUAUUAUCUUCAUUAUCUUUUUGUGUUGCUUUUGUCUAUUGUAUUUUCAUCUUUGUCUCAAACAUGUUUACAACUUUGUCCAUUGUUAUUCCUAAUUUAUUACAGUAGAAGAAUGUUGUCCACUAAAAUUCAUUAUGGAACUUCUUUUUUUAGAAUUCAUUCAUGAUUUAUUGCGUUAAAACUUUUUCACAUGUUCAUGAUUUUCUCUUUACAUCCUCUGUUACAUAAUGAUAAUAAUGAGAUGUACAUAAUACUAAAUUGAGCACAUACUUUCCGUCAAAAUCUUUCUUUAAAGAUGUUCUUAUUUAGCUUGUAAAGUUUAAGAUAUCAUAAAAAUGCAUCUAGUACAAGGUACUCGUGAUCUAUAACUUAUGAAAGAUCGUUUGUUGCUUCAAUCUUUUAAAACAUUCAUUUAUUCUUUGCAUUAGUGUAUAACGUAAUAUGCAUACUUUAUUAGAUGUUUAACAUUCUGAUCUCUUAAAUUGAUUUUGGAGAUAGAUGUUUCAAUUUUAAAACACUUUUUUGUUUCUUAUACACUUGACAUACACACUAAAAAGGGGUGUGGAAUAGUGUUUUUAAAGCUUUUUGCAAAAGGGGUGUGGAAUAGUGUUUUUAAAGCUUUUUGCAAAGUAGCUUUUAGUGACUUUUGCAAGAUAUAGAUAGUUUACAAUAAUAAUUAGAUGCUUAUGUGAUCAAAAAGAGCUUUUUUGGAAAACAUUUAUAGAGCAAAGUAAUAACACACGAUUUUUAUACUGGUUUGCUUCAACCUGAGUUAUGUCUAGUUCUCAACCUUUUAAAGAGUUUCACUAAUCUUUAGAAAAUAUUACAACGAGUAUCAACCAGUUUUGGUUUACUACGAGUAUUAUCAAUCACUCCUAGUAUCAAAGAGUAUUAUCAAUCACUCCUAGUUUCAACACUAGUCAACCUGACUAGACCGUUUAGUUCACCCAAACUAAUUACAAACAAAGUAUUUUGAUUCACUUAUGAAUUUAUAAACAAAGUCAAGGUGCUUUUGAGUACAAGUAUAAAUUCAAAUAACUCUCAAAGAGAGAAUAAAUUAAAUACAAUGAGAUCUGAAUACUUGAAAAAACUCUCUUUUAAAUGAAAGUUUUAGACGAUGUACAAAGAUAGCGUAAUUUGUUUAUAUGCACAUAUUUUUGUUGUCUUCUCUUCAUGCAAUCAUAUAUAUAUAUAUAGUCUUCUUCAAAAGAGAGCCAUUAGACUGAGAGUUGACUUCCAUGUAGACUUCAUAGCCUUUUUAGGUAGGCACUCAAAAUAAGGUUUACAUUUCAAAAUUAUAAUGCUUUAUUAUAGCUUUUACAAAAGCAACUUGUACGAUUCUUUAGAGCUUAAAGCUUUGAGGAACAUUCUUGGAUUGUCUUCCUAUCUCUUAACAUCUUUAUCUUUCUUGUCCAGGAACUUGAGUAAAGGUAUUGUACUUUCAUGAUCUGCACAGAUAAAGAGAGCAAGACAUACAAGCAAAGAAGAACUUUUUUGUACAUGCAAUAAAUGUUUUAAACAUUGGUAAUUGUUUAGUCAUAUUGUUUGUUUAAAACAUAUUGGCACUUGUAACCUCGUUUGAUAGAAGCAUCGUUGAGGAAGAAAAAUGUUUCACAUACGAUCUUCAGAUGAUAUAAAACGUUAAACGCUUACUCCAUAAAACUGUUUUUAAGCUUUAUUACAUCACUUAACAAACUUUUCCUAGAUGAUUCUUGUUUUAAAACACUUAUAUGUUCAACGCUAUCUAGAUAUAGUUUCAGUGUUUUAUAAAGCGUACACUCAGACGUUUUCUUUUGUUAGAUGUUGUUUGUUAAACAUCGCUCGUUUGACGAUAUAUGCUGGAAAACGCUAUUUUCAUAAAACGUUAUAAAUGUUUAUUUCAUUCAACAUUAUUUUUAGUAAACAUAUCCUUUAGAUACUUCACUCGAUGAGCGAUAUUUUAUUAAGUAUUAUAUGUUAAACUUCAACCAUAAGUUGCUAGACAGUCUAAACAAUCUUGUCUAGUACUUUUAUCUUGUAAGACUUGUCAUGGUCAUCUAGUAUUGCUGUAGGUGUCAAACACUUCUUAUGAUUUACACUUUUGUGUAACUUGUAUAUAUUCUUCUUUAACUUGUGUCUAUUAUGAGUUUGUAUGAUAUUGCACUUUGUUUGAAGUUUUACUUGCAUCUUGUCACAAACAUUUGCUUCAUUGAUGAUUUAGUAUCACUUUUUUUAGUUUCUUCUAGUAUAUGUUGAACACUAAAUAAUUCAAAUUAUAGGAAAAAUUAUCCUGGUUAUUAUAAUUAAAAGUUUUUAUGUCAAUAAUAAUACUAUAAAAUUAACAUGUCUAUCUUAUGACAACUUAGAAUUCAUAGUAGAGAUUUGAACCAUAAUAAGUUACUUUCUUUUGUUAAUAGAAUAUGAUGUAACGAUAUUUUGUGUUAUUUAGUUGUAUAGUGAUGAGUCUCUAACAUGUUAUUAAUCUAAAAUUUGAAUAGUAAUAAUUAUAUCAAAUAUUGUACAUCUCAUGGGACACAACUAACAACAAUCUUUAUAUAUAAUUAAAUGGUUUAAUACCUAUUUUGGUCCCUCUUUUUUGGGGGGUUUGUUCAAAGUGGUCCUCCCUUUUUUAAAAAGUUCACUAAAGUCCUACUUUUUGUAAAAACUGUGCAAGUUAGUCCUUUUUGCUAACGGCGUUAAUUUUGUUGAUGGCAGAGCUGCCCAGCUGGCAAAUAUUUGAUGAUGUGUAACAUUUUAAUUGUGCUGAUAUUGUUAUGUGUUUUAAAAAAAUUAUUAAUUGUGAUGUGGAAAUUAAUAAAAUUAGGGUUAAAUUAAAAAUUGAAAUUGAGGUAAUUUGGAGUAAUUAAGUAAAGUGAUUAGAAGCAAUUUGGGUAAAAUUUCCGAUUACGAUUGGGAUUUUCGUGGUGGAUUUAGGGUUCAUCAAACACCUUCAAUCCAGUAAUUUCUGAUUGCGAUAAUUUUCUCACUUCAACCCAUCUUUGUUCUUUUUCUUUCCUCUGUAAAAUUCAGUUUCUCUCUCUACAGAAAAAGUGACAAUUUCUCUUUGGAAUCCUAAUUCUAAAUCUAAAUAUGGUUGAAGGAGAUAUGAUCUGAAGAGGUGACUGAGCAGGAAGAGGAGGAAUCGAAGGAUUCAAAAAUGGGUUGCAACCAAUCGAAGAUCGAGAAUGAGGAAGCAGUGGCACAAUGCAAGGAGCGCAAGCGCUUCAUGAAGGACAUUGUCUCCUCCCGCAAUGCCUUCGCCGCUGCCCACUCUUCCUAUGCCACCUGCCUCAAAAACAUCGACGCCACCCUCAGCGACUUCGCCCAGGGAGGUUCAGAACCCUCAAUCGCCUGUGGGGAAGGGCGUGAAGUUGAAGCAGACGCCGAGUUCUGUGGAGGGAAAGAGGAUUGUGAAACAUUCCGUGAAUCUGCAGCAGAUAUUUGCUUAUCUUGAUGAUAAUUUUCUCAAGGCUUAUUUAUGAGGCGGCUCAUGAUGUUUCAAAUAACCCCAAAUUACUCCAAUUUUAAUUCUUAAUUUAACCCUAAUUUUAUUAAUUUCCACGUCAUAAUUAAUAAUUUUUUUAAACACAUAACAAUGCCAGCAUAAUCAAAACGUUACACAUCAUCAAAUAUUUCGCCGCAAAAAGGACUAACUUGCACAGUUUUUGCAAAAAGUAAGACUUUAGUGAACUUUUUAAGAAAGGAGAACCACUUUGAACAAACCUCCUAAAAGAGGACCAAAAUAGGUAUUAAACCUAAUUAAAUUUAUCAAUCUUAAAUUUUGUUCUUUACUUUUUUUUUUCAGCUUUUAAUAACCUUCUAUAUAUUUUAAUUUCAAUUUGUCAACCCAUUCAAUUUGUUAAUUAAUAAUAUUUAUAUUUUCAAUAUUUAAUUUAUUGUCAAAACCUAUGAUGGACUGAUAGUUUAAUUUGGAUUAUGUAUCCAUAGUGGCAGAUCACCAACAAAUGUUUUAGGAGAAUAAAAAAUGUCAAAUGUUUUUUAGAAAUGUUAAAUAUAUAAAAUAUAUUAAUUUUUAAAAAAUAAUUUAAAUUAUAUUAAUUUUUAAAAAAUAAUUUAAAUUAUAUUAAUUUAUAUGAAUAUAAAAAUAAAUCUGGGAGCCAAAGCCUUCCUUUUGUCACCAUAUAUUCGUAUCCUAUGCUUUACGAAUAUUUAUCAAUAAAAUAUUUAAGUUAUAAACAAUACUUUUGCCAAUAAUUUAUAACUUUUUAUGUUAAUAAUUUUAAUAUGUAAAAUUUUAAUUUGAAUUUACACAUUAACAAUCAUAUAUCAUGUUCUCAAAAAUAUUUCAUAUAUAUAUAUAUAUAUAUAUAUAUAUAUAUACAUAUAUAUAUAUAUAUAUAUAUAUAUAUAAUUUAUUGUAUUUUAUUAUUAUUUUAAAAUAAACGUGCCAACAUACCAUAUUCAUACAUAAGAUGAAAACAUUAAAAAUAAAUUGAUAUUAUUAUAAAAAUAAUUAAAUGCGCGUGAAUAUACACAAUAUUAACUUAAAUACAAAUGAAAUUUUCACAGUUAAAUAUUAUUUAAUCCUCAAAAUUUAAUUAUACAAAGUUUCAUAUUUUGCAAAACAUUAGUAUUAGGAGCAUUACGUUCAAAAGGUUGCAUGUAUAAAUUGUUUGGUCUAGUACACUUCCUUUCCUUCUUCUUCAUCGUCAUUGUUUCAUAAACAAAUGAGAAAUGAAAGGUCUGCUGCAACUGAACCAAAUGCUGGCAGACCUCAUUCGCUCCAACCACCACACCCAAUCCUUAACCCUCUUCGUUAUCGCCCACUCCACCUUCACACCUGACCACUACACCCUCUCCGCCGCCCUCACCGCCGCCGCCAAUGCCCGCCACAUCACCUUCGGCGCCCAGCUCCAUUCGCACGCAGUCCGAACAGGGCUCUGGGCCCACUCCCACGUCGCCAACUCCCUCCUCUCGCUCUACGCCAAGACCCAUGACCUCGCCUCCGUCGAACGUGCGUUUAGCGAAAUACAUUGCCCCGACGCGUAUUCGUGGACCACGCUGCUCUCGGCCUGUGCCAAACUGGCCCCUAUUACCCAUGCCCUUCAACUGUUCGACCAAAUUCCCAAACGACACGUGGCGGUCUGGAACGCUGUCAUUACCGGGUGUGCGGACAAGGGUCAUGAAGAUCUUGCUUUUAACUUGUUCAGGUGAUCAAGAUUAGGAACUCACUUUAGCCGGAAAAUAAGUAAUAUCAAUACUUUAGCUGGGAAAUAUAUAAAAGGUAUCAUAAAAUGCUAGAUGGCUUGUAAAAACUGAGGUUAUUGUUCUACUUGGGUCACAUCUUUUUAAAAAAAUUUACAUUAUACUAAGUUUACUCUAAUAGGGAGAUUUCAUAAGAAGCUACUCUUCUAUACUUUUCUUCUAUUUACUCUUCACUCUUAAAAUUUUAAACUUUAAUAUAAUUGUUGAUAUAUCUAUUUUAUUGUUAAGACUUGACUUGUUGGAAUGUAUUGUAAACAAUGAAAUUAAAACAGAGUCAUUAGGUAAGAUGUCAUACCCGCCAGUUUGUUUAUUUAAAAUGAAAUUAGCCAAUAGUAGAUGAUGUAUUAAAAAAAGUGUUAGGGUGUAUUACUAACCUUCCUCAAUAAAUAGUCUAGUACUAUGGAAUUUUUACACUCAUUCUACUUGUCACGUUUGAUAAGUAUUUUUCUUUUUUUACUGUAACAAUUAUAACAGUCAUGCUAUAAUGAUUUUUUAUAGGUUGAAUGUAGAAUUUUUUUAUACUAAAAAUGCAUAGAAAUUAAUCUUCCUAUGAAAUUAACAAGUGAUAUUUCAUCACAUUCAUUAUUUGCUACAUUCAACUCCUCCAAAUAAUAAUAAUGUAAAUAAUAUUAAUUAUUGAUGAGAAAAUAGGAAAUAGAUAUUACAUGCACUUACGUAUAAAUCAUGAAUGUGUUGAAAUAUAAACAUUAACGGCUGGAAUUGUUUACCUUUUUCUACCAUUAUCCUCUUACUUAUCACGGAACGUGUGGAUCAACUUGCACAUAAAUGUUUCAGCGUAGUCAGUUGAAUUUAACCCUAAGUAGGCAACUCUAUUAAAUACUUGGAGGGAGAGUCUAGUUGCGCGUAAUAUUCCUACCGAAUUGGGUAGAAUUGCCUCGCACAUCGAACAUCUCUUUUGCCUAAUACAAAAAAAAUAUUUCUCUUACUUUAAUAAGGUUAAAAUUGAAAGAAGUGAAUGUAUGUGGCAUGCCCUGAUAUUAUUUGACUGGAAAUAUUAUGUUUCAGGGACAUGCAAAAGAUGGGUGUUAAGGCUGAUAAAUACACUUUUGCCACCAUGUUGAGUUUGUGCUCCUGGGAGCUUUUGGAUUAUGGAAGGCACGUGCAUUCGGUGGUUAUCAAAAGUGGUAUUUUGGGUUGGACUUCUGUGGUUAAUUCUUUGAUCACUAUGUAUUUUAAGUGUGGGUGUGUUGUGGAUGCUUGUAAGGUGUUUGAGGAAGCAGAAGGUAGCACGUGUGAUUAUGUUACGUAUAAUGCAAUGAUAGAUGGUUUUGCAAGUGAGGAGAGAAGUGAGGAUGCAUUUUUGAUAUUCAGAGACAUGCAAAAGGGCUGUUUUGGUCCAACGGAAGUUACCUUUGUGAGUGUCAUGAGUUCCUGUUCAUGUUUAAGAGCUGGUUGUCAAACGCAGGCUCAAGCUAUCAAGAUGGGUCUUAUUGGUUGUGUUGCUGUGAACAAUGCAAUGCUGACAAUGUAUUCUGGGUUUGGGGACGUUUAUGAGGUUCGAGAUAUUUUUGAGCGAAUGGAGGAAAGGGAUGUUGUUUCAUGGAACAUAAUGGUUUCAACGCUUCUACAAGAAAAUCUCGAGGAAGAAGCAAUUUUGAGCUAUUUGAAAAUGAGGAGGGAGGGAAUUGAACCAGACGAGUAUACUUAUGGAAGUUUGCUGUUUGCUACAGAUUCUUUGCAAGUUGUGGAGAUGAUCCACUCCCUUCUAUGCAAAAGUGGGUUUGGGAAAAUUGAAGUUUUGAAUGUGUUAGUUUCUGCAUACUGCAGACAUAGGAAGAUGAAGAGUGCUUUUCGAAUCUUCUCUGCCGUUCCCUAUAAAAAUUUAAUAUCUUGGAACAGUAUCAUAUCUGGGUUUUUGAUGAAUGGACAUCCGUUACAUGGGUUAGAGCAAUUCUCUGCAUUACUUCGUGCACAAAUCAAGCCAAAUGCCUAUUCCCUCACUCUUGUUCUGAGUAUUUGUUCUAGCAUGUCAGCCAUGAGUCAUGGGAAACAGAUUCAUGGUUACAUACUAAGACAUGGUUUUUCUUCAGAAGUUUCUUUGGGUAAUUCCUUGGUCACAAUGUAUGCCAAAUGUGGAUCUUUGGAUGGGGCUUUGAGAGUAUUUGAUGCAAUGGUGGAGAGAGAUACAAUCUCUUGGAAUGCUAUAAUAUCUGCUUAUGCACAGCAUGGACGAGGGAAAGAAGCUGUGUCCUGUUUUGAGGCAAUGCAGACCACACCUGGAAUCAGACCAGACCAGGCUACCUUUACUUCAGUUCUUUCUGCUUGCAGCCAUGCAGGUUUGGUCGAUGACGGUGCCUGUAUUUUUUAUACAAUGAUAAAAGUUUAUGGAAUUUUGCCAAGUGUGGAUCAUCUUUCUUGCUUGGUUGAUCUUCUCGGUCGCAGUGGAUACCUUGAUGAGGCAGAGACCGUUAUUAAAGAUGCAUAUUUGGGAGCACAUUCUAAUAUGUGCUGGUCAAUGCUUAGUGCUUGUGCAGCUCAUGGUAAUUUAAAGCUAGGAAGAGCAGUUGCGAGACUUAUUCUGGAAAGAGACAAUGACAAUCCAUCAGUUUAUGUGCUUUUAUCAAAUAUAUGUGCAAAAGCAGGUCAGUGGGAAGAAGCAGCUAAUCUUAGAGAUAUGAUUAGAGAGUUUGGGACAACAAAGCAGCCUGGUUGCAGUUGGAUCAGAACCUAAGACUUACUGGUCAUACAUUCUUGCAAAUUAUAAGCACCAGCUGAAUAUGAUGGAGGUCCUACACAGAUUUCAAUUUUGAAUAAACUUGGUCAUAGAGUAUGAUGUGAUAUGCAAGAAAGAGGAAUUUGUAGCAGAAAAUUUGCUAUUAGUAUCCCCGGGCACGUGGUUUCCAAUACUUAUUUUCUCCAAGUGAAAGUAAAAAUGGCCAAAGUUUGGGUAUUUUCUACAUAGAGACGGUGUUAGAGGAGCUGAAAGUAAGAUGAGUUUGAAGUAUGGUUUUCAAAGAUCUGGGUGGACGAGCAAUGGAAGCUCCUAGAUGUAAGUUUCACUGUUAGGAAAGGAAAAUAUUUUUUUUUCCGAAUGUGAGAUAUGUGUUUAUGUCCAUAUCAUAAUUAGGAGACCAUUCGAUUAUGGAUAAUGACACUUUGACACCUAAAAGUGACAAACUUUUGAUACCGCUAUGUGUCAUUUUCUUAGUGGUUCAUCUGUCAAAUAAUAAGAAAAAACAAAAUGACAUGUAAGUGAAUUGAGACAAGGGUUGAAAGUGGUGGUUUCAUUUUGGCAUUCAAAAUCAGAUUUCAUAUUUGGGAUUAAAAAAACUCUAGAGAGAGAAGAAGCCUAGGCCAUGGAGAAGAGAUUUUUCACUUCGACGGAGUUUCCACCGCCACUUUCAAACCUGUGUCGUUUACCGUUCACCGGAGGACAUUCCGGCGUUGUACCGUUGAUUGGAAUGUGCCCAGGCUAUCGAAAACUUAGUCGUUCUGCCGUCAUGCCCCGAAAACUUAGUCGUUCUGCCGUCGUGCCCUGCGAUUCGCGACUCCAAAGCUUUUGUUCGGUGUGUAUGAGUUUUUUCCUACAUUUUUUUCGAUUUAGUUAUUUUUUGUGUUCUAUGGUUGUUUUUCUCAUGUAUUUUGGUUGAAUGAACCGUUAUAGGAUGUGAGAACUUUGUUCAUUGUUUCAUUAUAGAGACUUUUUUGGGGGUGACUUUAUUUUUUUAAUAUUGAUUAAGAUGACCUUUUUUUGGGGUGACUUUAUCUUUUUAAUAUUGAUUAAGAUUUUUUUGUUGGGUCGUUUGCCAUAUGUUCCGUGAUUUUAAGAUAGUUUACUUGUGUGGAUGUGUUGGUAUAAAAAUUAUUUUAGGAUAAUUCAAUGUUUUAAUGAUUGAUUUCUCAAAUUGUGAAGCCAAUUAGUGUUGAUAUAUUUCUUUAAAUUUUAAAAAGUUUGUUGAUGUUGUAUUUUGGUGCUUACGUUUUACAGUGAUGGAUUGCUUUAAAGAAGAAAGUCAUAUCAAAGUAAGUAAAUGUGAUGUAUUGAAAAUGUCAUUGAUGGUAGGGAAUCAUUCCUUUUUCCUUCUACUAGAGAUCUUGGUUCGUCAUUGUUUGAUGUGAAAUUGACUAAAUGGGAAUGUGAAGGAAAUCAUUUGAGAAUAUAAUGAGGAACAAAGGGUUCAGAGAGGUUAUAUUCUUUGGUUAUAAGAAUGACAUCAUUUGCAAAGUUUUAGUUUUAGAGACUCGGAAUUCAACAAAGUCUGAAAAAUGAUGAAAGGAAUUUUACACCCACUAUGACUUAAAGGAAGGAAACGUUCUGGUCUUCGAGGUUAACAACCAGUAUGGACCCAGAAGUCAUAACUAAACUCACUUAUAAAGUUCAAAUAAGUGGUUGUAAACCUCGAAGACCAAAGCGUCUCCUUCCAUCCUUUAAGUCAUACUGGGUGUAAAAUUCCUUCCAUUCUUUUCCAAACUUUGUUGAAUUCCGAGUCUUCGAAACUAAAACUUUGCACAUAAUGUCAUCCUUAUAACCAAGGAGCAUAACCUCUAUGAACCCUUUGUUCCUCAUUAAAUUUCCAAAGGUACUUUGCAAGUCCUAUAAGUAAUAGAAGUCAAUGACAUUGUGAUGUUCAAAUUAUAUUCACCAAUACUGGGCAAGAAUAAAAUUAUUACAGAUGUACGAAAUGACUUCCUUCACAUUCCGGUUUAAUCAAUUUCACAGCAAACAAGGAUGAAUCAUGAUCUCUAGUAGAAGGAAAAAAGAAUGAUUCCCUAUCAACAAUGACAUUUUCAAUACAUUACAUUUACUUACAUACGACUUCCUUCUUUAAAGCAAUUCAUCACUGUAAAAACGGAAGCACCAAAAUACAACAUCUACGAAAAAAUCUUCAACGAAAAGUUCAACAAACUUUUUAAAAUUUAAAGAAAUAUUAGUUCGCUUCACAAUUUGGGAAAUCAAUCAUUAAAACAUUGAACUAUCCUAAAAUAAUUUUUAUACCAACACACCCACACAAGUGAACUAUCUUAAAAUCACGGAACUCUGGCAAAAGACUCAAAAAAAAACCUUAAUCAAUAUUCAAAAAAUAAAGCCAUCCAAUAAAAGGUCUCUGUAAUGAAAUAAUGAACAAAGUUCUCGCAUCCUAUAAUGGUUCAUUCAACCUAAAUACAUAAGAAAAACAACCAAAAAUAACUAAAUCAAAAAAAAAAUGUAGGAAAAAACUCAUAUGCCCGAAUAAAAGCUUUGGAGUCAUGAAACGCAGGGCACGACGGUGGAACAACUACGUUUUCUGUGUGCUUGGACAUGUUUCAAUCAGCGGUACAGUGUCGGAAUGUCCUCCGAUAAACAGUAAACGAUGUAGGUUUGAAAGUGGCGGUGGAAACUCGGUAAGUGAAAAAUCUUUUCUCCACAGCCUAAACUCCUUCUCUCUCAAGGGCUUUUUAAUCCUAAAUGUGAAAUUUGAUUUUGAAUGCCAAAAGAAAACUGUCACUCUCAAUCCCUGGUGGCUCAGUUCAUUUACAUGUCAUUUUGUUUUUUCUUAUUAUUUGACAGAUAGAUCACUAACAAAACAGACACGGGACGAUGUGAAAAGUUUGUCACUUUUUUUUUGUCAAAAUAUCAUUAUCUUUCAAUUAUAUCUGUGAAGAGAUAUUGUGCUAAUUUUUUUUUUUCUUGUGCUGCUCAACAGUUUUCUUGAUACCUAUUUUUCUCUUUUCUUCAUGUCUGUGGCAGAACUAAAUGACACAAGAGCCAACAAGAGAUCAUCAAAUAUGAAAUCAGAAACAAAUUAUCCACACGAAGAGGAGAGCAGGAACAUGACCAUGUCACUGAACAUCCAUAAGAUCUGACAAGUUGGGUCUGGACCCUGCUUUUUUGACCAGUCAUAAUGAAAGGUCUGACAAUGGGUUUGAUAGAAUGCAAGUUAUUGACUUUAUACAACUUGUUUUGUUUUAAACUGGAGGACUUUCGGCAGCCUUUUAACCAAAUGCAGAAAGUUUGGCUUGUUGCAUUUGCUGGUGACAAGAGUCAAGAUCAGGUUUAAGACACUGCAAAUUUGUUCAUGAACCCCCGUUAUGAUUUGAUGUUACUCAUUCAAGAGUCUUGAGCAAGAGACUGUGACUGUUGAUGAGAGGAUUGAAGAUACCAAAGUGAUACCCUAAGGCUGCUAAGGAGAUUGUUUGCUUCCAUGAAGAAAUACAAAGUUUGGUAACUUUGAAGCACCAGUUAGACUUCUGCACCAAAAGCAGUAAGUCUGGACAUCUACAAUAUCAAAGAUCACAUGGACUAUCAAUCCUUAGAUGAUGAAGCCUGACCAAAACCCUUUUUUUUCUCUAUAUUUUUUUUUCUGUACUUUGACACCUAUAAUAUAGUCUGCAUGAAGAUUAAUAAUUGGACGAAGAUGAGUGAAUCAUUGUCACAGUAAACUUAUCAUGUUUUUGUUAUUUUUUUAUAAUUUAAUUUAUAUAUCCAUGUUUAGAGAUAUAACAACAAUAAAUAAAAAUUUACUUAUAAAGCACAGUAAGCAGAAGUUAGAUCGAUGUUCAUUUAACCAAAUUUAGCACUGGUGUGAUUGGCAUUAAGAUUAAUUUUCUUAAAUAGAUAUGGACCAAAAUUAAAUGGUUGAUGAUAAAGUAUAGCUUCAACCAAAUUAAUCUGUCAGGGCUAAUUAGGCUAAAGUUGGAUGUAAUAUUUUAUAAUUUAAACUUCUGUGAGAUGAUAAUGGGAUAAGUUUAAAGAAAUUAAAAUAUGGUAUGCUCUCUUAUCCAAACAGGUAAAAUAGGUCUACAUAGAAACUGCUUAGUCAAAGAGACUCAAAAUGAAGGUGCCUAAAUAAACUAAGAAGUUAGAAUAGUUAUAAUCUUUUCUCUCACUCCUACGUGCAUAUAGGUGCAUAGUGUAACCUUUUAUUAAUUUAUUAAUAACUUACAAAAGAGUUAAAUCUUUUUUUACAAGAAUCUUAAGUCACAUUAAAAUAUUGUUUUCACCAUAAAUUACUUGUGCUUGAAAUUUAGGCUAUAAGUCACACACACAUGUAUAUAUUUAUAGAUAGAUAGAUAGUAUAAUUGACUUUCACAGUGAAUUUUUAUAGAAUGAUUUGCAUUUAAUAUUAGUAGCUUUUUUACAAUAAAAUAACUAUUGAAGUUUUUUAUGUAACAUUUUCUUAAAUUAGUUAGUAUAGAUGGAAUUGUUGAAGUAAAAAUAUACUUAUGGUUUUCAUCAAAUAAAAGGGUAAAAUUGGGGUAAAAGAAAAUAGCUUCAACCAAAUUAAUAUCUGUCAAUUUAGUUUUAAAACGUUAAUAAAUUAUAAUUUAAACUUUUAAAAUUUUGAAAAUUAAUUAUAUUAAUAAAUAUUGAUGUAUAUUAUUAAAAUUUUAGGUUAAAUAUGAUACAUACAUUAUCAAAUACAUAUUAUAAAUUCAUAUAUAUUUUUUUUAAGGACAAUGAUAUUUUAACACUAUUUUUUGACACUAUUUUGACACUGCACACGUGUCAAGAUGUGAUUGGACGAUUUCAAAUUAAAAAAGUUGAGGCAGGGAUAUAUUUGGAAGAGAAAAACCAAAGUUUAUUUUUUAAUUUGAAAUUGUCCAACCACAUUUUGACACGUGUGCAGUGUCAAAAUGGUGUCAAAAAAUGGUGUUAAAAUUUUAUUUUCCUUUUUUUAAUUGUUUUUAUUACAAAGUUGUAAUAUCAUAUCUUUUUUAAUCAUUAAAAUACAUUUAUUAAUUGGAAUUGUGUUUGUUUAAAUGGGAUUGAACAUUUUUAUAUAUAAAACAGGUUCCGGCCAGUGAAAAAUACUGAAACCACAACAGAGAUCAAAUCUCAAUCUUUUUUUAUUUUCUUCAAUUUCUAGUUAUAUAUAUAUAUAUAUAUAUAUAUAUAUAUAUAUAUAUAUAUNNNNNNNNNNNNNNNNNNNAUAUAUAUAUAUUUUUUUUUUUUUAUUUUUUUUUUUUUUCUUAAUUUUAUACUUAUAAAAUUCAUUUCAACCCGAACCCGAAAACAAAUCGAUAUCACACGGUUAAAAAGAAAUGGGGAAGAAGAGAAGUAGGGUUUUGGAGGAUGAUGAGGAAUUCGAAACCCACUCUUCCGAUCAGAACGAGCACACCCUCUACCAGGUUCUUUACAUUAUCUUAAUGUUUCAAUCGUUAUCACUAUGUAUUGUACCUAUUUUUUUUUAUUUAUUUACUUUGAAGAAAUAUUGAACAUAAUGUUAGUUGAAAAACCAAUGUAACAUAUCAAACUUAUAUAUCCACUGAGUUUCAUACAACUUAGGUUGAUUUUACUGGUCUGAGUGGAAGGCCAUAGGAUUAUUAGACAUGUAGUUGAUGUUCUGAACUAAUUUUCAGAUACUAGUCUCUUACUUAUUAGACAUGGAGAUAUACCAAGAAUCAUGGAAACAAGGAAUGCUAACCACACAUUCUUAAAUUAUGUGGGUGUGAAUGAGUCUCACUUAUGAUUUACAUAUUAUGAGUACAGUAGUGAGUGUGAAUGAAGUUUCCUUCAUGAAUUUUGUACUUUUUAUAACUUUUAAACAAUAAUAAAAGGAUUUAGAGAGUAUGUUACUAGCAAUCUUUGAAAUCAUCCUCAUCAUUCUCUGUAGUCACCAUUACAAAAAGAAGAAAUCCAUUUUUCCUUUGUUUCCUAUUCUCUUGCGCAUUUGACACACUUAAGCUCAUGGGCAUUCUUCUAAUUAGUGUUCUAUUCUUGGUGUUAAUGAACAAAGAUGUUUUGGGUUAGUGACCUUUUGCUUGAUUUUUCUGUUAGGUUCUUGGUGUGGAGAGAACAGCAUCUCAACAGGAAAUAAAGAAGGCAUACUACAAGUUGGCAUUAAAGCUGCAUCCUGAUAAAAACCCCGGUGAUGAGGUAUUUUGUCUCGCCUUUCCUGCUGUUCUAACUGAUUUAUUAAAAUGAUAAAUAUCUUUGGUUGAAAGUGGUCAUCUUUUACAGGAAGCUAAAGCUAAGUUUCAGCAAUUACAACAUGUUAUAUCAAUUCUUGGUGAUGAAGAAAAGCGGGCUGUAUAUGAUCAGACUGGUUGUAUUGAUGAUGCCGUAAGUGUUUCAGUAAAGUCAUAAUAUAAUUGAUUUGUAAUUUACAGUGUUUGGAUACAUUGUUUAUUAUUUCUAACACAUUGGAGAUUUUGGAGGAAAUUGUUCUUUUGUUAUAACAAUAUCACUGUAUAAAGCUACAACAAAAUAAAGGAUUGGAAUUUCAGGAUACUUGAGCAUUGUUCUGGAUAUUUACAACUUAACUUCUCACUUACUUCUGAAAAACAGGAGCUUGCAGGGGAUGUUGUUCAGAAUCUCAAAGAAUAUUUCAGAGCAAUGUACAAAAAGGUACAUGUUUUAGUAGAUGAUCCCUUUUCUUCGGUAUGCAUUGCAGUAUACUUGUUUUCAUCCAUGUAAUUUUGUAAUAUUUGCCAAUAGGUCACUGAAACUGAUAUUGAGGAGUUUGAGGCAAACUAUAGGGGAUCUGACUCUGAGAAAAAUGAUUUGAUUGACCUCUACAAGAAGUAUAAGGGUAAAAUGAAUAGGUAAAGACCUUGUCAUUAGCAAGAACUUUUUGUCAGAUGAAGGAUUUCAGCUUGAUAUCUAGUAAACUUCCCUCCCUUUGCAGGUUAUUCCAUUCAAUGCUUUGUUCAGAUCCUAAACUUGAUUCACACCGAUUCAAGGAUAUUCUUGAUGAGACUAUAGCUGCUGGUAAGAAUAUCACUAUCUAUUUUUUGUCCAAGUUUAUACCAGACGUCACUGAUAGAAAAGAACUGUAUUGAAUUUUGUAUAUUUGGGAUGGAUCUUGAAGUUGAUAACAUAAUGGGAGACUAUGCAGUUACCUUUAUUUUAAGCAGAGAUAUUCAGCAUAUUAAUACGGACAAAUAUUUGACUUGGGUUGUUCAAUUUCCUUGAUGCUUGUUCUCCUCUCUUCAUUCGUGUAGGAGAACUAAAGGAAACAAAAGCCUACAAGAAAUGGGCAAAGAAAUUAUCAGAAAUCAAGCCACCUACUAGUCCAAUAAGAAGGCGAGCACAGUGAGUUUAUCAGCAGGGUUUGAUUUUAUCUUUUUCUGUUGCGCUGUAACUUAGGCAUACUGAUAUUUAAAUCUUCUAUAGAUCAUCAAAGAAACAAUCAGAAACAGAUCUGGGUGCCAUCAUAUCACAGCGUCAACAUGAGAGGAAACACCGCCUUAAUUCUAUGUUCUCAUCUCUAAUUUCAAAGUAUGGUGGGGAUCAAAUGCCAGAGCCCUCUGAAGAGGAAUUUGAAGCUGCACAGAGAAAACUGGAAAAACGUAGGUCCUCAAAAAAGUCAAAGCAAAGAUAACCAAUUCAUUGUUAUUGAAAACUCUUCUUUUCUGCCGAAGGAUAGUUAUUUUGUGGCUAGUUACUGUCAAUGCUGCAACAUCAGGAACUUUCCUAAAAGUGUUAGGCUUUUAUGUUUAUCUUCUAUCAAUUUUCUCUGUUCCAUUUUAUCACUGUUUGAUUUAAAUGACACAUCCAUUACCUUCUUCGACAUUCUCAGAAAUUUAUGCAUGAAAACAACAGGGUGUAAUAGCUAGUUUUUGAUUCAGUACCCCAGGAUAAUUUACUGAGGUAUGACAGAGUGAUUGUUUCAUUGUAUGAUAUUGCAUCUUUCAGGAAUAUUAUAACCGGAAUGAUAUUCUUAGAUAUAUCUAAACUAAAUUGUGUUUUCAUGGAAAGAGAAAAUAUCCUUAAACUUAUUCUAUAACCUAAUAAAUAUUUUUACUUUCAUAUGUUUGAAAAUGCAAAAGAAAUAUCAGUUGAAUAAUUGUUUCCCUAAGUUUGUUUUAUGCUCUGCCAACUGGAAGUUUGAAUGCAUUAUGGGCUUACACGAAUUUGCCAUUUCGUGAUGAAAUUUUUUUAUUUCAUGAAUGUUUUUCAGGAGAUAAUCUUGUUCAAAUAGGAUAAUAUAAUGCAGGACUCUAAUACAUUAUGGAUUAAUCUAUUUACUAAUUCAUUUUGGAACACACAUGCACAGAGAGGUGAUAAAGACAUUCAUUUAUAGAUAAAAAAGAUGGAAGCUAUUAUUUCAAAGCUGCAUGUGAUGUGUUUGAUGUCAUGUGUGCAUUAAUUAUUUGAUGACCUUUAUAGUUUCAUUCUAAAUCUUAAGUAUGCAAUCAUGUCAUGUGAUUGCUGAACCUUUUUCAUUGUUUCUUACCAUUUUAUUGUCAUGGAGUUUUUACAAUGUGGUAAAUGUCUUUCUAGUUCCUAAAUUUAGAAAUUAUUAUUUUUUUUAAUUUUGAUAUAUUUUAACUUUUAAAUUUUUUAAGUCAAUAACAACCAUUUUUCUUUGUAUUUAAUGGAACUUUAUACUUAUAUAAUUUAUUUACAUCAUUUAACAUAUUUAACUCUUCGAUAUUUAAUUUCAGAAUCAAAAUUGUCAAAGUUUAAGAAUUUUGAUUUAUACAAGUUUAAGGAUUGAAAGUAUGUUUGGUUGUUUUAUUUUUUUAUCAAUUUAAUGCAUGCAAUUUACUUCUUUAUCGAGAAUACAUAUAUUUAAAAAUAUGUAAAAUUGAUAAAUGGGUUUGAAAAUUUUGACUUGAUGUGAUUAAAAUCACAUAUCUGUUUCUGCAUUUUCGCUAGAAGUCAUAGUCAAAUGAAGAUUUUAGGAUUUUUCUACUAAAAAUUUAAAUAUGAUUAUCAUGUUGCAUUUUUAUGUUUGAAUAUAUUAUGUUAGUUUUAAAAUUAAAUACAACUUUUGAAAAACAAAAUAUUUUUAAAUAUGCUUAAAAGCUAAACAAUUAAAAUGCAAAAGAUAUAAAGAGUUUCCAAUUACAACUCCUUUAUAAUAAAAUACUCUUUCAAAAACAAUUUACCCACUUUCGUAAUUUUUAAAACAAUAUUUUUAUAAUAUAAAUAGAUAAAUUUUAUCCAUUGGUUAAAAAAAAUCCAUCCCAACAGUAGUUGUCAUGUCAUAUCACACUAUCACACUAUCUGGAUCCUGCUGGUUUUGGAAACUAAAAAACAAUAUAGAGAUAAAAAAAAAUAAAUAAUAAUACGCAUUCAUAGAAUGGCCUUAUAUGUGGGUUUAGUUUAUUUUAAAAUAUUUUUGAGCAAUUUUUUUUAAAAGAUUUAAGAUUUGUUUGAUAAACUUUUUUAUUCAAUUGUUUGAAAAGCUAUUUUUUUUUAAUUUUAUUAAAAAAUAGUAAUAAAUUAUUUAACAUAAAAGUUAUACAAUAAGAUGAAGUAUAAAUAUUUUAUUAUUUAAAUAUAAAAAUUCUUAUAAUCAAUUUAAUUAGUGAAAUCUUUUAUUGAUUAUUUAAUCAAUUUAAUUAGUGAAAUCUACCCGUCAUGUGGCACUUGACAUUGACGAGGGCAGGGAGUGAUCGUCAGUGCAAGAAGCACGAAGUGCAAGAGGCACAACCAAAGAGCGGUUCCUGGCAAGCUUUCCGUGGGAGGGGCAUAUGGAAGAAUCGAACAUACACCGGAAUGGGAGGGGUCUAGAGACUGUAUAGGUAUGAGACUAUACAGUUAAAGGAUAACUUCAAGGAAUUGAUUUGGCUACUCAUAUCAAAAAAAUGCAUUUGUUUUUCGGUAGCCUAACCCAUAAGAACUCCAUGAUUAAGAGUGCUUAGUCUGGAGUAAUUUAGGGAUGGGUGACCUUUUGGGAAGUUUUCUUAGAAAGUGUACGAGUGAGGACAAAACACAUUGGAAAGCCUUAUGUUGAUGUGUGGGGGCAGUCAAUAUUCCUUGUAAGUUGCUGGGGCGUUACAAGUGGUAUCAGAGCCAGGUGGAUCUAUACAGUUAAAGAAUAGCUUAAAGGAAGAAUCGAACAUACACCCGGUAGUCUAACCCAUAAGAACUCCAUGGUUGUGCGAGUGAGGACAAAACACAUUGGAAAGCACGGUGUUGAUGUGUGGGGGCAGUCAAUAUUCCUUGUAAGUUGUCGGGGUAUACGUCACCUUAUUGUAAGAAUCUUUAACCGUGUUCUUAAACUUUUAUUUAAGCCUACAAUGUCAGCAUCUAUCAUCUACACAAUAAUCUCCAAUAUCUAGAACAUAAAUGUUAUUCUUUUAUCAUCACAAUUUCAUAUAACCAUCAACAUUAUUCUUUCCUUCUCAUUCAUACAAUUCCCAUAAUACUAAAAUACAACAAUAUUUCCAUGAAGUUAUGGAUGUCAUUUCCCAAGUCCAAUCCAAAUUUCACAACUCAAAGACUUAACCAUAUAAUUGUAGAUUACAUACACAACCAAAUCAACAAUUUCAAGCAUACUAGUUUAACUAUCAAAUCACAUAUUCAUCUUACACUCGAUUUAGACCAGAUAAAACAAAUAGUUCAAAAUAAUAUUAGUUUCUCUUACCUUGGUUAAACUACCCUUUUUCUCAAUUUCUCCUUAGAGCUAUAUUUUUCACAAAAUAACUUAACUAGACAAAGAAAACCCUAAUUAUAAAUCUAAACAUAUCACCAAGAUCACAAAACAACAAAGAUUCAACUUUAAACAACACAUUUUAGUCAAAGUGUAUUACAAUACAAUGAAAUAACCUCAAAAAGUGUAAAAGAAAUGAACUUACUUUGUUAUUCAAUCUAAUCGGAUAGAUGUGUUGACAUCUUCACUAAAAAAAUCAUAUAAUUCUUGAUCUUCAAAAGGAUAAAUAUUGAAGAUAGAAACAUAAAGAUAAAUAGAGGAUAGAAAGAAAAUAUAGAGAGAUAAUAGUUUUUAUAAAAUGAACUUCACUUUAUAAAAAUUUCUAUUUAUAGUCUUAAACUUUUAUUAUUAAAAUAAUUCAAUGUUAUCUUUUAAAAAUCACCACCAUUUCUAGACCAUUUGCCAAGGAUAUCACAAUAAUGAACAUAAUUUAAGCAUAAAUAAAACUUAAAAAAUCAUACUAAUAGAUAAAAUAAAUUAAUUAUAUAUCAAAGUUUAUUUUGUAAAAAAAUAUUAAAGUAUUUGAAAUAUGAAUAAACUAUUACUUUUUUCUUUUUUUAAUAUAUGUAAGAACUAAUUGUUUAGAGAUUUUUUUUUAAAUGUAUUUUUGGUCUCUUAACUUAGAAUUAAUCUCUUUUUGAAACUUUGACUCAAUUUAAUCUUUCAAUUUUAAAAAUGUAUAAAUUUAAUCAUUUCAAUCAAAUUUUAUUAAAUUUAUUUGAUAUCUCAAACACUUUUUUUAGUUAAGAUUAAAGCAGAAAUAUAUAAAACAAAGAUGUAAACAACUUAAAUAUUUUUCAUGAAAUGAAUUUGAAGCGUUAAAUAAACUUAAUAAAAUUUUGUUAAAAAAAACUAAAUUCAAACAUUUGUAAAAUUAGAAACUAAAUUUGGCUAAAACUUUAAAGAGAAAAUAAUUAUAACUUUCACUAAAACUUACAGUUACAGGUACUAUAAAUCUGAUAUGUGGUCACUUGGUAAGAAUUACAGUUACGUGAUUCUAGUUGACAAAGUCAUAUGCCAUGAUAUCUGACCUUGUGUAAAAUUAUGUCUCUUUGUAUGUAAAGGUUGCUGCAUGUUUGAAAUUGUUGCACAUCAACUAGCAUUUCGUGCUCCAGUAAGAACAAAACCGAAUCAUCUGAGUUUGAUAUUAUUAGUGACAAUGAAGUUUAUCCAAUAUGAGUGAAAUAAUUUGGUGAAUCAUGAAUGAAUCAAACAGGACAGGUCUGGACUUAUCAAUAAAAUAAAUAGAUGCUCCAUUUCUCCGUUGCCAAUUGUUUACUCGUCCACACUGUAAGUAACCUUUUCAUGUUAUUACAAAAUAUUCAGUCCUUCUGCUUCAGUUUUUCCAGGUAACAAGUCAGCCAGCUUCUCAAAUUUGCCUCUUAGAGUUUUUGACCGCUUGUCCAGGUAAGCUUGACAGCUAAGCAUAAUCCAAAUGGAUAGCUUUGACUUCACUUAUCCAGCGUGGCAGCGGGCUUGCCAGCCUUCACAGCAGCUACACUUUCUCCAAUUCUGCCAAUCAUCUCAUCCAGCUCUUAUUGAAGCCAAUUGCUCUCUCAAGUGCACUGCACAACUCCAAACAGCAAUAUAUAGAAAAGGACAUAAUUACCUGCCAAGGCUUGGCAAAAUCAUAUAAAGCUUCUUUAACACAACUUUCAGCUUUAUCCCAGAUUGCAAUAUCUCAUAGGUAUUUCUCUGGUCUCUAAUGAAGUAUCCCAGACAUGAAAUACUGAUCUAUAAUUGAAAGAAAAAAAAAACGAUUGAUUCGGAAAAACUUUCUAUGCUUCUCCUUAACUGGGAAGCAAGAUAGAAAGACAUCAAAUUUGUUGUAGAGUAAAAAGGGUUUACAAAGAUUUAUCUUACAUAAAUUUAAAGAUAAAAUCACGUGGAACUCCUUGCAGAAAAUGUGCAUCAUCCUCAGCAACAUUUAAAUCAAAUGUCAUUAACAGUAUGAAACUCAACAACAUAGACAACAGAAAGUAAAGAUAACGAAAAUGCACCAUACACAUGCCUGCGAAAUUUAAAACCUAAAGAACCUAGCCACAAUAAUGCAUAAAAAUGUAUGUGCUCCUGCCUCGGUAACUUGACAUGAAAAAUAAUGAAUCUGCUGGUUCUAUGUACUAAGCAACAAAUUAAUUUUAUUCAAUUAACCCAAUAAAAAGUUGACCCCCUUCCAUAAAAACUAAUGUCAAUCCUCAUACAGAGACGAAUGAAAUAUAACAUUUGGUGUUUUCCAAACUGAAUCCAAAAACAUAACUCUCUGUCACACACCCUUGCCCCCUUUUUUCUAGGGUUUUCGAACAAGAAUAAAAAAGAAAACCAAAGACAGAGAAAUUAAAAAGAAGAAAGGAUUACAGGACAAACCUCUUAUGCUUCUCACUUCGCUGAUAACGAUUAAGUCCCUGUGCCAACCAUGGAGUUCUCUUUUUCUUUAUUCUUUAUCGCUCGCUCUCUCCCUCUCGACCAUGCAAAUCAAAGGAAUGAACAAAGGAACGAAAAAGGAACUCAAUUUUCAAUCAGUUUUCACACACUGCAAAGACAAUUUUGCCCUUAAUGACAAAUGAGUGACAUUGGGUCCCACCCGUGUCAAAUGAGUGUGGAUUCUAUUAACCGUGUCAAAGAAUUAUUUCCCAAAAAGAAUUUCCAAUUACAACUCCUUUAUAAUAAAAUACUCUUUCAAAAACAAUUUACCGACUUUCGUAAUUUUUAAAACAAUAUUUUUAUAAUAUAAAUAGAUAAAUUUCAUCCAUUGGUUAAAAAAAAGAGAUCCAUCCCAACAGUAGUUGUCAUGUCAUAUCACACUAUCUGGAUCCUGCUGGUUUUGGAAACUAAAAAACAAUAUAGAGAUAAAAAUAAAUAAAUAAUAAAAGGUCAAAUAAUACGCAUUCAUAGAAUGGCCUUGUAUGUGGGUUUAGUUUAUUUUAAAAUAUUUUUGAGCAAUUGUUUUUAAAAGAUUUAAGAUUUGUUUGAUUAACUUUUUUAUUCAAUUGUUUGAAAAGCUUUUUUUUUAAUUUUAUUAAAAAAUAGUAAUAAAUUAUUUAACAUAAAAGUUAUAUAAUAAGAUGAAGUAUAAAUAUUUUAUUAUUUAAAUAUAAAAAUUCUUAUAAUCAAUUUAAUUAAUAAAAUCUUUUAUUAAUUAUUUAACAAGUAAAUGAUUCCUAAAAUCUCUAUCCGUUACUUUAUUGUAAGAAUCUUUAACAGCGUUCUUUAAACUAUUAUUUAGGCCUUAUUUAUUAGAAACAUGUUAUUUACGAAUUUAAGGUAACCAAUAUUAGUAUUGUAAUACAAUGUCAGCAUCUAUCCUCUACACAAUAAUAUGCAAUAUAUAGAACAUAAAUGUUAUUUUUUUAUCAUCACAAUUUUAUAUAACCAUCAACCUUAAUUCUUUCCUUCUCAUUCAUACAAUUCCCAUAAUUCUAAAAUACAACAAUAUUUCCAUGAAGUUAGGGAUGUAAUUUCCAAGUCCAACCCAAAUUUCACAACUCAAAGACUUGACCAUAUAAUUAUAGAUUACAUACACAACCAAAUCAACAAUUUUAAGCAUACUAGUUUAACUAUCAAAUCAUGUAUUCAUCUUACACUCAAUUUAGACCAGAUAAAACAAAUAGUUCAAAAUAAUAUUAAUUUCUCUUACAUUGGUUAAACUAUCUUUUUUCUCAAUUUUUCCUUAGAGUUAUAAUUUUCACAAGAUAACUUAAUUAGACAAAGAAACCCUAAUUAUAAAUCUAAACAUAUCACCAAGAUCACAAAACAACAAAGAUUCAACUUUAAACAACACAUUUUAGCAAAGUGCAUUACAAUACAAUGAAAUAACCUCAAAAAGUGUAAAAAAAAUGAACUUACUUUGUUAUUCAAUCUAAUCGGAUAGAUGUGUAUAAAUCUUCACUAAAAAAAAUCCUAUAAUUCUUGAUCUUCAAAAGGAUAAAUGUUGAGGAUAAAAACAUAAAGAUAGAUAAUAGAAAGAAAAUAUAGAGAAAUAAUGGUUUUUAUAAAUGAACUUCACUUUAUAAAAAUUUCUAUUUAUAGUCUUUAACUUUUAUUAUUAAAAUAAUCCAGUGUUAUCUUUUAAAAAUCACCACCAUUUCUAGACCAUUUUCUAGGUUAUCACAAUAAUGAGCAUAAUUAAGCAUAAAUAAAACUUAAAAAAUGAUACUAAUAGAUAAAAUAAAAUCAUUAUAUAUCAAAGUUUAUUUUGUAAAAGAAUAUUAAAGUAUUUGGAGUAUAAGUAAGCUAUUACUUUUUUCUUUUUUUAAAUAUAUGUAAGGACUAAUUGUUUAAAUAUUUUUUUAAAUGUAUUUUUAGUCCCUUAACUUUAGGUGAAAAUUAGAAUUAGUCCUUUUUUGAAACUUUGACUCAAUUUAGUCUUUCAAUUUUAAAAAUGUAUGGUUUUAGUCAUUUUAACCAAAUUUUAUUAAAUUUAUUUAAUAUUUCAAACACGUUUUUUAGUUAAGAUUGAAGCAGAAAUAUAUAAAACGAUGUAAACAACUUAAAUAUUUUCAUGAAAUGAAUUUGAAAUGUUAAAUAAAUUUAAUAAAGUUUUGUUAGAAAAACUAAAUUCAAGAAUUUGUAAAAUUAGAAACUAAAUUUGGCUAAAAAUUUAAAGAGAAAAUAAUUAUAACUUUAACUAAAAAUUAAGGGAUAAAAACAUAUAUUUUUUGAGUAUAAUGUGUUUUUCCAUGUGUCACAAUAUAAAGAAACAAACGGUUUCCCAAAAUUAAAAUUGUGUAAAACAAAUUAAAAUCCAAAAUGAAAAAUAAUUAAAAGUGAAGGAUUAAUAUCAUGAAAAAAAAAAUAUUGAAUCCUAAACUAUUUUAUUAAGAGAGAAAAAUAUUAUAAUUUCUAUGAGCUAAUGUUGACUAUUUGUUUUGAAUAUUAGAUGGUGAUUUUAUUUAGUUUUUUUGGUGGAUAUUGAUCUAUAUUCAAUAUUUGAGACAUCCCUAAUUCAUUAUGUUUGGUUAGCACGUCCCCACUAUCACAAACAAAAGGGAUUGUCUAAGGUUGUGGUGUCCAUGUUAUUCUAUACUUGCUUAAUUUUACUAUUUUAGCCAUUACAUAUAAAAUUUUAUUUCAAAUUAUAAUUUAUAUGUUUAAAUGUUUGUACAUGGUUUUGGUAUUUUAAAUUUCCUAUUUUUUAAUCUAACUCUCUAAAUUUGAUGAGUGUACCUUUUAAGUUUGCUAAAUUCUAAUUUGGCUUGUUGGUAUCUUAGGGUAAUUUUAAUGUUGUACUAUUAAGAAAAUUUUAUGAUUCACAUUUUACUUAUUAAAUUUAAAAUCACGCAAUCACUUUAAAUAAUUCAUCUAUGCUAACACGACAUCAUCGUAUAAGUGUGUAAAUAAAUUUCAACUAAAAAGACGAAAUUAAAUAAGUACAAAUACUGAAAAAAUAUAAAAAACUGAAUUAGCGUAACUAAAAUUUAAAAUAUUGAAAUUGCAUAUUACAAUAUAUGAAAUAUUUGUAUAAUGAAAACUUAGCAGACAUAAUAAAAACCCAUUGUUGAAAUCUAACAAGUACAAUUAGAGCCAUGUUUAAAGUAGUAAAUGUUGUCACAAAGAAAAUAUAUAUAUCACACACAUAGGAAAUAGCAUAUUACAUUAAUAAAAACUUACUAUUAAAGAUAAAAAAACAAAUAGGUAUUUUUUUUUCUCAGAAAGUCACAUUUAUGAAAUUUUAUUACCAAUUAAGGAAAAAUGUUAUCGAAAAAAGAAACUCUUUAAAACAUGAUUUAAAUUUAAACACUUUUUUAGUGAACUUUGUGACAGUGAAUGAUUUACAAAAAUAACCAUUUUUGUUUUAUGCUUAAUAAACUAUUUUAAUUAUUAAAUCUAAUAUAAAUAGAUUACCUAAUAAACAAUAAAGACAGUGACAUUUCUUUUAAAACCUUCAUUUUUGUGAAACAAGCUCUCUUAAUAAGGAUAAACAGUGUUUCUAUUUUAUAAUUUAUAGUUCAGAAAACAAAAUGAAUUUUGAUCUUAGUUAAUAAAAUAGUCAUUUUUAAUUAUUUUAUAUGUUUCUCCAUUAGAAAUCUUUUUUGAAAAUUCAAAAGCUAUGGACAUUAAGUUUCCAAGAAAAGAAGGUGUGAUAUAAAUGAAUGUGGGAGUAAUUGAAGAAACAUACAUUAAGAAGUUUUAAAUGAAAAUACAAUAAUAAAAGCUAAUUAAAAGUUGAAAGACUAAUUAAAUAUUAAUGAAACACAUAAUAAUAAAAUGUUGUAAUGUACCAAAAGUUGAAUUAUUCAAUAUUUAAGUUAAAUAAAUUCAAUAAUAUCUUUGUUUUUUUUCAAGUACGUCUCUGUAUUUUCAGAUUGAUUAAUUUAGUUUUUAUUUUUAUAAAAUUAGAACAACUAAAUCCAUUCCGUUAACUUUUCUUCACAGCGUUGUUGAAAAUCUUGUUUACCAACAAUAUGAGAUAUCAUUUUCGAAAAACAUGACAUAUACGUGAACUUAAACGAAUGCAAGAGCAAAAACAAAGACCACUGAAAGACUAAUUAAAUAUCAAUGAAACACAUAAUAAAAUGUACUGCAAUCCACCAAGAGUUGAACUGUCCAAUACUUACCAACUUAGGGUCGAUUUGGGUAAUUCACUUUCUUCACCAACCCUUGAAACCCUACAACUUUUUUGGGAAAAGAAAAACAGCAUAGUCCAAAAUUUUAUAACUUUUAAUUUUGUGUUGUUCUUAUUAUUAUCUGAAUUGUGUUGAAGUGAAGGAUUGAGAUCGCUUGAAUAAAUUUAUAUAUAUGUUCCAACUAUUUUAACCCUUCAAAACUUAAUAUAAAGCUCAAUAAGAUUUAAUCAUCAAAUCGUACUCUCAAUACCUAAUUUUGUUUGGAUAACAAUUUUUUAGAAACAAAAAAUAAGAAUAUGUUUUUAAUUAAUGAUAGGUAAAAAAGAAAAAAAAAGGUGAAAUAAUAUUUUUAGAUUUUUAAAAUUUAAUUCUAGCAUAAAAAGAAUAAAUAAAAUAUAAUAAUAAUAAUAAUAAAAAUAAGAGAACAGUAAGAUUCUUUACUUAUUUGUUAUUUUGACGUUUUUCAUUGCUAUACCCUGUUUAAAAAAAAUUAAGAGAACAAUUUGUUUUUUAUUUAUUUGUGUCACUAUUUUGAAACAGGAAUAUCUGAUUUUCAUUCCUUACACACGAAUAUGUUAUUUUUUUUUCUUUUCUUCGUUUGAUUUAUAUGUUUUCAUUUUACAUUAUAUUUCUUCUUUAAGUGUAGGGUUAAGAAUUUUUACAAUUUACUUCUUUACACUUUUCUUAGCUUAGAUAAUCCGAACACUUUUAGUCAAAAUCUUUUUCUCUUCACCUUUCAAACCGUUGAGGUUUAUAAAGUUCCAAAGUUAUUUAUUAUAGAAAAAUUUUAAAUUUGUAAUAAAUGCAAUUAUCUACUUUUUUUUAUUUUUAUAUUUAUAGGUUUGGAAAUAAGUUUGUAAUAAGUGAAAUCCUAAUUAUGUUCUAUUUUUCACUAAAUAAUUCUUACCAAUAAUCUUAAUUAGGAGCGAUGUUUAGAGAUUCCUAUUUAUUGAGGAUCGUCUGAUCUCUCUUUCUCCCAUUUCCAUGACCGUGCAGUGAACUAAUAUACUGUUACUAACGAUUUUGAUCAGGUUGUUGGAGUGCAAACAAAGUCCCACAUCGAGUAAAAGAAGGAUUGGUCAAGGGUUUAUAUACACAUAGAUGUCUCUAAUGGUAAGAGGCCUUUUGGAGUGGUGCCAAAAGCAAAUCUGUGAGGGCUUGGCCCAAAGUGGACAAUGACUUAUCAUGUGUGGAGUUCUAUGUGUGUGUCGAACCUCCCCUCAAUAGUGGUAUCCAGAGCUAGCUGUAUGUGUGUGUCAAACCUCCCUCCAAAAAAGUAAAAUCAUCUUUCAAAUAGUUUUCAGAGCACAUUUCUCGUUUAAAACUACGUGAUCCAUAAUUUUUCAUUUGAUUGAAAAUAUGUAAAAGCAUGAUAGAUUCUUAUCAGGUCGAAAAGUUAAAAAAUAUAUUUUUGUUUCUUUCAUAAUGUCUUUAUUCUUAUUUCUUGAGAAAAAUAAACAUUUAGAAAAACCACAUCAUUUGCAUAUUUAAUCAAAGAUAUCAUAUUUUUGGACGAGCGUUAUGGGAUUCUAACACCUCCCGUACAAAUAACUAAGUCUUGGGACCUUAAAUCUAGUUUUGUAGACCAUGUUUUUAUUUCUACAAUUUUUCAUAGUUUUUUAGAAUAAACUAUAGUGACGACUCCAAAUUGUUUUCAAAAUUUAAUUUUAAUUCAUAUUUUUUGGUUCAUCAUCCUGUUGCGAUUUUGAUUGCGACACAUACCUCAAUUCAUAGAAAAAUCUAAUAUAAUCUUCAUACCAAGUUUUAAAUCUCAACUUAGUAAGGUUCUUUAUGCCAAUAUACAUAAAUAUUUAAUUACUAAGGUGAUCAUUGCAAAAGAAAAAUACAAGACAAGAUAAACAACACAAGACAGGCAAAGCUAAUAGACAAAGAAUCAUCAUGUAUAAAUUAAAUAUGUCACCACAUCAUACUAAAUAAAUCUGAACAGUUAUAAACACACAAUUCAUAAGAUAAAGACUCGUAUAGACAAAAUAAUCAAGAUAAAAUUCAUUGAUUUCAGACAACUUAGAAAUCAUUUUAUUGCGAUGGAAAAUCUUCCACUUGACGAGGUUAAUCGUUUUUUUGUCAUAAGAACUACAAAUCGUUCUUUAGACUAAAAUGUAAGGACCUAGAAAAUGAUAUUUUAGAAUUAAUAGUGGUUUAAAAAUAUUGAAACCUAAUUAUUUUAAUAUUAAAAGGAUUUAAUAUAAAUAGUUUUGUUCGCUCUAGAAAUCACUUUUCUAAAGUUCUUUUAUUUCCCUUUAAGAGUUUUCCCUUUCUGUUCAUUUAUUUGAUGAUCAAAUAUUGCUUUAAUGAUCAGAGCAUCGAAAUCUACAAGGGUAGCUUAUCAAAAUUUCCAAUAGAGUAAGUUGGUCAUUUUCCUUUUUCUCUUGGCUCAAGUUUGUUUUCUCUUGCUUGUAAACUUUCUUGCACUUGCAUGUGUUCUUUCAGUCUUCUAUACGAGUCCUUGUUGAUUAAUGAAAUUUGUAUAUUUAUGUUGUGUAAUGAAAUUUGUAUUUUUCAUGAAUGAUAUUAUAAAUGUAAUUAAUUGAGUUGGUUGGUAUGUUCUGUGAUAUGUAUAAAGCAUUGGAUUGGUUUGGUAUGGUUGGAAUGAUAUGAAAUUUGUAGGCUUUGGUCUUUUCAUUAUGCAGACUUGUUGGGUUGUUGGGUGACAUUGAAGUUAGAGAGCUCACUGACUUGGUAGUUGUUGGAUGAGUAUAUUCUCGUUGGGCGACUCCAAAGUCAAAGAACGCAUUGACUUGGUUGUCAUUGGAUGGUGUCAGCAGUUGUUGGGUGAGUUUUGACAUAUAAAUUCUUAGAAGCUCCAAAGGUGCUUUCACUAGGUGCAUGCUUGGCUUGUUAGGUGAGUUAUUACAAAAAUUGUUCCAAUGCUAAAGUCGUUAGGCAAGACAUAUAAUCGCUAAGCGAAUAGGCCUUCAGGUAUUAUUCCCUGGGUGAAUGCUCUCGAUGAGUUGCACUUGCAGAGUGUUGACAAAUUGGCAAGUGUACCAAAUCGUACAAGUAAUAUAAAUGGUAAGACCAAGUAUCGUUUUCCCAAGAGACUCGAAUGGCUUUCUCGUUCGCGUGAAUUAAAAUAAUAAGACUUGAAAAUAAAAAUUAAUAAAUUGGAUUUGAGAACAAAAAUAUUGACAUGCAAAAUAAAGUUGAUUCAAUUGACAAAAGAAAACAAUGGAUGUAUGGAUGUUAUUGGGGGUUUACAUUUUCAUCUAAUCCGCUCUCUCUUACCUACUCCUCUUGAAAAUUAGUUUGAUUAAUUCAAUUGUUAUGCGACUUUCUUAGCCUCCCCUUAACCCGAUCCCUCGGCGAAAANAGCCUAAUAUUAACUACUGGCUUGCUAUCCCUAGCCUCCCCUAGCAAUUAAUACCGCAUUAUAAACAGAAGUUAGCGCAAUUGAUCGUCCUACCCCUAUCCCUAGGUGGUAUUGCAAAAUCAAGAAAUUACUCACCAGUUCAUGUCAUUACUGUACGUCCCCGUAUCAAUAAAGACAAACAUCAGUUACCGAAUGAGUUAAACGAUAAAGGCCUUAAGCACAGAUGAUAACCCAACAAUUAUCAAUCAAAACAUAUGGAGACCAUAUAAAUAAUCAAGAGUUUCAAUAAAAGAGAGUAUCAAAAGAUUACAUUGUUUCCCCCAACAACAAUAGGGUUUAGUUCACCAUAGACAUGGUGAAGCUAGAUGAAAAAUGGAAGAAGAAUGGAAGAGCAAACCCUAGAAAAGAUGAAAAGGAGCCUAAGCAUCCAAGAGAUCCUCUCCAGAGAGCAAAAUUAGGUCUGGUCGUUCUCCCCUGUCAAAAGAAUGACUCUGAAUUCGCAAUAGGGGUAUAUAUAGGUGAGGAGCGCAUCAGAAAACAGGCCCAGGUCCAACGAGCCACCGCCCGACGGUUUAAGUGUGCCGCCCGGCAGUUUCUCAUAAUCCUCCAAACCGCCCGGCGGUUUCCCUCAGGGCCGCUCAGCGUCAAUCGCCAUGCCUACUCCUCGCCCUAGACUGCCCGAUGGUUUAAGUGUGCCGCCGGGCGGUGCGUCGACUCUUCAAAUCUUCAUUUUUCUACUCUUUUCUUGAUUCUAUGACCUGUAUCUUCAACUCCAUUCUUCAUUUUCUCAAAAUAGCUACAAAACAAUGCAAAACAAGCAUAAUAUCGCUAAAAACAACUUUUGUCUCUCUACAGGCUCAUUUAUUGAGUUUUGCUUGAUUCUAGGCUCAUUCCAAGUAGUAAAAGGCAUAAUUCGGUCCAAAUUGACAUAUGAAAAUAACUGUUUUUCAACCUUUAUCACAGAGUAUUUCAUCUAUUCCAUUUUAUGAGAUUUAUGUUUUUAUGAUGUAAGUUUUAAUGAUAAUACAAAUGUUAGUACUGUGAUUAUCUAUGCAUGUGAACUUUAGUGAAUGGGGGGCACUAAUCAGAGGUGGAUUAGACUUAAGUUUCUAUAGUGUAUGUAUUGAUGUAAGGAUUCGGUAUUGGAGAUUAUCAUGUCACUCUAAUAACCAUCUAGACUCAGGUAGAGACUGAUGAAGUAUUUGGUGAGAAGAGUAAGAGGUUUUAGCCUAUGGGCUUUACCUUCACAAAAGAUGAAAAUGGACUAACCUUGUGUGUGGUAGGAUGAAAUCCAUUGAUAAUGACACUAUAGAACAAUAGAGGCCAUCAAAAGUGCAUAACUUGUCAGAGUCUAAUAUAAAUGCAUGUAUCCUAAUAAUUAAGUAUUUUAUAAUCUUCACUUAUGAAUUAUAUGUAUUGAUUAAUGAUUGAUAAGAUGUUAUAAUGUGAUAUAUAUAUAUAUAUAUAUAUAUAUAUAUAUAUAUAUGAUAUCACCUUAUUGGUGUGAGUAAGUGAAAAUGUGGGUGUAGAGGCACCCCUUGUAGUUGAGUAGCUAGUUGUUUGGGCGGUUAGAUGAUAUUAGAUCAUGUUAGGUAUAGUUUUGAGGUUUAAACCUCUUUUUGGUCCCUAAGUUAUAAGCGAAUGUUCAGUUUAGUCCCCGUUUUUAAAAAUGUAAAUCUUUGGUCCCUAAGUUAUAAAAAAUGUAUCAAAUGAGUCCUUUUUUGACUUGAAAUAUUGUUUUUGGUUGUUUCUUAACAACUGCUACAUCUUUAAAUUGCUCUGAUUUGUUUCUUAAUAAUAACAACACUUUAGAUUGCUCUUUGUACUUUGACCAUGAACAUAAAAAAAGGACUCAUUUGAUACAUUUUUUAUAACUUAGGAACCAAAGACUUACAUUUUUAAAAGCGGGGACUAAAUUGAACAUCUGCUCAUAACUUAGGGAUCAAAAAGAGAUUUAAACCUAGUUUUGAAAUUGAAUCAUACUAUAACUGCUUGAGAAUGUAUAUGUGUGAUAUUAUUAUAGUCUUAUCUUAUUGAAUUAUAUAUGAUAUAAAUUGGAUUAUCUGUUUUCUGAAUAUUCAUAAUGAAAUGUUUUAUUUUAGUAGUAGGCUUAAUAUCACUGUUAGUCUCAAUUUUUGUCAACUUUAUUCGAAAUGAUCCUAUUUUUUUUUUAAAUGUUCAAUGUAGUCCUAAGGAUCGUAAUUUGUGUUCAAUUUAGUUCUUUUUGCAAACGCCGUUUAAAUCGUUAACGACCAAAUGUCCAACUGUGCAAUCAGUGACACAUCACCCUUGACACGUCAUCAAC
rnacentral:lncRNA from 1 species